rnacentral:lncRNA from 1 species
AAUUUUCAUCUUUUACAAUUCGAGUAUAGCUUAUCCCAUGCCAUGCAAGACGCUAUGUCUUGGAGAGGAUGGAUUUUGAAGACCAUGAAAUUGCUGAAACAAAGAAAAUUCACCUAAGGACUCAUCACGAUGUGGACUUUGAAGUAAAUCUAUAUAAUUCUGAGAGCGUAACCCAUUUUGGUUGCAAAAAUUGGGAAGCAUUUUGCAAUAUGUAUGGUUUUGAUGAGGGUAUGCUUAUCACCAUGGAUCUUGGUAAUCCUGACAUCAACCAAGACAAUAUGGACAUUUGGGUCCUUGUUGAUACGCCUCCAGUUCUACCGCUAUGUGAGUUUCUCAAACAUAGUUAUUAGCUAAUUUAUAUUGUUUAUUUCAAAAUAGUUGACAGCUUAUUUCCAUUGACAGCUUAUUUUUAUUGUUCAAAGAAUGUGCGGGAGAUGGUAGACAAAACCCACUACACCGAUGGCUCCAAAUUAACAACUUACAAGGAGAAAAAUCAUUUGGUCAGAUUUUGUACUGACAUUGAGAAUUACAAUAUCUACAAUCAAACUCCUCAACAUUAUGGUAAAUACGUGCCACUAGUGCAUGUGUUCAACUACGGUAACUACCAUGGAGAUACCCUGGUAAGAUUUUUACUAUUACGACAUCCGUGCAUCUUUUGCAUACUUCUAAAACUAGUACAUCAUUGCUAACUAUGAAGUUAUUACUAUGUUUUUCAACAGAUAAUCCCAGAGAAUUGUGUGCCUCAUAUGAUGUAUCUGAAAGGUAGUGUUAAUGUUUUGAACAUACAGCCAGGUUGUCCUAUGAAUCUCAACUGUCCAUACGAGAUUUCUAAAAGAAGUGGAGACAUGAAAAUCAAAGGAUGGAAAAAAUGUAUGGACAGUCGUAAGGAGCUUCUUGGAAGCAAAAGGAAGUGAAGCGCAAGAAUUGGAGACAGGAUGUUCUCCAUUCUCCAUAAUGGAGAGUCAGGGUCUAUAUUGUUUUAUGCUAUUUUAGCUUAAAUAGGGUAUUUAAGUCCUGCCUAAUACUGAUGAUCAUGUGCUAAGAACAAUUUAGUAGGGUUGGUUCGGAGACUAUCAAGAUGAUGAUCGUAUGACUUGUUAUGAAUAACGAGUAGAAGUUGUAUGAUGAUGAUUAGUAGGACUUGUUAGGAUUAGUAUUACUUCCGACAAACUCGAUACUCGCGGUCUUGAGACUUGUAAUGUUUUAUCUUUGUUCGGUCUUUUGAAUUCGGAGACUAAUAUGAUGAAUUGUAUUCGGAGACUAAUCUUCUAUUGUAUUCGAUGAAUCUGAUGUUGCUGUGUGCUGCUGUCUAUAUUCUGUCUAAUAAUAUAUUUUAUAUUCUGUCUAAUAAUAUAUUUUGUAACCUGCACAAAAAUCAGAAAAGGAAAAAAAAUCAAAUAUUCAUACUAAUGGCGCAUCACCACCAGGUGCGCCAUUAGUAUGCCAAAGGAUACUAAUGGUGCAUCAACAGAGAAUGCGCCAUUAGUAUGACAAAGCCAUGCUUACGUAUGGCCCCCCGGGAGGCACACUAAUGGCGCAUGCGGUUACAUACUAAUGGCGCACUAGUUGGUGCGCCAUUAGUAUACCAGAUACUAAUGGCGCACCUGUGGUGCGACAUUAGUAAGAUAUACUAGUGGCGUGCUACUAAUGGCGCACUGGUAAUGCACCAUUAGUAGGCAAAACCAGUGCACCAUUAGUAGGCCUUUUCCUAGUAGUGACUCAACAUUAGUCAUAAAGAACUCAUAUACUUAUCGCAAAAAUCUACAAGUUACCGAAUCAAAGUAUUACGCGCAUGCUCCUAGGGGAUAGAUUGGUAGCAAAAGACCAUCGCUCGUCCCCGACCGCCACUCAUAAGGAGGACAAUCAAUAAAUACAUCAUGCUCCGACUUCAUCACAUAACGGUUCACCAUACGUGCAUGUUACGGGAAUCACAAACUUCAACACAAGCAUUUCUUAAAUUCGCAAUUACUCAACUAGCACAACUCUAAUAUCACCAUCUCCAUAUCUCAAAACAAUUAUCAAGUUUCAAACUUCUCAUAGUAUUCAACACACUCAUAAGAAAAUUUUAUUUAUUUAUCUUGAAUACCUAGCAUAUUAGGAUUAUUUAAGCAAAUUACCAUGCUAUUUAAGACUCUCAAAAUAAUCUAAGUGAAGCAUGAGAUAUCAAUAGUUUCUAUAAAACAAAUCCACCACCGUGCUCUAAAAGAUAUAAGUGAAGCACUAGAGCAAAACUAUAUAACUCAAAAGAUAUAAAUGAAGCACAUAGAGUAUUCUAAUAAUUUCCAAAUCAUGUGUGUCUCUCUCAAAAGGUGUGUACAGAAAAUAUGGUUGUGGUAAAAUAAAAAAUAAAAACUCAAAUAAAUCAAGACACUCCAAGCAAAACACAUAUCAUGUGGUGAAUAAAAAUAUAGCUCCAAGUAAAGUUACCGAUAGAAGUAGACGAAAAGGGAUGCCUUCCGGGGCAUCCCCAAGCAUUGGCUUUUAGGUGUCCUUAUAUUAUCUUAGGGGUGCCGUGGGAAUCCCCAAUCUUAGGCUCUUUCCACUCCUUGUUCCAUAAUCCAUCAAAUCUUUACCCAAAACAUGAAAACUUCACAACACAAAACUUAAAGUAGAAAAUCUCGUGAGCUCCGUUAGCGAAAGAAAACAAAACACCACUUCAAGGUACUGUAAUGAACUCAUUCUUUAUUUAUAUUGGUGUUAAACUUACUGUAUUUCAACUUCUCUAUGGUUUAUAAACUAUUUUACUAGCCAUAGAUUCAUCAAAAUAAGCAAACAACACACGAAGAACAGAAUCUGUCAAAAACAGAACAGUCUGUAGUAAUCUGUAGCUAGCGCAAGAUAUGGAACCCCAAAAAUUCUAAAAUAAAUUUAUGGACGUGAGUAAUUUCUCUAUUAAUCAUCUUCAAAAAGAAUUAACUAAAUAGCGCUUUCCAAAUAAAAAUGGCAGCAGUUCUCGUGAGCGCUAAAGUUUCUGUUUUUUACAGCAAGAUUAAUAAGACUUUCCCCAAGUCUUCCCAACGGUUCUACUUGGCACAAACACUAAUUAAACACAAAAAACACAACCAAAACAGAGGCUAGGUAAAUUAUUUAUUACUAAACAGGAAAAAAAAGCAAGGAAUAAAAAUAAAAUUGGGUUGCCUCCUAACAAGCGCUAUCGUUCAACGCCCCUAGCUAGGCAUAAAAAGCAAGGAUAGAUUUAGGUAUUGCCAUCUUUGGUAGGUCAUUCUUCAAUGAGACAUAUAUCAUCCUUAGGAGUUUCUUUCCUUUUACUGAUUAUCAAACUUUUAGGCACAAGAUCAAAAAAAUCAUUAGUAGAAAAUGGUUCCUUAAUGAUAGUGAAAAGAUUAGGAUGAAUACUUAUAGAUUUGAGAUCCGCAGUUUCUUUGCCAGAGGAUUCACCCUUAUUUUUAGGAACAUACAUAAGCUUGGCAAUUUUAGUUGGAGGACUUGGAGUAUUCUUUACGGAAGAGAAGGCGGUUCCCAAGUUGGUAAUGAUACCCUCAAGUUUAUCGAUUCUAGAGGAAUCAUGAUUUGUUAUUUCAUUAACUAUAGGUUCCUUCUCUUUAAUAUUUUUCAAAGUUACUCCUACUUUAGAUCCAUAUUGGGUAAUUUGGUUGUGGAUCUUUUUAUAGACAUUUUCAAUUAACUCAACGGUAGCAACUUUAUUUUCAAUAAUUUCAUGUUUUUGCAUUACAUGCUCCAAAGUUAACAUAGUUCCAUUAACCAAAAGAGGUGGUGAGCCAAAUAAAUAUAUCAUAGCAUUAUAAGAAUCAAAAGUAUGGCUACCCGAGAAGUUCCCUCUGGUAAUGGUAUCAAGGACAUAUCUAUGCCAAGGAAUAGCACCUACGUAAAAAUUGCGAAGAAGAAUAUAAGUAGAUUGCUUCCUGGUAGAUCUAUUUUGAGCAUUGCAAAUUCUAUACCAAGCGUAUUUUAGGUUUUCUCCUUCCCUUUGUUUAAAAUUAAGAACUUCAUUCUCAGGAGAUAACGGAGAAGAUAAGGGACUAGGCAUAACGAUGAGCAAACAAGAAAUGGGCAAAAAGAGGCAAAUAGAGAGAUAGAGAGAGCGAGAGAGAGAGAGGGAGGGAGGGAGGAUAGAGAGAGAGAGGGCGAAUAAAAUGGCAAGGGUGAAGUGGAGGAGAGGAAAACGAGAGGCAAAUGGCAAAUAAUGUAAUGCGGGAGAUAAGGGUUUGUGAUGGGUACUUGGUAUGUUGACUUUUGCGUAGACCUCCCCGGCAACGGCGCCAGAAAUCCUUCUUGCUACCUCUUGAGCACUGCAUUGGUUUUCCCUUGAAGAGGGAAGGGUGAUGCAGCAAAGUAGCGUAAGUAUUUCCCUCAGUUUUUGAGAACCAAGGUAUCAAUCCAGUAGGAGGCUACGCGUGAGUCCCUCGCACCUACACAAAACAAAUAAAUCCUCGCAACCAACGUGAUAAGGGGUUGUCAAUCCCUACACAGUCACUUACGAGAGUGAGAUCUGAUAGAUAUGAUAAGAUAAUAUUUUUGGUAUUUUUAUGAUAAAUAUGCAAAGUAAAAUAAAAGCAAAGUAAAAAAAGCAAAGGAAAUAACUAAGUGUUGGAAGAUUAAUAUGAUGAAGAUAGACCCGGGGGCCAUAGGUUUCACUAGUGGCUUCUCUCAAGCGCAUAGGUAUUUUAUGGUGGGUGAACAAAUUACUUUUGAGCAAUUGACGGAAUUGAGCAUAGUUAUAAGAAUAUCUAGGUAUGAUCAUGUAUAUAGGCAUCACGUCCAAAACAAGUAGACCGACUCCUGCCUGCAUCUACUACUAUUACUCCACACAUCGACCGCUAUCCAGCAAGCAUCUAGAGUAUUAAGUUCAAGAGAACAGAGUAACGCUUUAAGCAAGAUGACAUGAUGUAGAGGGAUAAACUCAUGCAAUAUGAUAAAAACCCCAUCUUGUUAUCCUCGAUGGCAACAAUACAAUACGUGCCUUGCUGCCCCUACUGUCAUUGGGAAAGGACACCGCAAGAUUGAACCCAAAGCUAAGCACUUCUCCCAUUGCAAGAAAGAUCAAUCUAUUAGGCCAAACCAAACUGAUAAUUCGAAGAGAAUUGCAAAGAUAACCAAUCGUACAUAAAAGAAUUCAGAGACGAUUCAAAUAUUGUUCAUAGAUAAACUUGAUCAUAAACCCACAAUUCAUCGGUCUCAACAAACACACUGCAAAAGAAGAUUACAUCGAAUCGAUCUCCACAAGAGAGGGGGAGAACUUUGUAUUGAGAUCCAAAAAGAGAGAAGAAGCCAUCUAGCUAAUAACUAUGGACCCGAAGGUCUGAGGUAAACUACUCACACUUCAUCGAAGAGGCUAUGGUGUUGAUGUCGAAGCCCUCCGUGAUCGAUGCCCCCUCCGGCGGAGCUUCAGAACAGGCCCCAAGAUGGGAUCUCGUAGAUACAGAAAGUUACGGUGGUGGAAUUAGGGUUUUGGCUCUGUAUCUGCUCAUUUGGGGGUACGUAGGUAUAUAUAGGAGGAAGGAGUAUGUCGGUGGAGCAACAGGGGGCCCACGAGGGUGGAGGGCGCGCCUGCGGGGGUAGGCACGCCCCCUACCUCGUGGCCUCCCUAUUGGUUGCUUGACAUAGGGUCCAAGUCUCCUGGAUCUUGUUCGUUCCAAAAAUCACGUUCUCGAAUGUUUCAUUCCGUUUGGACUCCGUUUGAUAUUCCUUUUCUUCGAAACCCUAAAAUAGGCAAAAAAACAGCAAUUCUGGGCUGGGCCUCCGGUUAAUAGGUUAGUCCCAAAAAUAAUAUAAAAGUGAAUAAUAAAGCCCAAUAAUGUCCAAAACAGAAGAUAAUAUAGCAUGGAGCAAUCAAAAAUUAUAGAUAUGUUGGAGACGUAUCAUCAACGUCGCCCCAGUCAUCUCUGCGAAUCGACGGCGUCUGGCAAACUUGGCAAAAUUCUUGUGGGUUCUUCUCCUCAAUCCAGCACCACCGGCUCCGCCACUCCUCCCACAUCUCCUUCUGAGCGCCCUCCGGAUAUGUCCCCAUCUCAAGGGGCCUUGGGAUCCAAGUGACACAACCGGAGAUGGCGCCUCCCUUUUGGAUCCGAGGAUAAAAGUAGUGGUGGAAGAGCGUCGUGUUGGGAAGCACUCCGGCGAAACCCUCACAAAGAUGGGCAAAAAGAGCCAUGCACGCCACGACAUUUGGAGUGAAAUCCAGAAGGUGGAAGACAUAGGUGUGCAUGAUGUCGUUGAAGAAAUCAGAGAAAGGGGGGCAGAGGCCAUAGGAAAAGUAGUCGACAAAGAAUGGGUACCGAUUUGGGGCGGCCUUGGCGCAAUCGGCGGGGAUGACGCGCGUGACCGGAUGCCCCGUCGACUCUCCCCCCGUCUUGCACCCCCAAAGGGGCCUGGAGUUGUCCCGGAGGUGGACCGCGUCGACCGUCGAGGGAAAGUAGGCGAGUUGCGUCCGCCGCGCCGCCGGCUCGCUCUCCGGCGGCUCCGUAACCCCCCGGCGUCCUUGGCCACUCCUUUGCCCUUGCUGGUUUUGGGUGCCAUGGCAGCUGCGAGGGGUGGGGGAGAAGGGGGCAGUGCAAACAUGGCGGCGGCGAGCGAGAGCAAGGGCUUGAGGGGGAAGAAGGAAGGGAUAGCAGUUCCGAGAUUGGAGAAGACACAGAGGGUAAAUGAGCAGCGCCGGCGGUUGUUCCCUUUUAAGAGGAAGGCGCGGGCCGCCUCUUUACCACGAUGUGACGCAUGCAUGUGGAAACCGCACCACGCACGACCCCCACGUCACGCAUGACACCCCAUGUCGCGUGUUCAACGCGGGUCGUGGAGAAGCGCAGCGAACGGGGAGUUAUUGCGGUAAAAAUCUGCCCCACCUGCCCGCGCACCAUUAUGGGCCUAGCCCAACAACGCGUCGCGCUUAUGUGUGGCCCAGGCCCGGGGGCUCCUAUUGGUGUUCAAAAGUAGGGGCUCUCGUUUUACACCCCUUAACCUGUGCACGGGCAGUCAGAGCUGCGCCCACGGGCACACUAAGCAGGGCAAAGGAGGGAAGCCGGAGCACAAGACGACCAAAGAAACACCAAGACCAGAGGCGUAAAGAGAACAAGGGGGCGAGGUUGACUCCCCCGGCAAGACCCUUGCCGGGGUGGCUUCCGCAGCCUCGGCAAGAUCCUUGCCAGGGCAACUUGCCUGACCCCAGCAGAGCGCGCCACCCUUGAGCCCAAGGGGUUCCAACACCAUAUUGGAACCAAGGCUCGGGAGGCACCUCCGUGGUGGCAUGCAGAUCUUUGUAGAGAUCAUAGAUACACAAGAUCAUAUGAGAACUAGAAAACGACGAUCCUUGGCUAGAUCCUUGCCGAGGAUAUCCACGAGACCCCCGGCAAGAUCCUUGCCGGGGACGACCGUGGUGCCACCGCGAGACCCUUGUCGAGCCCUCAGCAAGAUCCUUGCCGAGGACGCCUGCGGGGCCGUAGCCAGGCCCGCGUCUGCCAAGACUCCACUGCCACUCCCAUGCGGCUGCCAGCUCGACCAACUGGGCAGGCGCAUGCGUGGCGGCGCACAGCCUCUACACCAACUCAGCAAGCACCUGCGUGGUGGCAUGCAGAUCUUCGUGAAAGCUCCACCACCGCGCCAGCCCAGCAGCUAGCCAACAUGGCGCUACAACGCCUCCUCAGCUUGGACGCGCGUCAGAGCCAGGCGAGGCGACGACAGCUGGGACGAGCUUCUUUGUCGUCCCCAAUAAAGCAAGAGGGGCACAUCGGCAGCGCAUUAAAUGCAUUUGUUCGAUGAUGCCAGGGGAUAGACUCAGCCCCUGUACACCUUUCCACCUCCUGUGUGCCACUGUGGCGACCCCUUUUUGUCUAUAAAAGAAGGCCUGAGGCAUACUGGAGGGGGAUUCGGAUCUUUUGGACUAGGGAGCCGCUGCAGCUAGUUCAAGAACACAAGAACACCUAAAUAUACGUCAAAGCGGGACUAGGGUUUUACGCGUCUCCAUGGCCCAAACCUGGGUAAACGAUUUGUGUGCUAAUCGCCAGACCCGCUCUUUGCACAACCCCGCGCCCGCCAACCGUCGAAGGGAUCCUAGUGACCCCAUAGGUGUCGUUUCCCACCGAUACCGUGCGUGCGCCCUCCUUAGUGGCAUGGGACGCCGCCGUCGAACGCUACAUCUUAGCGCCGCCAGCUGCCGUCCUCCCGCACCCCGCUCAUCGACCUUGGGACGACAUGAUGCAAAGUGAGAGCAGGAUUUGUGCAUCUCUUCAAUGCAAACGGUUCUUUUGGAUGACCCGUGUGCAACCACUUACAAACAAUUUGGUGCGAUUUGCAUCUGUCAUAUUGGGUAUGUUACCAUUUGUCAAACUGGAAAGAUUGACAUUUGUUGAUCUAGUGACAUUGCCAUUUGUGCAGCUUGUAACACUGCGAUUUGUCAAAAUAUGAAGCUAAAAAUCACUAGCAGUAUCUAAUUUUUGCAACUAAAAUUCAGUAAUUAAGCAUAGAUUUCGAUUCAUUCAUAGAUUAAGCAGUCGUUCUUAAUUUAUACAAAUAGUUCAACUCGACAGCUGAACCAACCAAACUUUUCCCCAAUUGUUGCCAACCACGUACUGAAAUAGCUAGUUCAACUAUAUAUACUAACUAAUUUUAAGCACGUUGUACAGUUCCACCACAUCUAUAGUCAGAUGAGUUGAACAAAAUAGCCCCUAAAUACUAGUAUUACUAGUGCGGAGGGGUUUUGUACUACUUACGGCUUCUUCUCCACUGCCGAGCGCGCUCAAUAAGGGGCGGAGGAGGAGGAGUGUACCGACAAGCUGGGCAACCGCAAUAUGAUGCCUGCUGCUGUUGCAGCUUCAGUGACGCUCACCUCGAACGCCCUCUGCUGCUCCAGACGACCCCUCUCGAAGCGGUGGUUCUCCUCGUAGAUCUCCUGACUCCUCGCCUCUGAGGCGGCGUGUGCCGUGGCCACGGUGGAGGUAAGGCUCCUUGCAUGCUCGACGAGGCGCUCCUCCUCCCGCAGGAACUCGGUGUAGCGCACAAGGCCGCUGACGCACGUCCAGGCAUCCACCUCCGCCUCCCAUCUUCGGGCGGCGGUGGCGGAGUGGGUGAUGACCCCGGCGGUCAAUGGUGGGCUGGCGGCCACGGCGGCCGACGACGGGGUGGCGGCCACGACCACCACCUCCUGCCUUCGGGCCUCGGUGGCGGAGCAGGUGAUGGCCACGGUGGCCGGCAAUGGGGUGGCGGCCACGACCACCACCUCCUGCCUUCGGGCCGCGGCGGCGGAGCGGGCGAUGGCGCUGGCUUUCGACGGUGGUGUGGAGGCAACGGCGGCCGGCAACAGCUGCCGACGGGCACCGGCGGCGGAGCGUGUGGUGGGUUUUCCACGCACUACACUACGCCGGGGACUUUAUCGCCGCCGCGGUGUAGCCUCCCAGCUGGAGUUGUCCUUUGAUGACGGCGGAGUGGCUGAGCGACGACGAUGGACCAGUGCCAUUGGUGAUUGUGGGAGAAGCAGAUGAGAUAAGCUACAGGGAGGGAGGGGAAAAUGUGACGCUGGACUCGCCGGCCGUGAGGGUUUUCAUAGCAGGCUGGUAAGCAUUGGGAUUUUGGGGGAUUUCACCGAGUCGGGUAGGAAGCUUGCGUGGGAACCUACGAGGAUGCGCGGGAACGCGCUCACCGACGAUUCAUUGGCGCCACUGUUUGGCCAAAAGAAUGCCCCCGCGCGUUGUGCAAGCUUGCGUUGUAAGCCAUCUGGGGCAGCGGGGUGACAAGACGUGCGAGAGGAGGACGAAAGGCCACAUACACAUACAGUUAAUAAAAAAACAUUUGUGAUUUAAUUACCUACUAUACCCUGUCCUGGUUUAUAAGUAUUAUUUAACUAAUAAAACACGAAUGCAUGUCGCCAAAGAUUAUAUAGUUGGAUUCGUAUUUGAACAUAGUUUCCAAUUAUAUAAUUUUUUAUAACAAGCAUUAACAUUUUGCUGGUUAAAUUUGAGGGAAAAGUAUGCCACAGAAUAUAAAGGGAACUAUAGACUAGACGGAGGUGGUAGCACAUGGCCACUCUCUUCGCAGCGACGCGACUGUGAGCCGGCUUGUAGGCGACCAUUUCCCUGCAUGUUCAACUGCUCUAUGUGUGUGGUUGCUUGCGGUUCAGGCAGCCGCGGUGCGCUCUGCUCGCGUCCCGCCACGCGCGCUCUGCUCUCGCAUCACUCCGAGUGCUCUGCCCUCGUCCCUCCACGCGUGCUGCUAGUGUUUGGGGCCGGCGCAUGAUCACGCAUGUUCGUGUGCAUGCGGUUGCGUUGGGCGCGGCGCGACGAUGCAGUUACCCGCUACAAACUGCCAUGUGGACGCACCGAGAAUCCACGCCGCCUGGGCCCCUUUUAUUCCUGCGGCCAUUUACCUUCAUCUCUCGUCUCACAAGACACAAUAAGCACACCCACGAGGACACAUACAGAGAGGACAUCCAGCGGUUCCAAUGAUGCUCCCCGUGGCUCCAAUGGCACUCCCAGGGGCCGACGACGACAGCGGCGGGCAGUUCACCAUGCAACACGUCGUGGACACCAACGUGACGGGGAAGGCUCUCUCGGUGGUGUACACGAACGAUCUGGUCUCGAUGGAGAACUCCAUCCAAACUAUGGAGCAGUUCCUUGCCGAGGACAAGUACCAAGUGGUCGGCUUCGACCUCGAGUACACCAUGGGUCGUGCCGGGCACGAUCAGAAGGUUGUCGUCGCCUAGUUGUGUGUGCGAUAGGACGUCCUUGUCUACCACUACCACCUGGACACAACGCCUUGCGAGUGUUUCUCCAGGUUUAUCAACAGCUCCGACUACAGUUUUGCUGUGGUGGACACCACCAACGAUCUAAAAGCGCUCAAGGUUUCGGGCAUGAACUGCCCGAAUCUUGUCAACAUCCUGCGCCACUACAAGGUCUGGGGCAGCGACAAAAACAAACUAAACUCCCUGGUUGACCUCGCCUCGGCCAUCAUCGACCCCUACUACAUGAAGAUGAAGAAUUGUGUGCAAGGCGUUGCACAUUUCUAUACCUAAAGUUGUACACACAGUUCUAUACGCCAAAUAGACAUUUUGAUUUAAAAAAAGUUGGUCUCUCUAGAGCCCGGAGCCAAAUUGCCUUACUCUUGAGAUAGUCGAAUCUUCAAUAGAUAGAGAUAUUCUUAUCUACUCCCUCCAUUUCAUAAUGUUCAAUGGUAUAUUUUUUGAUCCUGCCACAAUCGUUGGUUAAAUUUAUGGUCAAACGUAAAUCUCGAAAAACAUGGUCGCACUACAUUAUGGAAUGGAGGGAGUAUUAUAUUAGUCAAUGAUCUCGACCCCUGAUUUUUUAUCAAACAAAAAUUGCUUCGUUAAAAAAUUCAGAAUUGUGUGCGAGGCGUUUACAUGUCUGUACCUAAAAUUGGACUUAGAUAUAGCAAUUACUCAAUCCCUAGGAAACAACAGAAUCAUUUUUUAUCAAGCAGUGUGUUCUACGUACAAUGUGGUUUAUCUAUGCCAUUUUGAAAGAACCAAUACAAUCAAAUGGGUUUCUAUAGUUUUUUUAUUUGAGCGGUACUGGGUUUCUAUAGUUUGUUAUUGAACUUCCUGGCAGGGCUGACUCAGAUAUUUAUAGUCGUAUCACAUUUUUUUUNNNNNNNNNNNNNNNNNNNNNNNNNNNNNNNNNNNNNNNNNNNNNNNNNNNNNNNNNNNNNNNNNNNNNNNNNNNNNNNNNNNNNNNNNNNNNNNNNNNNNNNNNNNNNNNNNNNNNNNNNNNNNNNNNNNNNNNNNNNNNNNNNNNNNNNNNNNNNNNNNNNNNNNNNNNNNNNNNNNNNNNNNNNNNNNNNNNNNNNNNNNNNNNNNNNNNNNNNNNNNNNNNNNNNNNNNNNNNNNNNNNNNNNNNNNNNNNNNNNNNNNNNNNNNNNNNNNNNNNNNNNNNNNNNNNNNNNNNNNNNNNNNNNNNNNNNNNNNNNNNNNNNNNNNNNNNNNNNNNNNNNNNNNNNNNNNNNNNNNNNNNNNNNNNNNNNNNNNNNNNNNNNNNNNNNNNNNNNNNNNNNNNNNNNNNNNNNNNNNNNNNNNNNNNNNNNNNNNNNNNNNNNNNNNNNNNNNNNNNNNNNNNNNNNNNNNNNNNNNNNNNNNNNNNNNNNNNNNNNNNNNNNNNNNNNNNNNNNNNNNNNNNNNNNNNNNNNNNNNNNNNNNNNNNNNNNNNNNNNNNNNNNNNNNNNNNNNNNNNNNNNNNNNNNNNNNNNNNNNNNNNNNNNNNNNNNNNNNNNNNNNNNNNNNNNNNNNNNNNNNNNNNNNNNNNNNNNNNNNNNNNNNNNNNNNNNNNNNNNNNNNNNNNNNNNNNNNNNNNNNNNCACACUUCAACAACAUUAUACAUGCGUCAAGUUUGUCAUUUCUUUCUACUAUUUGCUAAUAUACAUACGACAUCACCGAGGUUACCAACCAACGGCUAAGUCAGUCAUAUAAAUACAUACUAAGACUGAAGCAUGGGACAUGCAAGUAAUAUUUAUCUGGAUUGGAAAUCUACAAUUUGUAUAGGACAAGACUCAACGGCAAGUGACGGAUGGUCAAACUGACUUCCAUGGAAGCAAAUGCAAUCGGUUAAAAAAUAGUCUCUCCUUAAUAGGAUCGAUCAAUGUAAACAAAUGCUAUUACUUAAGUAACUAUCAACAAAAGGAUAAAUUGGCUGAAAAUAGAAUGCAGUGUAAGAAUGCCACUGGAUUUAGUCAUAAGGACGGCUCUAUCACUUUCCUAAUUCUAAAAGGCCUUAAGUUCUGUGACAUAUUUGCAGGGAGCAUUGAAAUUCUGGCAAUGAACCUGGAAACAAAAGGAACUUUUCAUUUAAUUGAGAGAGUAGUGAGGCCAAUAUAAUUAGCAUUACAAAAACCAUUUAGUCAUGUAAGCCAUCACAACAAUAUGGGUUUGGUACAAAAGAGACUUUUGAAAUAACUUCCACGUAAGGUAAAANNNNNNNNNNNNNNNNNNNNNNNNNNNNNNNNNNNNNNNNNNNNNNNNNNNNNNNNNNNNNNNNNNNNNNNNNNNNNNNNNNNNNNNNNNNNNNNNNNNNNNNNNNNNNNNNNNNNNNNNNNNNNNNNNNNNNNNNNNNNNNNNNNNNNNNNNNNNNNNNNNNNNNNNNNNNNNNNNNNNNNNNNNNNNNNNNNNNNNNNNNNNNNNNNNNNNNNNNNNNNNNNNNNNNNNNNNNNNNNNNNNNNNNNNNNNNNNNNNNNNNNNNNNNNNNNNNNNNNNNNNNNNNNNNNNNNNNNNNNNNNNNNNNNNNNNNNNNNNNNNNNNNNCUCGUGUGGUCCGAACAUAAAUUUAGGAGAUCAUAUGAGCUACAACUUUGUACCUUACAGGGUCUCAUGUAUGAAAUGCACGGAACGCCAUGGUAGACUCGUUAAAAUAAAAGGCUACAGUAGAGAAAUAUUUAAGCUUGUAAAGAUAUGAAUAAAAUAAGGACAAAUAAUCAAGAUUUUCUAAAAAAGAAAAACGGAGCUUCUAGUAAAACUGCAACAGAUGUACUGAAACCUGGCAUAUGGAGGGAGAGCUCGUGCUUUGCCUUGUGUUGCCAUGCUGCUAAUAUCCCUAGAAUAUUUCUGAAGAUAUAUCAAUAUUUCUGAACACUUGAACAUACGCAUACAUAUACCGCUUCGUAAAAACUUUAACAUAACACCUUCAAUCUUGAUCUUUUGUUGGCUUUCAUGUAGAUUCAACACAAACUCAUACAGCAGAACAGUUUCAACUGAAAUCUCGAUCUAGGAAGAUGCGUAAUUAAUCCCACGUGCUAUUCUCGUUUCUUCACAAUUCAUAAGAAUAAUUCAGUACAUAAUUUUGAUGUAUGGAGAGCAGUACAUACGACAUACUCUUGCCAUCAAUCACACUCAGUAAUGAUUUCACAGCCAUUAUAUCCUUUCGAGCUUCAUGUGCUCCAUAUAAAAACACAUCUAUAAAUAUGUGAAACUGUUCCAGAUUCUAGUGAAAGAAGCAAGGUUGUUUACCUGUGUUGGUGGAAAAACGCCAUCAGAUCUGUGCAGAGGCACCCCGCAAUUGGUGCGGUGGCUGAAUGUCGUCGAGGCGCGCAAUCUAAGUUCUGAACACUUGAACAUACGCAUACAUAUCGCUUCGUAAAAACUUUAACUAACAUAACACCUUCAAUCUUGAUCUUUUGUUGCCUUUCAUGCAGAUUCAACACCAACUCAUACAACAGAACAGUUUCAACUGAAAUCUCGAUCUAGGAAGAUGCGUAAUUAAUCCCACGUGCUAUUCUCGUUUCUUCACAAUUCAUACGAAUAAUUCAGUACAUAAUUUUGAUGUAUGGAGAGCAGUACAUAUGACAUACUCUUGCCAUCAAUCACACUCAGUAAUGAUUUCACAGCCAUUAUAGCCUUUGGAGCUACAUGUGCUCCAUAUAAAAACACAUCUAUAAAUAUGUGAAACUUUUCCAGAUUCUAGUGAAAAAAGCAAGGUUGUUUACCUGUGUUGGUGGCAAAACGCCAUCAGAUCCGUGCAGAGGCACCCCGCAAUUGGUGCGGUGGCUGAAUGUCGUCGAGGCGCACAAUCUAAGUUCUGAACACUUGAACAUACGCAUACAUAUCGCUUCGUAAAAACUUUAACUAACAUAACACCUUCAAUCUUGAUCUUUUGUUGCCUUUCAUGUAGAUUCAACACCAACUCAUACAGCAGAACAGUUUCAAGCGAAAUCUCGAUCUAGGAAGAUGCAUAAUUAAUCCCACGUGCUAUUCUCGUUUCUUCACAAUUCAUAAGAAUAAUUCAAUACAUAAUUUUGAUGUAUGGAGAGCAGUACAUACGACAUACUCUUGCCAUCAAUCACACUCAGUAAUGACUUCACAGCCAUUAUAUCCUUUCGAGCUACAUGUGCUCCAUAUAAAAACACAUCUAUAAAUAUGUGAAACUGUUCCAGAUUCUAGUGAAAGAAGCAAGGUUGUUUACCUGUGUUGGUGGAAAAACGCCAUCAGAUCCGUGCAGAGGCACCCCGCAAUUGAUGCGGUGGCUGAAUGUCGACGAGGCGCACAAUCUAAGCCAGGCAAAGAGGCCACUGGGAGGCGCGGGAUCGUGGGAUGUGAAGCAGCAUGAACCACUGGAAAGGAUGCAGGCACGAAACAAUUGGAGGAAACAGCAGCGUUGGAGGUUAGGCGGCGGCGGCGCUGGAACAUACGUAUUUGAGGUAGGUGGAGGAAAGAAGCGACGGGUAGAAACCCCUCUUUUUACGGGCUUGCUAACGGAGGUCACAUAGCUUUUUAUCUUUUACUAGCAAAAGGGCCCGUGCGUUGCAACGGGAGAAAAAAAUUCAUAAUUUCAAAUGGUCAUGAUCACAUUUCGUUGCAUCACCGAGAUACAAUAUCUCUCUCAAUUUCUCGAAAUCAUGAACAUUUUGAAAUUAUGAACAAUUUGUUAAACUCAUGCACAUAUUUGAAAUCGCAAACAACAUACUAUUACAAAUUUCUGAACAUUUUCUACAAUCAAGAACAUUUUUUCAAUUUAUGAAUAUUUUUUGCUAUUUACAAACAUUUUUUAAAAAUUGUGAACAUUUUUAAGCAAUUUUCCUGAACUGGCAAACAUUCUAUAAUCGAUGAAAAUAUUUAGAAAUUGGGUGGAAUAGUUAUUGAAUUUGACGAACUUUUUUUGAUUUAGCGAACAUUUUUGGAAAUGUCCGUGCCUUGCAACGGAAAAAAACUAUCAAGUUAUACAUGUGUGGUAGAUAUAAAAAAGUAUGAAUCAAAUUCACAAAGUAUAUACAAAUCAUGUCAUGAUGCGAUAAGACACUUUUAAAAUGUAAUUUCAAAAAUGAACAAUAUGAUGCUCAUCAAGACUUGAUUUUUUAAGGCGUCACAACAAAAUAUUUUGUGGCUGAGCAAACUGCAUUGACGGACCCUGCCUGAGCUAUACUGAUAAAUAAAGUGUCUCAUCUGGACUUAGCGUAGCGGUGUUUACCAUAACCACUAUUGUGAUAUGAAAAUAAGCAUAACUGUGUAUGGAAGCAAAAUAGACAUUUAGUCAUUUUAAUAUAGCUUACAAAAACAAACCCUUAGAAAGUUAUGUCAAUUUUGUUGGGUUCAGCGUUGUACAAAACACGGAAACCCUUAUUUACCCAACGCGAAGGACUAAAUAAAAUCAUAAAACGAGCUAUAUAGAUCUCCUAAUAAAACCUUUAUGGAACCUACAAUUAGUUUUGUUCAUUAUUUACGGAUGUGUUUUAAUUUUUGUGAACAUUUUCUAAAAGCUGAUGGACAUGAUUUUUAAAUUCCUGAAUAUGCUUUGAAUAUUGGCUCAUUUAAAAAAAUCAUGAACAUUUUUUAUUUCAUGAAAUCAUUAGAAAUCGUGAUUUGUUUAUAAUUUGUGAGCAAUUUUUUAAGUCGUGAACAUUUUUUGAUUUUUAGAAUAUUUUUUAAAUUCACAAACAGUUUACCAUUUUCCUACUUUUUUUCAGAACUCGCAAUUGUUUGAUAUUUUGGAAAUCCGAAAUUAAUUUUGAGAUAAAAAACCAAAACAGAAAUAAAAAAGUAAAAAGAAAUAAAAAAUAGGGGGCGCCAUCAAUCCGAAAUUUAUUUUUAGGGAAAAAACAAAAUAGAAAUAAAAAAAAGAUAUAGAAAACAGGGGGCGCCACGACCCGCACAUGGGCUGGCCCAUUACUGCGCUUGGUAAAAAGAAAGAGAAAAAAGCGUGAGAACCAGGGAUCGAACCUUGGUCUCCUGUGUGGAGCAUCGUUGCCUCAGCCAUCACGCUGCUCAUGCAUUGGUGCUAUUAUAUCGUAUCCACCUUUAAUAACAGAAUCCUGGAGCGAUAUUAGAAAUUAAAAACGAAUCGUUUUUGCCACUUACGGGUGGCAUUGGUGGGUAAUUAUUGCCAACUUCGAGGGCACUUUUAAUGACGGACGACCAGAAGCACUCCGUGCUUUAUUAGUAGGGAAAGAUUAGGAAAACGUACUUAUAUACCUAGGCUGCCGCAUGCGAUGCCCAUGUUAAACGCUGAACCGAGCGUGGUUUCUAUUUCUACAAACUCGUAAGGAUUGUGGGCCUAUGAUAUAUAGAUAGAUAGACUCUAGGAUAAAUCUACACCGUAAUAAUACUGUCCCAUUAGAUUAACGGUUCCUAAUUACUGAUUAACGUAAGAAUUUUUAGGAAAUGCAAAAUUAGUAUAGGUAUAGAUAUAGAUAUAGAUAGAUAUAGAUAGAUAGAUAGAUAGAUAGAUAUAGACUAGCAAAAGAGCACGUGUAUUGCAACGGUAGAAAAAACACAACACAAACUCUUAACCGAGCAACCAUCACUCAAGACCAUAAUAUAGGUCCAUCUCCUUUAUUUUAGCGACGCAUCAUAUUUGUGUUGCCGCUUAUCCUUUUUCUCACCCUCGCCGGUGGUGGCCUUAGUGUUCACACAAAUCAAAACAUGUUAGAAUAUGGUUAAUCAUAAGACGUCUCUCUCUCCCUCUCUACUCCCUCUCUCUCUCGCACGCUUCUCGGGAGGCGUGUGAGCGCAGUGCAGUGUGCAGGCUGACCGAGAGGCGUGCAAGCUGUCCUCGAAUGCGCAGGCUCAUCGAGAAGCGUGCGAGCUGUACGCUGCACAGGCUCACUAGGAAGCGAGACAUUUGACUUCCAUGGACGCCCGCCUUCCUCUCCGUGUGUCGGUGUACAAAAAUAGGGGCUCUCCUUUUACACCCCUUAACUUGUGCACGGGCAGUCAGAGCCGCGCCCACGGCCACACUAAGAAGGGUAGAGGAGCGAAGCCGGAGCAUAAGACGACCAAAGCAACGCCAAGACCAGAGGCGCAAAGAGAGCAAGGGGGCGAGCUGGACUCCCCCGGCAAGACCCUUGUCGGGGUGGCUUCCGCAGCCUCGGCAAGAUCCUUGCCGGGGCAACUUGCCUGACGUCAGCAGAGCGCGCCACCCUUGAGCCCAAGGGGUUCCAACUUCCAACACCAUAUUUGAACCAAGGCUCGGGAGGCACCUCCGUGGUGGCAUGCAGAUCUUUGUAGAGAUCAUAGAUACACAAGAUCAUAUGAGAACCAAAAGACCACGAUCCUUGGCGAGAUCCUUGCCGAGGAUAUCCACGAAACCCCCGGCAAGAUCCUUGCCGGGGACGACCGCGGUGCCACAACGGGACCCUUGUCGGGCCUCGGCAAGAUCCUUGCCGAGGACGCCUGCGGGGCCGCAGCCAGGCCCGCGUCUGCCAAGACUCCACCGCCGCUCCCAUGCGGCUGCCAGCUCGACCAGCUGGGCAGGCGCAUGCGUGGCGGCGCGCGGCCUCUACACCAACUCAGCAAGCACCUGCGUGGUGGCAUGCAGAUCUUCGUGAAAGCUCCACCACCGCGCCAGCCCAGCAGCCAGCCAACGUGGCGCUACAACGCCUCCUCAGCUUUGACGCGCGUCGGAGCCAGGCGAGGCGACGACAGCUGGGACGAACUUAUUUGUCGUCCCCAAUAAAGCAAGAGGGGCACGUUGGCAGCGCAUUAAAUGCGUUUGUCCGACGAUGCCAGGGGAUAGAAUCAUCCCCUGUACACCUUUCCACCUCCUGUGUGCCACUGUGGCGACCCCUUUUUGUCUAGAAAAGGAGGCCCGAGGCAUACUGGAGGGGGAUUCGGAUCUUUUGUACUAGGGAGCCGCUGCAGCUAGUUCAAGAACACAAGAACACCUAAAUAUACAUCAAAGCAGGACUACGGUUUUACGCGUCUCCGCGGCCCAAACCUGAGUAAACGAUUUGUGUGCUGACCGCCUGACCCGCUCUUUGCACAACCCCGCGCCUGCCAACCGUAGAAGGGAUCCCAGUGACCCCAUAGGUGUCGUUUUCCACCGACAUCUCUGGCGCGCCAGGUAGGGGGUGCGCAGUUGUGAGAAUCCGGUCUGGUUGAAGCAACGGCUUCAUCGUGGUCGUCGCUUCAAGCAAGAAGAAGAUCAAACAAAUGGCGUCCUCGGUGGACGCGCGAACGCUCACGCAGCGGCAAAAAAGCUAAGUCAUGCGAAACUUUGAGUAAUUCCUUUUUAUAUAUAUGGUUAUCGUCUUCGACGAUCUUGCCCUGUGUAUGGAAAACCUGCACACAAUGGGGCCCUACCACUAUUGGCAACGCCCUUAUUCUAUUUCGAGUCCGCUCAACAGUUCAAGUGGCUGCGUCGAGAACAGCAGGGUGACCUUCUGCGAUUGGCAACGCUCUCAUUCUGUCUCGAGUCCGCUCGACGGCUCGAGUGGUCGCGUCAAGAGCAGUGAGGUGAUUUGCCCGGCAGCAAGCAUACCCGGCAGGCCAUUGAGGAUCCGUCCUCAAGGCGCCGCCUGGGUUUCCGCGCCGGCAAACCUACACGAUUAACGUAGGGUGGACAUACAAGGGGAGAUCAAACGGGAAAAUAACAUGCAUCGUUUCAAAAGUACUGCAGAGUUAUAUUACAUCAUUUAUUUGCUGUGGUUCUAACUAAAGAUAAAAAUUGUCUUGGUCAUGAACCUACAGCGACGAUAAGAAACGGGGUGCCUAGUCCCGGCGCUGGCCUUGUACCCUCCAAACUCUGUUGAUGCGGCUGAUGACGGGCUUGAUGCGCUCCUCGAGCGGCACGGGGUCCACGUCGUCUGGCAAGCUAUCCAGCGAAGCUUCGAAGUCGAGGUCAGGGUUCCAGUACGCCAUCUUGGUGAGGACCUUGGUCAUGGCACCCCGGUAAAGCCUCCGAGCCUCUUCGGCCAGAGAGGCCGCCCAGUUGGAGCGAAUCCGCUCCAGGGCCCCGAGAACACCCUCGAAGAAUAGAGUCAGCCUGGCAUUAGGACUCAUGUUCAGCUCUGGGACGUACCUCACGUUGGGCAUCCCCAUGGUAGCCAGGUACAUGGAGAGCCUGUCAGCGACCUCGGCGAGGCGGCUGACCCAGAACUUCUCGCCCGCCACAAAUUCUGCGUGGCUUGCGGCGUCGUUCUUCCGCAGCUGCCUCAACUCCUCCAGAUUCGUGGUCAGGGUCUCCUCCCGGGCCCUGACCUCCGAGAGCGUCCCUUCAAGACCCUCCAGCUUCAGCUUCAGGUCCUUGAUGGACUCGUUGGCCAUGGAGACUAGCUCGGCCUUCUCGAGGAUUGCGGCCUGCGCGUCAGCCAAAGCACUCUUGGCCGCGUCCCUCUCCCCCGUCAGCUCCUGGACCUGCCUCUUCAGUCCGUCACGCUCCGCCUCCAGCUCGUUCAUCUUGUCGGCAUGGGCCUGGGCCUAAGCAUUGAGGGUCUCCUUGUGCCUCUGCUCUAGUUCCCGGAUCCGCUGCAUGACGAGCUCCUGGACCUCCUCGUCCUUGCUGCGGAGUGUCGCGGCGAGCUUAUCCUUGCGAGCGGCAAGGUCCUCCUCCUGGGAGUUCAGAUCGGACUGGUGCUGGAGCCGGGUGGCCUCCUCCUUGGCGGCCUAUUGACUCGCUGCCUCCUGGGCCUUCUUGAUGUCGGCCUGCUUCAUGACAAGCUUCAGCUUGUGGUCGGCCAGCUGGUCUUGGGCGGCCUUGAAUUCCUCACAGGCUUGGCGGAUCCAAGCUUGCGCCUCGGUGACGCGCCCUUCAAGGUCUGCCUCCACCUUGUCCACCGCUGCCAUCCUGGACUUGGCCUUGUCCACGCGGGCACGGUGAAGCGCCUGAAGCUUGUGGAAGCUGGUGCUCAUGCUCUGGAGGAGCCGCUCUUCCUGGGAACCGUCGCCGCCGAUGCUCGGUCCGUCAACGACCUCAAGCCCGGUGGCGCCAAGCACCUCGUCGUCGAACACCUCCCCCUCAGCGGGCGCCCUGGUGCUCGCCGUCCAUGGGAGGUGGACGAACAAGUCGUUGCCCACCUUCAGAUAUUUGCCCGAGCCAGAAGCGGCGGAGGAGGAAGGCUGGUUGUCGACCACCUCCUCCUCGGCAGCAUCCUUGCUGGCCUCCCCGGCAGGCCCCUUGCCGGCCUCCUCAGUAGCGACCUUGCUGGCCUCCCUGGCAGGCCCUUUGCCGGCCUCCUCGGCAGCGGCCUCGCCGGGCUCCCCGGCAGGCCCCUCAGUGGCCUCCUCAGCAACGUCCUUGGCGUCUUCCUCAGCGGCGAUCUCGUCGGCCUCGGCUGUGGCCUCUCUGGCGACAUCUCCGAUGACGGUGUCCACGUCCGUCGAGGAAGGAUCUGGGUACUGAGAAGGAGAAUGAGGCAAAGCCAAGAUCAAAGUUUGAAAGAAGAAAAACGAGCGGGAACGGGAGGCAAACAACUCACUUGUGCCAAGCUGGGACGAAGUGGCCCCCUCCCCACCGACAUUCCGUGCUGGGACGGAGCCGCCGGCGCCCGGGUUCACCUCCUCCACCUCCGUGCACAUGGGCUCGGUGCUUGGCGCCCUUGCCGGGGACCCCCCUCGUGGUGGCGUGGUCGAUGAGGGCGGCAUGUUGGGGGUGGCCCUCAGUGGCUCCUCCUGCUUCCGUUCCCCUCCUGCAACCACGGCAAGGUCAACGCCAAUAAAUCGUGCCCUAGCACACGUCAAUGGGGAGCGAGUGAUGAAUGCACACUAGGGGAUGCGCCAGGGGCUGCUCUCCGGGAUGCUCUCCACCACCACCACCAGCGUACUCGAGGUGCCCGUCGGGGCUGGCCACCCGGCGAGGCCUUGGCCCUCUUCACCACCCUCUAGGCAAGCGUCUUCCUAUCCCUGCGAAGAUGAAGACAAGUCAAGGAAAGUGGCACGGUUCGAGGGGACGGAUAUGACAAAAGACGAGACACUUACUCAUCCUCUGCCUCUUCUUCUGCGCUCUUCCUCCUCGGGCUAAGAGACCCGAUGUCGAAGAAGACCUCCAUGUCGUCACCCACGGCGGGAGGGGAAGCAGGUGGGUUCGGGGAACACUUGGAUGGAGAUGUUGGAAAUAUGCCCUAGAGGCAAUAAUAAAAUGGUUAUUAUUAUAUUUCUUUGUUCAUGAUAAUUGUCUAUAGUUCAUGCUAUAAUUGUGUUAUCCGGAAAUCGUAAUUCAUGUGUGAAUACAUAGACCACAACACGUCCCUAGUGAGCCUCUAGUUGACUAGCUCGUUGAUCAAAAGAUAGUCAUGGUUUCCUGACUAUGGACAUUGGAUGUCAUUGAUAAUGGGAUCACAUCAUUAGGAGAAUGAUGUGAUGGACAAGACCCAAUCCUUAGCAUAGCUCAAAGAUCGUGUAGUUCAUUUGCUAUAUCUUUUCGGAUGUCAAGUAUCAUUUCCUUAGACCAUGAGAUUGUGCAACUCUCGGAUACUGUAGGAGUGCUUUGGGUGUGCCAAACAUCACAACGUAACUGGGUGACUAUAAAGGUACACUAUGGGUAUCUCCGAAAGUGUCUGUUGGGUUGGCACGAAUCGAGACUGGGAUUUGUCACUCUGUAUGACGGAGAGGUCACGAGGAGUUCCGAAAUGGUCCAGAGGUGAAGAUUUAUAUAUAGGAAGUCAAGUUUCGGCCAUCGGGAAAGUUUCGGGGGUAAUCGGUAUUGUACCGGGACCACAGAAAGGGUCCCGGGGGUCCACCGGGUGGGGCCACCUAUCCCGGAGGGCCCCAUGGGCUGAAGUGGGAGGGGAACCAGCCCCUAGUGGGCUGGUGCGCCCCCCUUGGGCCUCCCCCUGCGCCUAGGGUUGGAAACCCUAGGGGUGGGGGCGCCCCACUUGGCUUGGGGGGCACUCCACCCCCCUUGGCCGCCGCNNNNNNNNNNNNNNNNNNNNNNNNNNNNNNNNNNNNNNNNNNNNNNNNNNNNNNNNNNNNNNNNNNNNNNNNNNNNNNNNNNNNNNNNNNNNNNNNNNNNNNNNNNNNNNNNNNNNNNNNNNNNNNNNNNNNNNNNNNNNNNNNNNNNNNNNNNNNNNNNNNNNNNNNNNNNNNNNNNNNNNNNNNNNNNNNNNNNAGGGAGGGCAGCCGCAGCCUAGUCCCUGGUGCCUCCCUCUCCCUCCCGUGACACUUCUCCCUCUCCCUGAGCUUGGCGAAGCCCUGCCGAGAUCACCGUUGCUUCCACCACCAUGCCGUCGUGCUGCUGGAUCUUCAUCAACCUCUCCUUUCCCCUUGCUGGAUCAAGUUGGAGGAGACGUCUUCCCAACCGUAUGUGUGUUGAACGCGGAGGUGUCGUCCGUUCGGUGCUAGGUCAUCGGUGAUUUGGAUCAUGACGAGUACGACUCCAUCAACCCCGUUCUCUUGAACGCUUCCGCGCGCGAUCUACAAGGGUAUGUAGAUGCACUCCCCUCUCCCUCGUUGCUAGAUGACUCCAUAGAUUGAUCUUGGUGAUGCGUAGAAAAUUUUAAAAUUCUGCUACGUUCCCCAAUAGUGGCAUCAUGAGCUAGGUCUAUGCGUAGUCUCUAUGCACGAGUAGAACACAAAGCAGUUGUGGGCGUGGAUAUUGUCAAUUUGCUUGCUGUUACUAGUCUUAUCUUGAUUCGGCGGCAUUGUGGGAUGAAGCGGCCCGGACCGACCUUACACGUACGCUUACGUGAGACUGUUCCACCGAUUGACAUGCACUAGUUGCAUAAGGUGGCUGGCGAGUGUCUGUCUCUCCCACUUUAGUCGGAUCGGAUUCGAUGAAAAGGGUCCUUAUGAAGGGUAAAUAGAAAUUGGCAUAUCACAUUGUGGUUUUGGCGUAGGUAAGAAAAGUUCUUGCUAGAAACCUAUAGCAGCCACGUAAAAACUUGUAACAACAAUUAGAGGACGUCUAACUUGUUUUUGCAGCAUGUGUCGUGUGAUGUGAUAUGGCCAAAAGGAUGUGAUGAAUGAUAUAUGUGAUGUAUGAGAUUGAUCAUGUUCUUGUAAUAGGAAUCACGACUUGCAUGUCGAUGAGUAUGAUAACCGGCAGGAGCCAUAGGAGUUGUCUUAAUUUAUUUAUGACCUGCGUGUCAACAUAAACGUCAUGUAAUUACUUUACUUUAUUGCUAAAGCGUUAGCCAUAGUAGUAGAAGUAAUAGAUGACGAGACAACUUCAAGAAGACACGAUGAUGGAGAUCAUGGUGUCAUGCCGGUGACAACGAUGAUCAUGAAGCCCCGAAGAUGGAGAUGAAAAGGAGCAAAUGAUAUUGGCCAUAUCAUGUCACUAUUUGAUUGCAUGUGAUGUUUAUCAUGUUUUGCAUCUUAUUUGCUUAGAACGAUGGUAGCUUAAAUAAGAUGAUCCCUCAUAAUAAUUUCAAGAAAGUGUUCCCCCUAACUAUGCACCAUUGCGAAGGUUCGUUGUUUCGAAGCACCAUGUGAUGAUCGGGUGUGAUAGAUUCUAACGUUCGAAUACAACGGGUGUAAGCCAGAUUUACACACGCAAUACACUUAGGUUGACUUAACGAGCCUAGCAUGUACAGACAUGGUGUCAGGACCCCGACUCAAUGCCACAUCGAUCUAGCAUGUAACACCUCAUAUCACUUUGCGGCCUCACGCACGGUAUUCCCACGGGUGUCGCCUUACCUUUGCCCGGGACCGUUUGCGCCUUUUGGCACACGUAUAUGACAGUGCCGCUAGCAUCCAUAUGAUAAGGAGCCCGGGCUGACAUGGCUAGUCGUAAACCCAAAGUGGCACAGUCUUAUAGGGACAGGCAUCCAUGACCCAGCAUCAAACGUGUCGGUCAUCAGCGAGUGAAUCCAGGCUGUAGCACUGGGCUAGCAGGACUCCGGUGAACCGGGCUGUAGCGGGCUAACAGGACUCCGGUAUUCAUCGCGUGACAUUUCCCCGAAGGGACAGACACAGGAACGAAGAAGGACACAUGCCGGCCAGCCUAAGUGUUCCGGAGCAGUAGCAAGCUACCAUGGCUCGGUGGAAACACUAGGAGACAUUUCCCGGUAAGAGAGGCUACUAAGGAUAAACAACUAGAUAGUCAGAUCCCACACAUACCAAGCAUUUCAAUAACAUACACACAAUAUGCUCGAUAUGUGGAAAUACAACAUGGCAUCACAUCAUGACUCUACGACUCAAGUAUUUAUUCAAUAGGCUCCGAGGAGCGAGAUAUUACAAACAUGGGUCUCAUGACCCAACAAUCAGAGCAUACAAGUCAAAGCACAUGCGGAAGCUUAACAUGUCUGAGUACAGACAUCUAGAAAUGAAAAAGGUUGAGAAGCCUGACUAUCUACCAGAUCCUGCCGAGGGCACAAGAUCGUAGCUGAGGUAACAAGCUAAACGUCGAAGUCCACGUGGAACUACUAGUGAGACUGAAGUCUCUCUGCAAAAACAUAAAUUAAGCAACGUGAGUACAAAUGUACCCAGCAAGACUUACAUCAGAUCUAACUACAUAUGCAUCAUUAUCAACAAAGAGGGUGGGGAGUUUAACUGCAGCAAGCCAGCUUUGACUCGGUGGCUAACCUGAACUACGACCGCAAGUAACUCUUUUGAGGUGGCGCACACGAGUCCACAUAUUCACCAUAUCAAUACACCACUAUGGAUCCGCUCUCAUCUCCCUACGAGAACGCCAUCCAUAGCACUCACGCUUAUCUUGCGUAUUUUAGAGUAUCCACUUUCACUUGUCUAUGAACUAUGCAAGGGGUCCAAGUUUCCAUAUCCGAGGAAUCCGGCUAUUCGAAUAGAUAAUGAUAACCCUGCAGGGGUGUACUUCUUCACACACGCUCCCGCCACUUAUCGCCCUGUACACGUCAUGUACCUCGGCAACCUUCAAGCGGAAGCUGGGCGAGGGAGUCGGCCACGACCUGACUAACCAAACAAGUCUCUCGUCCAGGUUUAUCGCCUAUUCGGGUUCCAUCCGCAAGGAGAUCCGACCGGGGUGUUGCUCACAGCCCCAAACGAUGUGAGCAGGGUUCCCAAGCCCACCAUCCGGGUGCCACUUGGUACACCGUGCCACUGUGCCUAGUCUGUCCCAAGCCCACCUGUACCGGGUGCCACUUGGUAGACUACUAACACUACCUACAAACACCAGAAACUAGUUGCAACUCCUGGACAGAGAUCAUGUUGAUUAAUAAGUCGAGAGGGGUCGAGUUACCGGAACCCAAUGUGUGGUAGUAACUGGUCAUGGAUCACAAACACAGAACUCAGUUCCUGAGGACGGCUGCAAUGAGACAACCCACCAUGUACUCCUACAUGGCCUCUCACCGCUACCUUUACCAAAUCGUGUUCACACACUUAGCUUUCAACGGUAGGACAUGUUCACACACCUCUGGUUCAUCCCCGAUGAAUCAGACCUGACUCAACUCUAAGCAGUAGCAGGCAUGACAAACAAGCAAGAAUGAGUAGGCACAACAGGGCUCAAACAACUCCUACUCAUGCUAGUGGGUUUCAUCUAUUUACUGUGGCAAUGACAGGUCAUGCAGAGGAUAAAGGGGUUCAACUACCGCAGGAAGUAACAGAUGAAUCGUUGUUGUCCUAAUGCAGUAAAAGAGAGCAGGAGCGAGAGAGUGGGAUUUUAUCGGAAUGAACAAGGGGGUUUUGCUUGCCUGGCACUUCUGAAGAUAAUAUAGCUCUUCAUCGGUGUCAUCGAACUCAUCGUCGAACCACGUCUAUCGAGGGGGGGACAAUACCGGCAAACAAGGAAGAAACACAAUCAAUGCAAUGCACAAUAUGAUGCAUGAUCAUGACAUGUCAAUAUGAAUGUGUUUUGGGCUAAUGCAAGCUAGAACAGAUUGAAAUGAGUCCAUUUGAACCAAAGAUUCAAAUGCAAACCCAUUUUAUGAAGUCAUAUUAGUGAAAUAACCUGUUUCACCUAAACAGCAAGGUUAUUGUGUUCUAACAUGCAUGCAAAUGGUACAGAUGGAUAGAUUGGAUUUUUCUGAUCAUUUUUCAUAUAUAAUUUGUUUGAUUUGGAGUUACGGUUGAAUUUCUAUGAAUUUAUUGAAGUCUUAGCUAUUUUCUGGAAUUUCCUGAAUAAGAAUAAAUCCAUAAAACAUUACUGCGUCAGCAUGACGUUGGCAUGACGUCAGCAGGUCAACAGGGGCUGGUCCGGGUCAAACCUGGCCAGUGGGGCCCACUGGUCAGUGACUCAGUUGGUUAACUGGGUUGAUUAGGGUUAAACUAAUACUAACGAAAAUGUCAGCAGGGCUGGGCCCACAUGUCAGUGGCUUAAUUAAUUAACUAAAUUAAUUAGUGUUAACUAAUCUAACACCUAAACUAACAGGGCAAUUAGCACUAAUUAAAAUCUUACACUAAUUCAGUCAAAGGCCGGCCCCACAUGUCAUGGACACAGGGGGGGUCCCGCCAUGGUCAAAGUGGGUCAACCCACCGGCGACAUGACGCCGGCGAGGCCCGAGACGGCAGCGUGAUCCGGAAACGCGUUACAGGGCACGGGCGAGGCUGUGCUUGGGCUCGUUGGAGAGCCCUUGCUGGUGCGCAUCGAACGGUGGUGGUGGCCGUGCCUGUGGUGGCCGGUACCGACGACGGCGAGCUCAUGAGUGGCGGCCGGAGUUCGGGUGCGGUCGGGUUCGGCGCUGCUGCUCACAAACGAGGGAGCUGAGGCGCUGGAGGGGCUCUACGGGUCGCGGCAAGCACAAUGGGUGCACGCCCGUGACCAAAUGGUCAGCGGGGUUUCGCCAGCGACGAGCCUGUGCGGCGGAGCAUCUCGGCUCCGGUAGAGGGGGCGGCUAGAGCUCGAAAUCGGACAUGGGGUUAGGGGGAAACGAAGCAGGGGCUCACGGGGAUCAUGCAGGGAGGGUCAGCGAGCUUGGGGAAGCACGAACGGCGGCGAAUCGACGGCGACCAUCGGCGGCGGUCGAGGACGAAGAUGAUGGCGUGGAGGUGAUGCAGAGCUUCCCGAGGGGCUUGGCUCGGUGGGGAAGAAGAGGGGGUCGAGGCGGAGCUCCUGAGCUCAGCGGAAGGGCGAGGGGUGGCCGGUGGCUUUGGAUGCGACGGCGGCGCCCUCCGGUGGCUCUCGGUGGUGCUCCAAAUCGAGAGAGGGAGAGAGCUAGAGCGAGCAGAGAGAAGGGAUAGCGGUCGAGGGGGUCGAGGGCAUCUCCGUGGCGUCGCUAGAGGGCUCGGGGAGGAAGCAGGAGGUGGCCAGGGGAAGCAGGAGGUGGCCGAGGCAGCGUCGGCGCCCGUCGGCCACGCGCGCUGCCUACUGGCGCGGGGAAGACGACAGGAGGAGGUGGGCUGGGCCGGAACGGAAGCUGGGCCGGCUCUGCUGUAGGUGAGCGCCAGGUAAGUGGCUGGGCUGCCAGGUAAGUGCUCUGUUUUAUUUCUGUUUGUUUUAUUUUUUUUAAAUUUGUUUUGCCACUGUUUUGAAUUUAAAAAUAAUUCAAACAAUGCCAAAAACUCCUCUGAAUAUUUUUAUUUUGCUAGAUGGACUUUUCCAAAAGCUCAUAAAAUAUUUCAGGGGUAUUUGAAAUUAUAUUCUAAUUAUAUGAAUAUAAUUCAAAUUCAAAUAGCUAAUGAUUUAAAUUCAAAGUCCCAAGAUUAAGUCCUUAAAAAUGUUCAAUAUUUUUGGUUUGGAUCAAAACCCUUGCCAAAAAUAUUAAACAUCUAAGAAGAGCAUUUUGGAACAAUGAAUGAGAUUUUAGGGUUUUUGCCCUUCUUUUAUUUAAGUUUUUGAGGCUUCCAAAUUUCCUCAGUUCAAGUUUCAGAAAUUUAAACAUGAUGCAAACACAAGGCAGCACCAGAAGCUAGGGAUGUGACAACUCACCCCCACUAAACAAGAAUCUCGACCCGAGAUUCAAGUGUAGGGUAAGACGAAGGGGAAACGCAAACUAGUAUAAUCUUCACGAUCCAGGGUGCACUUCAUAAAAGCGUUGAUUCGAUCACCAUCUUUGUCCCGUCGUCUUGCUCUGAGAACUCCAACUAGCAUGACAGCAAGAGGAAAAGGACAACUCCGGAAGAAUCGAUCUUCUCGAAGAUCAAUCAACUUAGGAUCAGCUCACAAAGUGAGUCAUAGCAACAUCUCUUGAGCUGAGACACGAAGCAUACAUCUGAAGAAAUGGAGUGAGACAGAUGACGAGGGCUCGCUAAGUAGACAACAAUUCCAGACUUAAGAAUGUGGUGAUCGGUUGUCAACGUAGCGAGGAGUUGAGUUGCCAUGAUACCACAACGAGGCACCUUAGGGAUGGUGACUCGUAGAUAUAUCCCCUUAAGUGGCAAAAAGAAUUACCUUUGAUUCAGAGAUCAUUGAAACUCUUUAAACUAGCCUAAGGCAAUUCUCGAGCGAUCGUUUGGAGGGGGUCGGUAGAAUGGCAUACUCGGACUUGGAUGAUGUGGAUUACCUUGUUGAAGACAACGUAAUGGAUGAAUUUGCUUACCACCGGAAAUGGAAGAGACCCAUGGUAGAAUGGCACAAUGGCGGUGCAAGCUGGGAACAAAAUGCAAAUGCUGGGAAUGAUUCUGGUAACUGGGAAGGAACCCAAUAGUAGAGAGUGAAUCCACUGUUUGAAAGGGUCAUAGCAUUAUCGAGGAAACUGAGAGGAAUCCAGUUAGUGCCGAUGAUAACACCUAACGCUUGUGCGUGCUCUCAAGAACUUGAGCAUUUCCAUAAUCAUCAAGAUUUUACCAAUAUCCGUGUCAGGGAUCCUGGAAACACAACUUGCUACCAUGAUGAAUGAUGAUGGAUGAUGCAGAUGCAAAGGAAGAUAACACUUUCUCAUAUUUCACCCUUGGCGAAAUAAAAUCUGGAUGAUCGACCGAGAGACAUUUAGCACUCCGCUUCUAAUGUUCUCCUUGAUGUGCUAGUGUAACCCCAUUCAUAGAAAUGGUCUGGUAUCUAGAACAUCAAGUAAAGGUCGGACUUCGGAAACACAAAAAAUCAUAAGGCACAACUAGGGAGUAAAUCCUACGAAGUCCUUAUGGGAAGGUGGCCAACUUCUUCAAUCAAGAUACUACAAUAAUAGGUCUUUCGGCUGGGUGUGUUGGCCAUGACAUCCACUUUACCGGUUAUCGAGGGACCAAUAUUAUAGUUCUUGGGGAAAGGUUCCAACCAUCAUAUCUGCCUGAGAUUCAGAUGUGGUUGGUGUCAGGAUAUUCCAGACUCAUCGAGUCUAGGAAGAAAAACGAAAGUUUGCAACACAAAUCGACGAGAUGACGUUGCGAGAUUCUCGGGGAAUGAACUACGAUAGCAAGCUCCAAAGCAUGAGCUGGUUCUGCUACGCACGUGUGAACACGCUGUUCCAGGCAAACAUGAUCACAUGGUAGUCUUACAAUAAAACACUACCGAGUUCGGGUAGGGAACCAUCAUUGAGGAUAUCGAAGUUCUUUCAUAAGUCUGGAUUAGCUCUUAUGAAGGAACUCCUUCUCCUUGAACAAAUCAAUUAGUGGCUUGGGGUGCUACGGAAUACAUAUGGAGUGGAGGUAAUUAAUCUACCAAACCAUAGUAUACUUUGCACAUGCAUGACUGACUUGGGACGAUUCCAGAGGAAACAAAACAAACCUUUCUCAAACCCACGGCGGCAACUUGCACCAAAUGGACAUGAAUUAGAGGAAGUCACUUCUUCCAUCCAAGCAUAGGCUUCAUGAACGGAACACGAAGGCAUUGCUUACAAAGUUUCCAACACUAGGUUGAUGUUCAACAUGAAUCAUGGGGGAGGCAAAAUGCUGCUGAUGGGCUCAACAACAACUCAUUGGAAUUUCCAUAUCACUGGACUUCCACCAUCAUGUGAACACGGUGAUAGUAUUGGUCAGACCAAAAGAUGUAAUGGUAUAUGCUCGAGGGAUCAACCACGAGUAAGACAACAUUAUGAGCAUCGUUGGUACUGAUUUGAUUGACGAUAGCCCACACUCAAAUCAAAGGAUUGAUAAGACAAUAGGUCCAGCAACUGAUCACAGGGACCAAUCGAUGAAGAUAUCAUCUUUCUUCAACACACACUACACAAGAAUAUCCCUUUGGAACGAACUAAGUUAGGUAAGCUUUUAUCUUCCAACUCUCCAAGUUGUCGUUUAGCUUAACCAACUAGCUCAGAGGUAUCCAACACGGAUUCUUGGAGAAGGGUGGUUUACAGGAAUAAACCAACUUGAUCACGAACUCAACAUAGCGGUCAGGUGACAACCUGGUAAUACUUCCGAGAAGAUAUACGGAAAAUCACGAACCACCGAUAUGUUACUAAGCUCGAGAACAAUCUUGCUUUUUAGGGCAAGAUGAUAUGAUCAAAUGAGCGAGGACUUGACAAAAUCCUAACUCAUUAAUCAAAGAGUGCACCAGGAAAUAAGGACUAGGUAGCACAAUCUAUCUUAGAAUGGUGAUUCAAUAACCAACAUGCUAAGAAUAAGAUUAUUGUCCAUUUAACUACCAAGCAGCGAGGUUGCUAGGAGUAUUGAUUUCACACAUCACAAUUCUUCUGUCGGUAUUCCGGUUGCAUCAACACGGGGACCGAGAAAUGAAUAAUGAUGGCGAGAAGUAUCACUGCACCAAGAAUUCAUAAGAUGAUGUGUAAUUCCUAUGACUUUCUUGACAUAAGAGGGUAAUACUUCAGGGUAGAACAGAACAAAAACUGGAUUAGUAUUUGAUCUGCGGAGUACAACUGCUUUGACCCAAUCCUGAAUAUGGAUGAGGUACUGGAGUUCAUUUCUCCUAGUCAUCCUGGAUAGAAUGGCUUAACGGUCCACAAGAUUAAAAAGCAUCGAUGAACGAAUGCACAUAUACUCUUGACUAUCAAUUGGUAGACGAGGUUCAGAAGACAACUAGAGCGGGACAACUCAAAGGAACAUAUGAUUUUCUGAGUUGUGGAUGCAUGGUUUAGCAUGUCGAACAAAGUUCAACAUAUUUCUUCCGGAUAACCCAUGCAGAGAGGUAGAACUGGCAGAUUCACAAUAUAGAAUGGAGAACUCAUCAAAAGCACUCUAGUUGUGAUCUUUUGGUUCAAAAGAACUCCUGCCAAGAAUGGUUCAUGGUAUUUGGAAGAACGAUAUACCACGGACCUCGAGGACUAUCGCAAAGGUUACUAAUAACCUAAGGGAGCUAGCAAUUACUAUCAACAUGAGGUAAGUAGGGUAAUCUUGGGUUCAAAACCCAGAAGUAGAAUACCUACUACUAAGUGGCAUCACGGGAUGCUUUGGAGAAUACAGACCAGAAUCAUCACACUGGGAACACAAAACAUGGCUAGACUACUAGAUGAUCCCCUGAGACACCUAGGGUCAUAAUAAUAACUCCAACAUAAAGGUCGAGGCGGUAGAGUACCUCAACUCAACAAUUUUUGUGAUUAACCUGGCCUAGAAAGACAUUGAAACCAGAGGAAAAGGAUUUUGCAAAUGCAUCAGACUAUUUAGAAACCUGGGAUGACUCGGACAGCGUAACGGCUGUAAAUGCUCAGAAAAGACUUGAGACAUUCACAAAAAUGGUGGCAUAACCACUCAGAAGCACAAUAUCAAGAUUUCGAGAUGAACAAUUAACAUGCAGAAGUCGUAGGAACUGAACUCAAGCUUAAAUCCAACAAUCUUAUAAGUCUACGGAUUAGUAACACGUGAUCCUGAUAGAAAGAAGAGAAAUCCUAAUUCCUUAACCCUGUAGGAAAGAUAAGAUGACUCAGAUCAGAAGGGCAUAAGGUAUAAGGAGUAAAAAGAGCCUUACGUUCCAUCCCACAAUCAAUUCCCUUAUAUAACUAAAGAAUUUCUAGACUCAACUUCGACCAGUUUGGCUUGGUAAUCCUACAGGCAGUCAAGCUCUAAUACCAACGCUGUCAGGACCCCGACUCAAUGCCACAUCGAUCUAGCAUGUAACACCUCAUAUCACUUUGCGGCCUCACGCACGGUAUUCCCACGGGUGUCGCCUUACCUUUGCCCGGGACCGUUUGCGCCUUUUGGCACAUGUAUAUGACAGUGCCGCUAGCAUCCAUAUGAUAAGGAGCCCGGGCUGACAUGGCUAGUCGUAAACCCAAAGUGGCACAGACUUACAGGGACAGGCAUCCAUGACCCAGCAUCAAACGUGUCGGUCAUCAGCGAGUGAAUCCAGGCUGUAGCACUGGGCUAGCAGGACUCCGGUGAACCGGGCUGUAGCGGGCUAACAGGACUCCGGUAUUCAUCGCGUGACAUUUCCCCGAAGGGACAGACACAGGAACGAAGAAGGACACAUGCCGGCCAGCCUAAGUGUUCCGGAGCAGUAGCAAGCUACCAUGGCUCGGUGGAAACACUAGGAGACAUUUCCCAGUAAGAGAGGCUACUAAGGAUAAACAACUAGAUAGUCAGAUCCCACACAUACCAAGCAUUUCAAUAACAUACACACAAUAUGCUCGAUAUGUGCAAAUACAACAUGGCAUCACAUCAUGACUCUACGACUCAAGUAUUUAUUCAAUAGGCUCCGAGGAGCGAGAUAUUACAAACAUGGGUCUCAUGACCCAACAAUCAGAGCAUACAAGUCAAAGCACAUGCGGAAGCUUAACAUGUCUGAGUACAGACAUCUAGAAAUGAAAAAGGCUGAGAAGCCUGACUAUCUACCAGAUCCUGUCGAGGGCACAAGAUCGUAGCUGAGGUAACAAGCUAAACGUCGAAGUCCACGUGGAACUACUAGUGAGACUGAAGUCUCUCUGCAAAAACAUAAAUUAAGCAACGUGAGUACAAAUGUACCCAGCAAGACUUACAUAAGAUCUAACUACAUAUGCAUCAUUAUCAACAAAGGGGGUGGGGAGUUUAACUGCAGCAAGCCAGCUUUGACUCGGUGGCUAACCUGAACUACGACCGCAAGUAACUCUUUUGAGGUGGCGCACACGAGUCCACAUAUUCACCAUAUCAAUACACCACUAUGGAUCCGCUCUCGUCUCCCUACGAGAACGCCAUCCAUAGCACUCACGCUUAUCUUGCGUAUUUUAGAGUAUCCACUUUCACUUGUCUAUGAACUAUGCAAGGGGUCCAAGUUUCCAUAUCCGAGGAAUCCGGCUAUUCGAAUAGAUAAUGAUAACCCUGCAGGGGUGUACUUCUUCACACACGCUCCCGCCACUUAUCGCCCUGUACACGUCAUGUACCUCGGCAACCUUCACGCGGAAGCCGGGCGAGGGAGUCGGCCACGACCUGACUAACCAAACAAGUCUCUCGUCCAGGUUUAUCGCCUAUUCGGGUUCCAUCCGCAAGGAGAUCCGACCGGGGUGUCGCUCACGGCCCCAAACGAUGUGAGCAGGGUUCCCAAGCCCACCAUCCGGGUGCCACUUGGUACACCGUGCCACUAUGCCUAGUCUGUCCCAAGCCCACCUGUACCGGGUGCCACUUGGUAGACUACUAACACUACCUACAAACACCAGAAACUAGUUGCAACUCCUGGACAGAGAUCAUGUUGAUUAAUAAGUCGAGAGGGGUCGAGUUACCGGAACCCAAUGCGUGGUAGUAACUGGUCAUGGAUCACAAACACAGAACUCAGUUCCUGAGGACGGUUGCAAUGAGACAACCCACCAUGUACUCCUACAUGGCCUCUCACCGCUACCUUUACCAAAUCGUGUUCACACACUUAGCUCUCAACGGUAGGACAUGUUCACACACCUCUGGUUCAUCCCCGAUGAAUCAGACCUGACUCAACUCUAAGCAGUAGCAGGCAUGACAAACAAGCAAGAAUGAGUAGGCACAACAGGGCUCAAACAACUCCUACUCAUGCUAGUGGGUUUCAUCUAUUUACUGUGGCAAUGACAGGUCAUGCAGAGGAUAAAGGGGUUCAACUACCGCAGCAAGUAACAGAUGAAUCGUUGUUGUCCUAAUGCAGUAAAAGAGAGCAGGAGCGAGAGAGUGGGAUUUUAUCGGAAUGAACAAGGGGGUUUUGCUUGCCUGGCACUUCUGAAGAUAAUAUAGCUCUUCAUCGGUGUCAUCGAACUCAUCGUCGAACCACGUCUAUCGAGGGGGGGGACAAUACCGGCAAACAAGGAAGAAACACAAUCAAUGCAAUGCACAAUAUGAUGCAUGAUCAUGACAUGUCAAUAUGAGUGUGUUUUGGGCUAAUGCAAGCUAGAACAGAUUGAAAUGAGUCCAUUUGAACCAAAGAUUCAAAUGCAAACCCAUUUUAUGAAGUCAUAUUAGUGCAAUAACCUGUUUCACCUAAACAGCAAGGUUAUUGUGUUCUAACAUGCAUGCAAAUGGUACAGAUGGAUAGAUUGGAUUUUUCUGAUCAUUUUUCAUAUAUAAUUUGUUUGAUUUGGAGUUACGGUUGAAUUUCUAUGAAUUUAUUGAAGUCUUAGCUAUUUUCUGGAAUUUCCUGAAUAAGAAUAAAUCCAGAAAACAUUACUGCGUCAGCAUGACGUUGGCAUGACGUCAGCAGGUCAACAGGGGCUGGUCCAGGUCAAACCUGGCCAGUGGGGCCCACUGGUCAGUGACUCAGUUGGUUAACUGGGUUGAUUAGGGUUAAACUAAUACUAACGAAAAUGUCAGCAGUGCUGGGCCCACAUGUCAGUGGCUUAAUUAAUUAACUAAAUUAAUUAGUGUUAACUAAUCUAACACCUAAACUAACAGGGCAAUUAACACUAAUUAAAAUCUUACACUAAUUCAGUCAAAGGCCGGCCCCACAUGUCAUGGACACAGGGGGGGUCCCGCCGUGGUCAAAGUGGGUCAACCCACCGGCGACAUGACGCCAGCAAGGCCCGAGACGGCGGCGCGAUCCGGAAACGCGCUACAGGGCACGGGCGAGGCCGUGCUUGGGCUCGUUGGAGAGCCCUUGCUGGUGCGCAUCGAACGGUGGUGGUGGCCGUGCCUGUGGUGGCCGGUACCGACGACGGCGAGGUCGUGAGCGGUGGCCGGAGUUCAGGUGCGGUCGGGUUCGGCGCUGCUGCUCACAAACGAGGGAGCUGAGGCGCUGGAGGGGCUCUACGGGUCGCGGCAAGCACAACAGGUGCACGCCCGUGACCAAAUGGUCAGCGGGGUUUCGCCAGCGACGAGCCCGUGCGGCGGAGCGUCUCGGCUCCGGUAGAGGGGGCGGCUAGAGCUCGAAAUCGGACAUGGGGUUAGGGGGAAACGAAGCAGGGGCUCACGGGGAUCAUGCAGGGAGGGUCAGCGAGCUUGGGGAAGCACGAACGGCGGCGAAUCGACGGCGACCAUCGGCGGCGGUCGAGGACGAAGUCGAUGGCGUGGAGGCGAUGCAGAGCUUCCCGAGGGGCUUGGCUCGGUGGGGAGGAAGAGGGGGUCGAGGCGGAGCUCCUGAGCUCAGCGGAAGGGCGAGGGGUGGCCGGUGGCUUUGGAUGCGACGGCGGCGCCCUCCGGUGGCUCUCGGUGGUGCUCCAAAUCGAAAGAGGGAGAGAGCUAGAGCGAGCAGAGAGAAGGGAUAGCGGUCGAGGGGGUCGAGGGCGUCUCCGUGGCGUCGCUAGAGGGCUCGGGGAGGAAGCAGGAGGUGGCCAGGGGAAGCAGGAGGUGGCCGAGGCAGCGUCAGCGCCCGUCGGCCACGCGCGCUGCCUACUGGCGCGGGGAAGACGACAGGAGGAGGUGGGCUGGGCCGGAACGGAAGUUGGGCCGGCUCUGCUGCAGGUGAGCGCCAGGUAAGUGGCUGGGCUGCCAGGUAAGUGCUCUGUUUUAUUUCUGUUUGUUUUAUUUUUUUAAAAUUUGUUUUGCCACUGUUUUGAAUUUAAAAAUAAUUCAAACAAUGCCAAAAACUCCUCUGAAUAUUUUUAUUUUGCUAGAUGGACUUUUCCAAAAGCUCAUAAAAUAUUUCAGGGGUAUUUGAAAUUAUAUUCUAAUUAUAUGAAUAUAAUUCAAAUUCAAAUAGCUAAUGAUUUAAAUUCAAAGUCCCAAGAUUAAGUCCUUAAAAAUGUUCAAUAUUUUUGGUUUGGAUCAAAACCCUUGCCAAAAAUAUUAAACAUCUAAGAAGAGCAUUUUGGAACAAUGAAUGAGAUUUUAGGGUUUUUGCCCUUCUUUUAUUUAAGUUUUUGAGGCUUCCAAAUUUCCUCAGUUCAAGUUUCAGAAAUUUAAACAUGAUGCAAACACUAGGCAGCACCAGAAGCUAGGGAUGUGACACAUGGCCUGGGAACACGAAAGACCGAAAGGUCGAGCAUGAGUCGUAUAGAAGAUACGAUCAACAUGAAGAUGUUCACCGAUGUUGACUAGUCCAUCUCACGUGAUGAUUGGACACGGCCUAGUUGACUUGGAUCAUGUUUCACUUAGAUGACUAGAGGGAUGUCUAUCUGAGUGGGAGUUCAUUGAAUAAUUUGAUUAGAUGAACUUAAUUAUCAUGAACUUAGUCUAAAAUCUCUACACUAUGUCUUGUAGAUCAAAUGGCCCACGCUAAUGUUGCCCUCAACUUCAACGCGUUCCUAAAGAAAACCAAGCUGAAAGACGAUGGAAGCAACUAUACGGACUGGGUCCGGAACCUGAGGAUCAUCCUCAUAGCUGCCAAGAAAGAUUAUGUCCUAGAAGCACCGCUAGGUGACGCACCCAUCCCAGAGAACCAAGACGUUAUGAACGCUUGGCAGUCACGUGCUGAUGAUUACUCCCUCGUUCAGUGCGGCAUGCUUUACAGCUUAGAACCGGGGCUCCAAAAGCGCUUUGAGAGACACGAAGCAUAUGAGAUGUUCGAAGAGCUGAAAAUGGUUUUCCAAGCUCAUGCCCAGGUCGAGAGAUAUGAAGUCUCCAACAAGUUCUUCAGUGUAAGAUGGAGGAAAACAGUUCUGUCAGUGAGCACAUACUCAAAAUGUCUGGGUUGCAUAACCGCUUGACUCAGCUAGGAGUUAAUCUCCCGGAUGACGCGGUCAUUGACAGAAUCCUUUAGUCACUUCCACCGAGCUACAAGAGCUUUGUGAUGAACUUCAAUAUGCAGGGGAUGGAAAAGACCAUUCCUGAGGUAUAUUCAAUGCUGAAAUCAGCGGAGGUGGAGAUCAAAAAGGAACAUCAAGUGUUGAUGGUUAAUAAAACCACUAAGUUUAAGAAAGGCAAGGUUAAGAAGAACUUCAAGAAGGACGGCAAGGGGGUUGCCACGCCCGGUAAGCAAGCUGCCGGGAAGAAGUCAAAGAAUGGACCCAAGCCCAAGACUGGGUGUUUUUAUUGCAAGGGAAGUGGUCACUGGAAGUGGAACUGCCCCAAAUACUUAGCGGACAAGAAGGCCGGCAACACUAAAGGUAUAUGUGAUAUACAUGUAAUUGAUGUGUACCUUACCAGUACUCGUAGUAGCUCCUGGGCAUUUGAUACCGGUGCGGUUGCUCACAUUUGUAACUCAAAGCAGGAGCUGCGGAAUAAGCAGAGACUGGCGAAGGACGAGGUGACGAUGCGCGUCGGGAAUGGUUCCAAGGUCGAUGUGAUCGCCGUCAGCACGCUGCCUCUACAUUUACCUACGGGAUUAGUUUUAAACAUCAAUAAUUUUUAUUUAGUGCCAGCUUUGAGCAUGAACAUUGUAUCAGGAUCUCAUUUAAUUCGAGAUGGCUACUCAUUUAAAUCCGAGAAUAAUGGUUGUUCUAUUUAUAUGAGAGAUAUGUUUUAUGGUCAUGCUCCGCUAGUGAAUGGUUUAUUCUUAAUGAAUCUCGAGCGUAAUGUUACACAUAUUCAUAGUGUGAAUACCAAAAGAUGUAAGGUUGAUAAUGAUAGUCCCACAUACUUGUGGCACUGCCGCCUUGGUCACAUAGGUGUCAAACACAUGAAGAAGCUCCAUGCAGAUGGACUUUUGGAGUCUCUUGAUUACGAAUCAUUUGACACGUGCGAACCAUGCCUCAUGGGUAAAAUGACCAAGACUCCAUUCUCAGGAACAAUGGAGCGAGCAACCAACUUAUUGGAAAUCAUACAUACUGAUGUGUGCGGUCCAAUGAGUGUUGAGGCUCGCGGUGGCUAUCGUUAUGUUCUCACCCUCACUGAUGACUUGAGUAGAUAUGGGUAUGUCUACUUAAUGAAACACAAGUCUGAGACCUUUGAAAAAUUCAAGGAAUUUCAAAGUGAGGUUGAGAAUCAACGUGACAGAAAAAUCAAGUUCUUGCGAUCAGAUCGUGGGGGAGAGUACUUGAGUCGCGAAUUUGGCACACACUUAAGGAAAUGUGGAAUAGUUUCACAACUCACGCCGCCUGGAACACCUCAGCGUAAUGGUGUGUCCGAAUGUCGUAAUCGCACUCUAUUGGAUAUGGUGCGAUCUAUGAUGUCUCUUACCGAUCUACCGCUGUCAUUUUGGGGAUAUGCUUUAGAGACUGCCGCAUUCACUUUAAAUAGGGCACCGUCGAAAUCCGUUGAGACGACACCGUAUGAAUUAUGGUUUGGGAAGAAACCUAAGCUGUCGUUUCUAAAAGUUUGGGGAUACGAUGCUUAUGUGAAGAAACUUCAACCUGAAAAGCUCGAACCAAAAUCGGAAAAAUGCGUCUUCAUAGGAUACCCUAAAGAAACUAUUGGGUAUACCUUCUACCUCAGAUCCGAAGGCAAGAUCUUUGUUGCCAAGAAUGGAUCCUUUCUAGAGAAAGAGUUUCUCUCGAAAGAAAUAAGUGGGAGGAAAGUAGAACUCGAUGAAGUAUUACCUCUUGAACUGGUAAGUGGCGCAACUCAAGAAAAUGUUCCUGAGGUGCCUGCACCAACUAGAGAGGAAGUUAAUGAUGAUGAUCAUGAAACUUCAGAUCAAGUUGCUACUGAACUUCGUAGGUCCACAAGGACAUGUUCUGCACCAGAGUGGUACGGCAACCCUGUCCUGGAAAUCAUGUUGUUAGACAACGGUGAACCUUCGAACUAUGAGGAAGCGAUGGUGGGCCCAGAUUUCGACAAAUGGCUAGAAGCCAUGAAAUCCGAGAUAGGAUCCAUGUAUGAAAACAAAGUAUGGACUUUGACUAACUUGCCCGAUGAUCAGCGAGCCAUAGAAAAUAAAUGGAUCUUUAAGAAGAAGACAGACGCGGAUGGUAAUGUAACCAUCUAUAAAGCUCGGCUUGUUGCUAAGGGUUAUCGACAAGUUCAAGGGGUUGACUAUGACGAGACUUUCUCACCCGUAGUGAAGCUGAAGUCCGUCCGAAUCAUGUUAGCAAUUGUCGCAUUCUAUGAUUAUGAGAUAUGGCAAAUGGACGUCAAAACGGCAUUCCUUAAUGGUUUCCUUAAGGAAGAAUUGUAUAUGAUGCAGCUGGAAGGUUUUGUCGAUCCUAAGAAUGUUGACAAGGUGUGCAAGCUCCAACGCUCGAUCUAUGGGCUGGUGUAAGCAUCUCGGAGUUGGAACAUUCGUUUUGAUGAGAUGAUCAAAGCGUUUGGGUUUACGCAGACUUAUGGAGAAGCCUGCAUUUACAAGAAAGUGAGUGGGAGCUCUGUAGCAUUUCUCAUACUGUAUGUGGAUGACAUACCGUUGAUGGGAAAUGAUAUAGAAUUCUUGGAAAGCAUAAAGGCCUACUUGAACAAGUGUUUUUCAAUGAAGGAUCUUGGAGAAGCUGCUUACAUAUUAGGCAUCAAGAUCUAUAGAGAUAGAUCGAGAUGCCUCAUUGGUCUUUCACAGAGUACGUACCUUGACAACAUAUUGAAGAAGUUCAAUAUGGAUCAGUCAAAGAAGGGGUUCUUGCCUGUAUUGCAAGGUACGAGAUUGAGCACGGCUCAAUGCCCGACCACGGGAGAAGAUAGAGAAAAGAUGAGUGUCGUCCCCUAUGCCUCGGCCAUAGGGUCUAUCAUGUAUGCUAUGAUGUGUACCCGACCUGAUGUAAACCUUGUCGUAAGUUUGGUAGGAAGGUACCAAAGUAAUCCCGGCAUGGAACACUGGACAGCGGUCAAGAAUAUCCUGGAGUACCUGAAGAGGACUAAGGAUAUGUUUCUCGUUUAUGGAGGUGACGAAGAGCUCGUCGUAAAGGGUUACGUCGAUGCUAGCUUCGACACAGAUCUGGAUGACUCUAAGUCACAAACCAGAUACGUGUAUAUUUGGAAUGGUGGGGCAGUAAGCUGGUGCCGUUGCAAGCAAAGCGUUGUGGCGGGAUCUACAUGUGAAGCGGAGUACAUGGCAGUCUUGGAGCAAGCAUAAGAGGCAAUCUGGGUGAAGGAGUUCAUUACCGACCUAGGAGUCAUACCCAAUGCGUCGGGCCCGAUGACUCUCUUCCGUGACAACACUGGAGCUAUUGCCCUUGCCAAGGAGCCCAGGUUUCACAGGAAGACCAGGCAUAUCAAGCGUUGCUUCAACUCCAUUCGUGAAAGUGUUCAAAAUGGAUACAUAGAUAUCUAUAAAGUACAUACGGACCUGAAUGUGGCAGAUCCGUUGACUAAACCUCUCCCUAGAGCAAAACAUGAUCAACAACAGAACUGCAUGGGUGUUCGAUUCAUCACAAUGUAACUAGACUAUUGACUCUAGUUCAAGUGGGAGACUGUUGGAAAUAUGCCCUAGAGGCAAUAAUAAAAUGGUUAUUAUUAUAUUUCUUUAUUCAUUAUAAUUGUCUAUUAUUCAUGCUAUAAUUGUGUUAUCCAGAAAUCGUAAUACAUGUGUGAAUACAUAGACCACAACACGUCCCUAGUGAGCCUCUAGUUGACUAGCUCGUUGAUCAAAAGAUAGUCAUGGUUUCCUGACUAUGGACAUUGGAUGUCAUUGAUAACGGGAUCACAUCAUUAGGAGAAUGAUGUGAUGGACAAGACCCAAUCCUAAGCAUAGCUCAAAGAUCAUGUAGUUCGUUUGCUAUAGCUUUUCCGAAUGUCAAGUAUCAUUUCCUUAGACCAUGAGAUUGUGCAACUCCCGGAUACUGUAGGAGUGCUUUGGGUGUGCCAAACGUCACAACGUAACUGUGUGACUAUAAAGGUACACUACGGGUAUCUCCGAAAGUGUCUGUUGGGUUGGCACGAAUCGAGACUGGGAUUUGUCACUCCGUAUGACGGAGAGGUAUCUCUGGGCCCACUUGGUAAUGCAUCAUCAUAAUGAGCUCAAUGUGACCAAGUGGUUGAUCACAAGAUCAUGCAUUACGGUACGAGUAAAGUGACUUGCCGGUAACGAUAUUGAACGAGGUAUUGGGAUACCGACGAUCGAGUCUUGGGCAAGUAACGUACCGAUUGACAAAGGGAAUUGUAUACGGGAUUGAUCGAAUCCUCGACAUCGUGGUUCAUCCGAUGAGAUCAUCAAGGAGCAUGUGGGAGCCAACAUGGGUAUCCAGAUCCCGCUGUUGGUAUUAACCGGAGAGUCGUCUCGGUCAUGUCUGCGUGUCUCCCGAACCCGUAGGGUCUAGACACUUAAGGUUCAGUGAUGCUAGGGUUGUUGAGAUAUUAGUAUAUGGUAAUCCAAAAGUUGUUCGGAGUCUCGGAUGAGAUCCUGGACGUCACGAGGAGUUCCAGAAUGGUCUGGAGGUGAAGAUUUAUAUAUAGGAAGUCAAGUUUCGGCCAUCGGGAAAGUUUCGGGGGUAAUCGGUAUUGUGCCGGGACCACCGAAAGGGUCCCGGGGGUCCACCGGGUGGGGCCACCUAUCCCGGACGGCCCCAUGGGCUGAAGUGGGAGGGGAACCAGCCCCUAGUGGGCUGGUGCGCCCCCCUUGGGCCUCCCCCUGCGCCUAGGGUUGGAAACCCUAGGGGUGGGGGUGCCCCACUUGGCUUGGGGGGCACUCCACCCCCCUUGGCCGCCGCCCCCCUUGGAGAUUCAAUCUCCCAGGGCCGGCGCCCCCCUAGGGGUCCUAUAUAUAGUGGGGGGAGGGAGGGCAGCCGCACCCUAUUCCCUGGCGCCUCCCUCUCCCUCCCGUGACACUUCUCCCUCUCCCUGAGCUUGGCGAAGCCCUACCGAGAUCACUGUUGCUUCCACCACCAUGCCGUCGUGCUACUGGAUCUUCAUCAACCUCUCCUUUCCCCUUGCUGGAUCAAGUUGGAGGAGACGUCUUCCCAACCGUACGUUUGUUGAACGCGGAGGUGCCGUCCGUUUGGCGCUAGGUCAUCGGUGAUUUGGAUCACGACGAGUACGACUCCAUCAACCCCGUUCUCUGAAUGCUUCCGCGCGCGAUCUACAAGGGUAUGUAGAUGCACUCCCCUCUCCCUCGUUGCUAGAUGACUCCAUAGAUUGAUCUUGGUGAUGCGUAGAAAAUUUUAAAAUUCUGCUACGUUCCCCAACAGGAGAAGGGGCAGCCGCUCUCUUCUUCACCACCGCAACCUUCACCGCCUUCCCCGCUGUCGCGGCCCUUGUCUGACGCAUGGACGCCUCCGAAGGUUGUUGCGGUUGUGCGGUCCAGCCGGGGAGGACCGGCUCUCCGGAGACGGCCCGCCGCAGGACACGCCCUCUCCCUGUGGCUGGGGGCUCGACAGCCUCGGCCUCCUCCUCAGACAACUCAUCGAUGUCAUCUUCGAUGAGAGGGGCCCCGGUGCCGACGCUGCUGGCCUUCCCAGCGGAUUCCACCCACUGGGCGAGCUCCUUGUCCUCCGCGAACAUCGCGGCCUCGUUCUCCAUGCCGCCAGCGCUGCCAGCCUCCUUGGCGAGCUCCGCCUCCGCACCCUGGCGGCGAUGUAGUCCAGCUCCGCCUGGGUGGUGUCCUGGAUGAGCCGCGGCUCCUCACGGACGUACUUCUCCAUCAAGGUGUCGAAGAACUCCUACACCUGAUCCUCCUCCGGCUCGGCCCAAUUUGGGUCAAGGCCAUGCGCGUUGAAGUCUGGCAUCAUGGCGAUGAUGUCGGUUUGGCGAGAGUUGUUGCUCAGCGAGACCACCCCAGCCGGCAACCCGGACUAGGGCCCCUUGACGACCUUGCCGGCCUUCAUGGCCAUGCCGGCCCUCUCGGCCCUGCCGUCGCGACUCACGUCGAGCUGGAAUAGCCGCUGGCAGAAAUGGGCAUGCCCCAUCACUGUGAAGUAAUGGUUCAGGCCAGGGUGAAGUCUCAUGAUGUCAUCCGCAUUGCUAAAAAGCCAGGCCGGCCUCCCCUUGUUGUGAAGUGGAGCGAUUCGGCGGCGGAUGAAAUCCGCCCCAACCAUCUCCAGGGUGAGCCCGGCAGCGACAAGGCGGUGGAUCCUGGUGGUGGCGACUGUGAGCCUCCCGUCCUGGGCGUCGACUACUACCUCUUGAGCACUGCGUUGGUUUUCCCUUGAAGAGGAAAGGGUGAUGCAGGAAAGUAGCAUAAGUAUUUCCCUUAGUUUUUGAGAACCAAGGUAUCAAUCCAGUAGGAGGCUACGCGCGAGUCCAUCGCACCUACACAAAACAAAUAAAUCCUCACAACCAACACGAUAAGGGGUUGUCAAUCCCUACACGGUCACUUAUGAGAGUGAGAUCUGAUAGAUAUGAUAAGAUAAUAUUUUUGGUGUUUUUAUGAUAAAGAUGCAAAGUAAAAUAAAAGCAAAGGAAAUAACUAAGUGUUGGAAGAUUAAUAUGAUGAAGAUAAACCCGGGGGCCAUAGGUUUCACUAGUGGCUUCUCUCAAGAGCAUAGAUAUUUUACGGUGGUUGAACAAAUUACUGUUGAGCAAUUGACAGAAUUGAGCAUAGUUACGAGAAUAUCUAGGUAUGAUCAUGUAUAUAGGCAUCAUGUCCAAGACAAGUAGACUAACUCCUGCCUGCAUCUACUACUAUUACUCCACACAUCGACCGCUAUCCAGCAUGCAUCUAGAGUAUUAAGUUCAAGAGAACAGAGUAAUGCUUUAAGCAAGAUGACAUGAUGUAGAGGGAUAAACUCAUGCAAUAUGAUAAAAACCCCAUCUUGUUAUCCUCGAUGGCAACAAUACAAUACGUGCCUUGCUGCCCCUACUGUCACUGGGAAAGGACACCGCGAGAUUGAACCCAAAGCUAAGCACUUCUCCCAUUGCAAGAAAGAUCAAUCUAGUAGGCCAAACCAAAUUGAUAAUUCGAAGAGACUUGCAAAGAUAACCAAUCAUACAUAAAAUAAUUCAGAGAAGAUUCAAAUAUUGUUCAUAGAUAAACUUGAUCAUAAACCCACAAUUCAUCGGUCUCAAGAAACACAUCACAAAAGAAGAUUAGAUCGAAUAGAUCUCCACAAGAGAGGGGGAGAACUUUGUAUUGAGAUCCAAAAAGAGAGAAGAAGUCAUCUAGCUAAUAACUAUGGACCCGAAGGUCUAAGGUAAACUACUCACACUUCAUCGGAGAGGCUAUGGUGUUGAUGUAGAAGCCCUCCGUGAUCGAUGCCCCCUCCGGCGGAGCUCCGGAACAGGCCCCAAGAUGGGAUCUCGUAGAUACAAAAAGUUACAGCCGUGGAAUUAGGGUUUUGGCUCCGUAUCUGAUCGUUUGGGGGUACGUAGGUAUAUAUAGGAGGAAGGAGUAUGUCGGUGGGCCCAUGAGGGUGGAGGGCGCGCCUGGGGGGUAGGCGCGCCCCCUACCUCGUGGCCUGCAUGUUGGUUGCUUGACAUAGGGUCCAAGUCUCCUGGAUCUUGUUCAUUCCAAAAAUCACGUUCCCGAAGGUUUCAUUCCGUUUGGACUCAGUUUGAUAUUCCUUUUCUUCAGAACCCUAAAAUAGGCAAAAAAACAGCAAUUCUAGGCUGGGCCUUCGGUUAAUAGGUUAGUCCCAAAAAUAAUAUAAAAGUGAAUAAUAAAGCCCAAUAAUGUCCAAAACAGAAGAUAAUAUAGCAUGGAGAAAUAAAAAAUUAUAGAUAUGUUGGAGACGUAUCAAGCAUCCCCAAGCUUAAUUCCUGCUCGUCCUCGAGUAGGUAAAUGAUAAAAACAGAAUUUUUGAUGUGGAAUGCUACUUGGCAUAAUUUCAAUGUAAUUAUCUUAAUUGUGGUAUGAAUAUUCAGAUACGAAAGAUUCAAGACAAAAGUUUAAUAUUGACAUAAAAAUAAUAAUACUUCAAGCAUACUAACUUAGCAAUUAUGUCUUCUCAAAAUAACAUGGCCAAAGAAAGUUAUCCCUACAAAAUCAUAUAGUCUGGCUAUGCUCUAUCUUCACCACACAAAGUAUUUAAAUCAUGCACAACCCCCAUGACAAGCCAAGCAAUUGUUUCAUACUUUUAAUGUUCUCAAACCUUUUCAAUCUUCACGCAAUACAUGAGCGUGAGCCAUGGACAUAGCACUAUAGGUGGAAUAGAAUGGUGGUUGUGGAGAAGAUAAAAAGGGAGAAGAUAGACUCACAUCAACUAGGCGUAUCAACGGGCUAUGGAGAUGCCCAUCAAUAGAUAUCAAUGUGAGUGAGUAGGGAUUGCCAUGCAACGGAUGACCUAGAGCUAUAAGUAUAUGAAAGCUCAAAAAGAAACUAAGUGGGUGUGCAUCCAACUUGCUUGCUCACGAAGACCUAGGGCAUUUUGAGGAAGCCCAUCAUUGGAUAUACAAGCCAAGUUCUAUAAUGAAAAAUUCCCACUAGUAUAUGGAAGUGAUAACAUAGGAGACUCUCUACCAUGAAGAUCAUGGUGCUACUUUGAAGCACAAGUGUGGUAAAAGGAUAGUAGCAUUGUCCCUUCUCUCUUUUUCUCUCAUUUUUUUAUUUGGGCCUUUUCUCUUUUUUUAUGGCCUCUUUUAUUUUUUUUAUUUUUCGUCCGGAGUCUCAUCCCGACUUGUGGGGAAUCAUAGUCUCCAUCAUCCUUUCCUCACUGGGACAAUGCUCUAAUAAUGAUGAUGAUCACACUUUUAUUUUCUUACAACUCAAGAAUUACAACUCGAUACUUAGAACAAGAUAUGACUCUAUAUGAAUGCCUCUGGCGGUGUACCGGGAUAUGCAAUGACUCAUGAGUGACAUGUAUGAAAGAAUUAUGAAUGGGGGCUUUUCCACAAAUACGAUGUCAACUACAUGAUUAUGCAAAGCAAUAUGACAAUGAUGGAGUAUGUCAUAAUAAACGGAACGGUGGAAAGUUGCAUGGCAAUAUAUCUCGGAAUGGCUAUGGAAAUGCCAUAAUAGGUAGGUAUGGUGGCUGUUUUGAGGAAGGUAUAUGGUGGGUGUAUGAUACCGGCGAAAGGUGCGCGGUAUUAGAGAGGCUAGCAAUGGUGGAAGGGUGAGAGUGCAUAUAAUCCAUGGACUCACUACUAGGAAAAGGGCUAUAGAUAGGAUUGAUACUAAUGGCGCACCAGGGAAGUAGUGCGCUACUACUAUAUACUAAUGGCGCACCUGUUGGUGAUGCGCCAUUAAUGUGGAAGACACUAAUGGCGCACCAGAAACAGGGUGCGCCACUAGUAUUAAUUUUUUUUCCAUUUUUCCAUACAUACUAAUGGCGCAUCAGGUCGACAAUGCGCCAUUACUAGUUCUAACUAGUAAUGGCGCACCAGGCAGAGAGUGCGCCAUUACUGUAGUUUUUUCUUAUUCUUUUUUUUGCAAAACUACUAAUGGCGCACCGUUUCACAGUGCGCCAUUACUAGUUUAAACUAGUAAUGGCGCACUAUUACAUGGUGCGCCAUUAGUAUAUAUAUUUAUAUUUUUUACUUUUUUGCAAAACUUCUAAUGGCGCACCACCUGCAGGUGCGCCAUUAGUAACCAGGGUUACUAAUGGCGCAUUUCCUUGUGGUGCGUCAUUAGUAACCUGGGACCCCAACAAGAUAUUUUGGACAGCCCCACACCUACCCACUCACUUUCCCCACUUCAUUUCCUCCACCUUCUUCUCCAAGCUUUCGGCUGCCUCCUCCUCCUCACCUCAUUUCCACCAUAGAUUCAUCAAAAUUAAGUGGUGAAAUUACCUUUUUUUGAUAGGUAAGUAAGGGGAAAGCUAUCUUCAUGAUGUAGAUCUACUUUUUUCUCCCUAGCUCGCUCCAACAACGUGCACAUGCACUUUUUGUGGCCUAGCUAGAUCUAUGUAUGUUUGUGGUGUUGCAUGUGUUUGUGGUGUUGCAUAUAUGUGUGUCCUAUGGAUUUACCGCACGUGAAAUACCACGCGGCGUCACUCGAUACAAGAAGAGGAAGAAAGCUCCUCGAAAAUCGGUGUGGUACUUUCCGAUCACUCCUUGUCUGCAGCGGUAUUUCACGGACCCUAAGGUAGCAAAGCUCCUGCGUUGGCACGCGGAUAGGGAGGAGAAGAAGCGGGAAGAUGACGGAAAUGAUCCGGAGAUAAAUAAAAAAGACAAGAUGUUGAGUCACCCUAAGGAUGCGAGCCAGUGGCAAGCGUUGAACUUCGAAUACCCAGAAUUUGGGAAGGAUCCAAGGAACAUCGUGCUGGGCGCGAGCACCGAUGGAGUCAAUCCGUUUGGCAGCCAGAGAAGCACACAUAGCACCUGGCCUGUGUUUGUGUGGAUGUACAACCUUCCCCCUGGUUGUGCAUGAAGAGGAAGUACAUUCACAUGAGUAUGCUAAUUGAAGGGCCGAAACAACCAGGGAACGACAUCAAUCUGUAUCUGGGGCUGCUGAAGGAGGAGCUAGACACACUGUGGAAAACACCAGCCAAUACGUGGGAUGCCGCAGAGAAAGAAUAUUUCCCUAUGAGAGCCGCACUGCUCACGACGGUGCACGAGUAUCUCGGUUAUGGAUAUCUUGCGGGGCAGGUAGUCCACGGAUUUUCUGGAUGCGUAAGGUGCAUGGAUGACACAACGUAUCGCCAGCUAGAUAGAGAUCCCGGGUCUUCGAAAACUAUGUUCAUGGGACAUCGAAGGUGGCUUCGCGAUGAUGACCUAUGGAGGAAAUGCAAGGAUCUGUUCGAUGGUGAAACCGAACCCCGAAAACGCCUGUGUAUGAGGAGCGGCGAGGAAAUAGAUGAGCUAUUGAAAAAUUGGAAAGACUGCCCACUGCUGGGAAAGAAGCAAAAGGCGCCAGAGCCGGGAAAGAAGCGAAAGGCGCCAGAGCCGCUGCUGAAGGUAUGGAAAACGAGGUCUGUUUUCUGGGACUUGCCGUAUCACGAAGAACAUGUGCGAGAGUCUGCUUGGUACCCUGCAUAUCAUGAAGAACGUGUGCGAGAGUCUGCUUGGUACCCUGCUCAACAUGCCAGAGAGGACCAAAGAUGGGCCGAAAGCAAGGGCAGACUUGAAAUCAAUGGGCAUCAGGCAGGAGCUUCACGCUAAUGAUGAUGAUGAUGAUGAUGAUGAUGAUGAGGCGAAGCAGGACACAGAAAGUCAUCGCAAAGGCAAAAAGGCCAAGAAGACCGGAAAUGACUACCCUCCCGCAUGCUUCACUCUAAGUCAGGAGGAGAUCAGGCAGUUUUUCACCUGCCUCCUAGGAGUAAAACUUCCUUACGGUUACGCGGGGAAGAUAAGCAGAUACCUAGACCCAGCGAAGCAGAAGUUCAGCGGGAUGAAGUCUCACGACUAUCACGUGCUGAUGACGCAGAUACUUCCAGUUGCAAUCUGUGGGAUCAUCGACGCGCACGUAGGCAGGCGCAUGCGUGGCGGUGCACAGCCUCUACACCAACUCAGCAAGCACCUGCGUGGUGGCAUGUAGAUCUUCGUGAAAGCUCCACCACUGCGCCAGCCCAGCAGCCAGCCAACGUGGCGCUACAACGCCUCCUCAGCUUGGACGCGCGUCGGAGCCAGGCGAGGCGACGACAGCUGGGACGAGCUUCUUUGUCGUCCCCAAUAAAGCAAGAGGGGCACAUCGGCAGCGCAUUAAAUGCAUUUGUCCGACGAUGCCAGGGGAUAGACUCAGCCCCUGUACACCUUUCCACCUCCUGUGUGCCACUGUGGGGACCCCUUUUUAUCUAUAAAAGGAGGCCCGAGGCAUACUGGAGGGGGAUUCGGAUCUUUUGGACUAGGGAGCCGCUGCAGCUAGUUCAAGAACACAAGAACACCUAAAUAUACGUCAAAGCGGGACUAGGGUUUUACGCCUCUCCAUGGCCCAAACCUGGGUAAACGAUUUGUGUGCUAAUCGCCAGACCCGCUCUUUGCACAACCCCGCGCCCGCCAACCGUCGAAGGGAUCCUAGUGACCCCAUAGGUGUCGUUUCCCACCGAUACCGUGUGUGCGCCCUCCUUAGUGGCAUGGGACGCCGCCGUCGAACGCUACAUCUCAGCGCCGCCAGCUGCCAUCCUCCCGCACCCCGCUCGUCGACCCUGGGACGACAUGAUGCAAAGUGAGAGCAGGAUUUGUGCAUCUCUUCAAUGCAAACGGUUCUUUUGGAUGACCCGUGUGCAACCACUUACAAACAAUUUGGUGCGAUUUGCAUCUGUCAUAUUGGGUAUGUUACCAUUUGUCAAACUGGAAAGAUUGACAUUUGUUGAUCUAGUGACAUUGCCAUUUGUGCAGCUUGUAACACUGUGAUUUGUCAAAAUAUGAAGCUAAAAAUCACUAGCAGUAUCUAAUUUUUGCAACUAAAAUUCAGUAAUUAAGCAUAGAUUUCGAUUCAUUCAUAGAUUAAGCAGUCGUUCUUAAUUUAUACAAAUAGUUCAACUCGACAGCUGAACCAACCAAACUUUUCCCCAAUUGUUGCCAACCACGUACUGAAAUAGCUAGUUCAACUAUAUAUACUAACUAAUUUUAAGCAUGUUGUACAGUUCCACCACAUCUAUAGUCAGAUGAGUUGAACAAAAUAGCCCCUAAAUACUAGUAUUACUAGUGCGGAGGGGUUUUGUACUACUUACGGCUUCUUCUCCUCUGCCGAGCGCGCUCAGUAAGGGGCGGAGGAGGAGGAGUGUACCGACAAGCUGGGCAACCGCAAUAUGGUGCCUGCUGCUAUUGCAGCUUCAGUGACGCUCACCUCGAAUGCCCUCUGCUGCUCCAGACGACCCCUCUCGAAGCGGUGGUUCUCCUCGUAGAUCUCCUGACUCCUCGCCUCUGAGGCGGCGUGUGCCGCGGCCACGGUGGAGGUAAGGCUCCUUGCAUGCUCGACGAGGCGCUCCUCCUCCCGCAGGAACUCGGUGUAGCGCACAAGGCCGCUGACGCACGUGCAGGCAUCCACCUCCGCCUCCCGCCUUCGGGCAACAGCUGCCGACGGGCACCGGCGGCGGAGCGUGUGGUGGGUGUUCUGCGCACUACACUACGCCGGGGACUUUACCGCCGCCGCGGUGUAGCCUCCCAGCUGGAGUUGUCCUCUGAUGACGGCGGAGUGGCUGAGCGACGACGAUGGACCAGUGCCAUUGGUGAUUGUGGGAGAAGCAGAUGAGAUAAGCUACAGGGAGGGAGGGGAAAAUGUGACGCUGGACUCGCCGGCCGUGAGGGUUUUCAUAGCAGGCUGGUAAGCAUUGGGAUUUUGGGGGAUUUCACCGAGUCGGGUAGGAAGCUUGCGUGGGAACCUACGAGGAUGCGCAGGAACGCGCUCACCGAUGAUUCAUUGGCGCCACUGUUUGGCCAAAAGAACGCCCCCGCGCGUUGUGCAAGCUUGCGUUGUAAGCCAUCUGCGGCAGCGGGGUGACAAGACGUGCGAGAGGAGGACGAAAGGCCACAUACACAUACAGUUAAUAAAAAAACAUUUGUGAUUUAAUUACCUACUAUACCCCAUCCUGGUUUAUAAGUAUUAUUUAACUAAUAAAACACGAAUGCAUGUCGCCAAAGAUUAUAUAGUUGGAUUCGUAUUUGAACAUAGUUUCCAAUUAUAUAAUUUUUUAUAACAAGCAUUAACAUUUUGCUGGUUAAAUUUGAGGGAAAAGUAUGGCAUAGAAUAUAAAGGGAACUAUAGACUAGACGGAGGUGGUAGCACAUGGCCACUCUCUUCGCAGCGACGCGACUGUGAGCCGGCUUGUAGGCGACCAUUUCCCUGCAUGUUCAACUGCUCUAUGUGUGUGGUUGCUUGCGGUUCAGGCAGCCGCGGUGCGCUCUGCUCGUGUCCCGCCACGCGCGCUCUGCUCUCGCAUCACUCCGAGUGCUCUGCCCUCGUCCCUCCACGCGCGCUGCUAGUGUUUGGGGCCGGCGCAUGAUCACGCAUGUUCGUGUGCAUGCGGUUGCGUUGGGUGCGGUGCGACGAUGCAGUUACCCGCUACAAACUGCCAUGUGGACGCACCGAGAAUCCAUGCCGCCUGGGCCCCUUUUAUUCCUGCGGCCAUUUACCUUCAUCUCUCGUCUCACAAGACACAAUAAGCACACCCACGAGGACACAUAUAGAGAGGACAUCCAGCGGUUCCAAUGACGCUCCCCGUGGCUCCAAUGGCACUCCCAGGGGCUGACGACGACAACGGCGGGCAGUUCACCACGCAACACGUCGUGGACACCAACGUGACGGGGAAGGCUCUCUCGGUGGUGUACACGAACGAUCUGGUCUCGGUGGAGAGCUCCAUCCAAACUAUGGAGCAGUUCCUUGCCGAGGACAAGUACCAAGUGGUCGGCUUCGACCUCGAGUACACCAUGGGUCGUGCCGGGCACGAUCAGAAGGUUGUCGUCGCCCAGUUGUGUGUGCGAUAGGACGUACUUGUCUACCACUACCACCUGGACACAACGCCUUGCGAGUGUUUCUCCAGGUUUAUCAACAGCUCCAACUACAGUUUUGCUGUGGUGGACACCACCAACGAUCUAAAAGCGCUCAAGGUUUCGGGCAUGAAAUGCCCGAAUCUUGUCAACAUCCAGCGCCACUACAAGGUCUGGGGCAGCGACAAAAACAAACUAAACUCCCUGGUUGACCUCGCCUCGGCCAUCAUCGACCCCUACUACAUGAAGAUGAAGAAUGAGAGCAAUAAGGACAGGAACGCCUGGCACAGUGUGUGGCAUGAGAGACUGGAUGAACAACAUGUCAACUACGCAGCCAUGGACGUGUACACAAGCUACGAGAUGUACAGGCGGAUUGUUGACAUGAGGAACUAUCUUCUUUCUGACCUAGAUGAGGGAUCGAGCCACAUAGCAGUGGCGGGAGCGUCACAAGAAGUAGAUGACUAGACAAUCGUUUCUCCUACUUUAAGAUGCAUGCAAUUGUUUAUUGAGGUGUGUGUGAAUGAUCUGUAUAGUCACUUAUGUAAUUGCAUGUUUAUUUCAGUUAUAUAUAUACAUGUUAUUCUACUGUAGACAGAGCAAAUCACAUGGCUUAUUAGCAGCAAUCGUCUGUGUUAUUAUUGGUCUUCGCACACAUUUCUGAUUACGGACCUGUUUGCCGCGUAUCACACACAUCUUGUUUAGUUGAACCAUUUCCAUUGUGUUGCCUAAUCACACACAGUUCAUCCUAGUGAACCAUAUGCUAUAUAUCGCGCACGCCUUCAUCUGGCUGCCCGUUUCUUUUGUUCCUCCUCAUCCCAAACAGUUAAUUGAACUAAACCGUAUGCCUUGCAUCGCACACGCAACUAAAAUCUGAAUCGUGUUUGAUGCAUCUGUCAUCACAAAUGUUUUGCACCUUUUUGACGGGUUUUUUACACCACCGUUUGUGAUUAUGGCAUCGCACACAGUUUCGUCGAAGGGUCUCUAAUCAUAGUGUCGUGUUUGGACCAUCCUGCAGUAGUGUUAGUUUUGACAGUUAAGUUCAGAGAUGAGCGGCUGAUGUAUUUUACAUCUAGCACUUUGUGGCUAUGUAUUUUACGUCAUCUAUUGGAGAUGCUAUUAGAAUUCCACUCAGGUUAACGUUGUCUCUCUUGUCCUGCUUCAGCCUCGCUGUCGUACAACUCACCGGAGCUGCUCCAAUGACAAAACCGUCCAUCACAGCGGAGCAGUACCCGGGGCUCCAUCUCCAGGCGCCUAAGAUCUUCUUCCCCUCCUCCAACGGCCAAAUCAGCCGGAGCAUCCUCACCGACCAACCCAAUCACGCAGAGAUCGACAUGGCUUCGCCAAAGAGGUUGUACACCUGUUGCAUCGCUUUUUUACUCUAUGUGUUAUAUAUAUAUAUAUAUAGUCCACUGAGCACACGUAGUAACAUGAAAUACGAUUAGUUUCUCCUACUAUAUGACAAGCAGUGAGGUACCGGGCAACUUAGCUAUCCGUGAUGGACUCUCUUAAACGCCAUCAUUAUUUAUCUGUGCGCGUUUGAGCUAUGCAUUUGUAGAUGGGCCUGGGAGUUGAGCUAGUAGCGCAGUGGCUUGGGUCCAAAGUAGUAGAAGUAGCACAAAAACAUUUUUUUAGUGUAGGCUUUUCCCUGCUCAUGCCUGCCUACUAGAAUCACCAGUGAUUGAAAGGAAAACUGAAGGAAAAACAUAGGAAUUGGAAAGUUUCCUAUGGUACUACUAUUCAUCCAUUUGGUUCAAAGGAAUGGAGCAAAGGAAAACUGUAGGAUUUGUUCCUUUAGUGUCUCCUUGAACGAAAAACCGUAGGAAUUUUAAUAUCCACCUGUCCUCCUUUUCAAAUUCUUAUUCAUGAAGCACAAGACUAAGAGAUAGUAGCAUAAUGGCAUUAUAACCGUACAUUUUCUUGUGGUUUGACUUAAUCUCACCAUACUUCUUUGCAUCCUGUGAUCUUCCAAUUCUUGUGAACCAAACAACUAGAUUGGUAGAAAUCCUGUGUUUUUUAAUUCUCUAUUUUGCAUGUGCAUUCCUAUCAUGUUCCUGUGUUUUUCCUAUCCCUGCAUUGUUAGAAUCCUCCAAUUCAAAUAAGCCCUUAAACAGUUACUUCUCUUACAAAUAGUUGUCAAAGAAAACCUUGUGUGGUUUGUCCCGCUCCUACUGCGCUGUUGUCCACCCCAGCUCAGCUGCUCCAAUGACAGAAGGGUCCACCACAGCAGGGAUCCGGCCUCCAGACUAUCUUUCGCCGCCUCAGAUCUUCUUCCCCGCCGCUGGCAGCCACGACAACUGCAUUACCAUCAUCAACCGAGCAGAUGACCUCAAGGACUACACGGGUCUGCAAGAGAGGUCGCACUCUUUCAUGUCUGCUUAUGUUAUGCAUCGCUUAAUAUUACAUGCUACUUUAUCAUCCUGUUCACCGACUAGACUCUGAGUCAGGUCCAAACUAAUGGUCAAACUUGAGUUUUUAAAUGGUUGUGCGGUACAUAUUGUUGGGGAAUGUAGUAAUUUCAAAAAAAUUCCUACGCACAUGCAAGAUCAUGGAGAUGCAUAGCAACGAGAGGGAAGAGUGUUGUUUACGUACCCUCGUAGAACGUAAGCGUUAUGUCAACGCGAUUGAUGUAGUCAUACGUCUUCACGAUCGACCAAUCCCAACACUGAAGGUACGGCACCUCCGCGAUCUACACACGUUUGGCUCGGUGACGUCCCGCGAACUCACGAUCCAGUAGAUCUUCAAGGGAGAGCUUCAUCAGCACGACGGCGUGAUGAAGGUGAUGAUGUUGCUACCAGAACAAGGCUUCGCCUAAGCACCGCUACGAUAUGACCGAGGUGGAUUAUGGUGGAGGGGGGCACCGCACACGGCUUGGAACAAUCAACUUGUGUGUUCUAGGGUGCCCCCUGCCCCCGUAUAUAAAGGAGCAAGGGGGGAGGAUGGCCGGCCCUAGUGGCUCCCAAGGAGAUGAGGAAUACUCCUCCAAGUAGGAGUAGGAUUCAUCCUUUCCUAGUCCUACUAGGAAGGAGGAAGGGGGAAGGAAAGAGAGGGAGAGGGAAAGAGCGGCCGCGCCCCCCUCCCCUAGUCCUAUUCGGACUCCCCUGGGGGGGGCGCCACCUCCAGGGCUGCUGCCCUCUCUCUCCCCUAAGGCCCACUAAGGCCCAAUUCUUCCGGGGGGUUCCGGUAACCCCUCCGGCACUCCGGUUUUCUCCGAAAUCACCCGGAACACUUCCGGUGUCCGAAUAUAGCCGUCCAAUAUAUCGAUCUUUAUGUCUCGACCAUUUCGAGACUCCUCGUCAUGUCUGUGGUCAUAUCCGGGACUUUGAACUUCCUUCGGUACAUCAAAACACCUAAACUCAUAAUACCGAUCGUCACUGAACGUUAAGCGUGCGGACCCUACGGGAUCGAGAACUAUGUAGACAUGACCGAGACUCAUCUCCGGUCAAUAACCAAUAGCGGAACCUGGAUGCUCAUAUUGUUUCCUACACAUUCUACGAAGAUCUUUAUCGGUCAAAACGCAUAACAACAUACGUUGUUCCCUUUGUCAUCGGUAUGUUACUUGCCCGAGAUAUGAUCGUCGGCAUCUCAAUACCUAGUUCAAUCUCGUUACUGGCAAGUAUCUUUACUCGUUCCGUAAUGCUACAUCCCGUAACUAACUCAUUAUCUACAUUGCUUGCAAGGCUUAUUGUGAUGUACAUUACAGAGAGGGCCCAGAGAUACCUCUCCGACAAUCAGAGUGACAAAACCUAAUCUUGAUCCAUGUCAACUCAACAAACACCAUCAGAGACACCUAUAGAGCACCUUUAUAAUCACCCAGUUAUGUUGUGACGUUUGGUAGCACACAAAGUGUUCCUCCGGUAUUUGGGAGUUGCAUGAUCUCAUAGUCAUAGGAACAUGUAUAGUUAUGGAGAAAGCAAUAGCAAGAAACUAAACGAUCAUCGUGCUAAGCUAAAGGAUGGGUAAAGUCAAUCACAUCAUUCUCUAAUGAUGUGAUCCCGUUAAUCAAAUGAAAACUCAUGUCUAUGGUUAGGAAACAUAACCAUCAUUGAUUCAAUGAGCUAGUUAAGUAGAGGCAAACUAGUGACACUCUGUUUGUCUAUGUGUUCACACAUGUACUAAGUUUCCGGUUAAUACAAUUCUAGCAUGAAUAAUAAACAUUUAUCAUGAUAUAAGGAAAUAUAAAUAAAAACUUUAUUAUUGCCUCUAGGGCAUAUUUCCUUCAGUCUCCCACUUGCACUAGAGUCAAUAAUCUAGAUUACAUUGUAAUGAUUCUAACACCCAUGGAGUCUUGGUGCUGAUCAUGUUUUGCUCGUGAGAGAGGCUUAGUCAAUGCGUCUGCAACAUUCAGAUCCAUAUGUAUCUUGCAAAUCUCUAUGUCUCCCUCCUUGACAUGAUCGCGGAUGGAAUUGAAGCAUCUCUUGAUGUGCUUGGUUCUCUUGUGAAAUCUGGAUUCCUUUGCCAAGGCAAUUGCACCAGUAUUGUCACAAAAGAUUUUGAUUGGACCCAAUGCACCAGGUAUGACACCUAGAUCGGAUAUGAACUCCUUCAUCCAGACUCCUUCAUUUGCUGCUUCCGAAGCAUCUAUGUAUUCUGCUUCACACGUAGGUCCCGCCAUGAUGCUCUGCUUGGAACUGCACCAACUGACAGCUCCACCAUUUAAAAAAACACGUAUCUGGUUUGUGACUUAGAGUCAUCCGGAUCAGUGUCCAAGCUUGCAUCAACGUAACUGUUUACACGAGCUCUUUAUCACCUCCAUAUACGAGAUACAUAUCCUUAGUCCUUUUCAGGUAUUUCAGGAUGUUUUUGACCAAUGUCUAGUGAUCCACUCCUGGAUUACUUUGGUACCUCCCUGCUAAACUUAUAGCAAGGCACACAUCAGGUCUGGUACACAGUAUUGCAUACAUGAUAGAGCCUAUGGCUGAAGCAUAGGGAACACCUUUCAUUUUCUCUCUAUCUUCUGCAUUGGUUGAGCAUUGAGUCUGACUCAACUUCACACCUUGUAAUACAGGCAAGAACCCUUUCUUUGCCUGAUCCAUUUUGAACUUCUUCAGAACUUUAUCAAGGUACAUGCUUUAUGAAAGUCCAAUCAAGCGUCUUGAUCUAUCUCUAUAGAUCUUGAUGUCCGAUAUAUAAGCAGCUUCACCAAGGUCUUUCAUUGAAAAAUUUCUUAUUCAAGUAUCCUUUUAUGCUAUUGAGAAAUUCAGUAUCAUUUCCGAUCAACAAUAUGCCAUCUACAUAUAAUAUCAAAAAUUCUACGUAGCUCCCACUCACUUUCUUGUAAAUACAGGCUUCUCCAAAAGUCUGUAUAAAACCAUAUGCUUUGAUCACACUAUCAAAGUGUAUAUUCCAAAUCCGAGAGGCUUGCACCAGUCCAUAAAUGGAUUGCUGGAGCUUGCACACUUUGUUAGCACCUUUUGGAUCGACAAAACCUUCUGGUUGCGUCAUAUACAACUCUUAUUUAAGGUAUCCAUUAAGGAAUGCAGUUUUGACAUCCAUUUGCCAAAUUUCAUAAUCAUAAAAUGCGGCAAUUGCUAACAUGAUUCGGACGGAUUUAAGCAUCGCUAUGGGUGAGAAGGUCUCAUCGUAGUCAACACCUUGAACUUGUCGAAAACCUUCUGUAACAAGUCGAGCUUUGUAGAUAGUAACAUUACCGUCAGCGUCAGUCUUCUUCUCGAAGAUCCAUUUAUUCUCUAUGGCUUGCCGAUCAUCGGGCAAGUCAACCAAAGUCCACACUUUGUUCUCAUACAUGGAUCCCAUCUCAGAUUUCAUGGCCUUAAGCCAUUUUGCGGAAUCUGGGCUCAUCAUCGCUUCCUCGUAGUUUGUAGGUUCAUCAUGGUCAAGUAACAUGACUUCUAGAACAGGAUUACCGUACCGCUCUGGUGCGGAUCUUACUCUGCUUGACCUACGAGGUUCGGUAGUAACUUGAUCAGAAGUUUUAUGAUCAUCAUCAUUAGCUUCCUCACUUACUGGUGUAGGAAUCACUGGAACUGAUUUCACUGAUGAACUACUUUCCAAUAAGGGAGAAGGUACAAUUACCUCAUCAAGUUCUACUUUCCUCCACUCACUUCUUUCGAGAGAAACUCCUUCUCUAGAAAGGAUACACUCUUAGCAACGAAUAUCUUUCCUUCGGAUCUGUGAUAGAAGGUGUACCCAACAGUCUCCUUUGGGUAUCCUAUGAAGACACAUUUCUCUGAUUUGGGUUCAAGCUUAUCAGGUUGAAGUUUCUUCACAUAAGCAUCGCAGCCCCAAACUUCAAGAAACGACAACUUGGGUUUCUUGCCAAACCACAGUCCAUAAGGUGUCGUCUCAACUGAUUUAGAUGGUGCCCUAUUUAACGUGAAUGCAGCUGUCUCUAAAGCAUAACCCCAAAAUAAUAGCGGUAAAUCAGUGAGAGACAUCAUAGAUCGCACCAUAUCUAGUAAAGUACGAUUACGACGUUCGGAUACACCAUUACGCUGUGGUGUUCAAGGUGGCGUGAGUUGCGAAAUUUUAAAUGAAGUCCAAACUCAUAAUUCAAAUAUUCACCUCCAUGAUCAGAUCAUAGAAACUUGAUUUUCUUGUUAUGAUGAUUUUCCACUUCACUCUAAAAUUCUUUGAACUUUUCAAAUGUUUCAGAGUUAUGUUUCAUUAAGUAGAUAUACCCAUAUCUGCUCAGAUCAUAUGUGAAGGUGAGAAAAUCACGAUAUCCGUCGCGAGCUUCAAUGUUCAUUGGACCACAUACAUCAGUAUGUAUGAUUUCCAAAAACUCUGUUGCUCGCUCCAUUGUUCCGGAGAACAGAGUUUUAGUCAUCUUGCACAUGAGGCAUAGUUCGCAAGUACCAAGUGAUUCAUAAUCAAGUGAUUCUAGAAGUCCAUCAGAAUGGAGUUUCUUCAUGCGCUUUACACCAAUAUGACCUAAACGGCAGUGCCACAAAUAAGUUGCACUAUCAUUAUCAACUCUGCAUCUUUUGGCUUCAAUACUAUGAACAUGUGUACCACUACUAUCAAGAUUUAAUAAAAUAGACCACUCAUCAAGGGUGCAUGACCAUAAAAGAUAUUACUCAUAUAAAUAGAACAACCAUUAUUCUCUGAUUUAAAUGAAUAGCCGUCUCGCAUCAAAGAAGAUUCAGAUAUAAUGUUCAUGCUCAACGGUGGCACCAAAUAACAAUUAUUAGGUCUAAAACUAAUCCCAAAGGUAGAUGUAGAGGUAGCGUGUCGAUGGCGAUCACAUCGACUUUGGAACCAUUUCCCAUGCGCAUCAUCACCUUGUCCUUAGCCAAUCUUCACUUAAUCUGUAGCCCAUGUUUUGAGUUGCAAAUGUUAGCAACUGAACCAGUAUUAAAUACCCAGGCACUACUGCGAGCAUUAGUAAGGUACACAUCAAUAACAUGUAUAUCAAAUAUUCCUUUCACUUUGCCAUCCUUCUUCUCCGCCAAAUACUUGGGGCAGUUCCGCUUCCAGUGACCAGUUCCUUUGCGCUACAAGCACUCAGUCUCAGGCUUAGGUCCAGACUUGGGUUUCUUCACUUGAGCAGCAACUGGCUUACUAUUCUUCUUGAAGUUCCCCUUCUUCCCUUUACCCUUUUUCUUGAAACUGGUGGUCUUGCUAACCAUCAACACUUGAUGCUCUUUCUCGAUUUCUACCUCCGCAGCCUUUAGCAUUGAGAAGACCUCAGGAAUCGUCUUAUCCAUCCCUUGCAUAUUAUAGUUCAUCACGAAGCUCUUGUAGCUUGGUGGCAGUGAUUGAAGAACUCCGUCAAUGACACUAUCAUCAGGAAGAUUAACUCCCAGUUGAGUCAAGUGGUUGUGGUACCCAGACAUUCUAAGUAUAUGUUCACUGACAGAACUAUUGUCCUCCAUCUUGCAGCUAUAUAACUUAUUGGAGACUUCAUAUCUCUCAAUCCGGGCAUUUGCUUCAAAUAUUAACUUCAACUCCUGGAACAUCUCAUAUGCUCCAUCACAUUCAAAACGUCGUUGAAGUCCCGGUUCUAAGCCAUAAAGCAUGGCACACUGAACUAUCGAGUAGUCAUCAGCUUUGCUCUGCCAGGUGUUCACAACAUCUGGCGUUGCUCCUGCAGCGGGUUUGUCACCUAGCGGUGCUUCCAGGAUGUAAUUCUUCUGUGCAGCAAUGAGGAUAAUCCUCAAGUUACGGACCCAGUCCGUGUAGUUUCUACCAUCAUCGUUCAACUUAGCUUUCUCAAGGAACAUAUUAAAAUUCAACGAAACAAUAGCACGGGCCAUCUUUCUACAACAACAUAGACAUGCAAUAUACUAUCAGGUACUAAGUUCAUGAUAAAUUAAAGUUCAAUUAAUCAAAUUACUUAAGAACUCCCACUUAGAUAAACAUCUCUCUAAUCAUCUAAGUGAUCACGUGAUCCAUAUAAACUAAACCAUGUAUGAUCAUCACGUGAGAUGGAGUAGUUUUCAAUGGUGAACAUCACUAUGUUCAUAAUAUCUACUAUAUGAUUCACGCUCGACCUUUCGGUCUCAGUGUUCCGAGGCCAUAUCUUCAUAUUCUAGGCUCUUCAAGUUUAACCCGAGUAUUCCGUGUGUGCAAAACUGGCUUGCACCCGUUGUAUGUGAACGUAGAACUUAUCACACCUGAUCAUCACGUGGUGUCUCGGCACGACGAACUGUAGCAAUGAUGCAUACUCAGGGAGAACACUUAUACCUUGAAAUUUAGUGAGAGAUCAUCUUAUAAUGCUACCUCCGAACUAAGCAAAAUAAGAUGCAAAAAGGAUAAACAUCACAUGCAACCAAUAUAAGUGAUAUGAUAUGGCCAUCAUCAUCUUGUGCCUUUGAUCUCCAUCUCCAAAGCACCGUCAUGAUCACCAUCGUCACCGGCUUGACACCUUGAUCUCCAUCGAAGCAUUGUUGUCAUCUCGCCAACUAUUGCUUCUACGACUAUCGCUACCGCUUAGUGAUAAAGUAAAGAAAUUACAUGGCGAUUGCAUUUCAUACAAUAAAGCGACAACCAUAUGGCUCCCGCUAGUUGCUGAUAACUGUGUUACAAAACAUGAUCAUCUCAUACAAUAAAAUUUAGCAUCAUGUCUUGACCAUAUCACAUCACAACAUGCCCUGCAAAAACAAGUUAGACGUCCUCUACUUUGUUGUUGCAAGUUUUACGUGGCUGCUACAGGCAGAGCAAGAACCAUUCUUACCUACGCAUCAAAAACCACAACGUGGUAUAGUGAUUGCUUUUUGAUCUUCAGAAAGAACACUGUUCAUUGUAUCCGAUUCAACUAAAGUUGGAGAAACUGACACCCACCAGCCACCUGUGUGUGAAGCACGUCGGUAGAACCAGUCUCGUGUAAGCGUACGCGUAAUGUCGGUCUAGGUUGCUUCAUCCAACAAUACCACUGAAUCAAGAAUCAACUAGUGACGGCAAGCAAUAUGUAUAUACCAACGCCCACAACUCCUUUGUGUUCUACUCAUGCAUAUAACAUCUGCGCAUAAACCUGGCUCGGAUGCCACUGUUGGGGAACGUAGUAAUUUCAAAAAAAAUCCUACGCACACGCAAGACCAUGGAGAUGCAUAACAACGAGAGGGAAGAGUGUUGUCUACGUACCCUCGUAGACUAUAAGUGCAAGAGUUAUGACAACGCGAUUGGUGUAGUCAUACAUCUUCACGACCGACCGAUCCCAACACCGAAGGUACGGCACCUCCCCGAUCUGCACACGUUCGGCUCGGUGACGUCCCGCGAACUCACGAUCCAGUAGAGCUUCGAGGGAAUUCGUCAGCACGAUGGCGUGAUGACGGUGAUGAUGUUGCUACCAGAACAGGGCUUCGCCUAAGCACCGCUACGAUAUGACCGAGGUGGAUUAUGGUGGAGGGGGCACCGCACACGGCUUGGAACAAUCAACUUGUGUGUUUUAAGGUGCCCCUGCCCCCAUAUAUAAAGGAGCAAGGGGGGAGGCCGGCCAGGCAUAGUGGCACCCAAGGAGCGGAGGAAUCCUCCUCCUAGUAGGAGUAGGAUUCAUCCUUUCCUAGUCCUACUAGCAAGGAGGAAGGGGGAAGGAAAGAGAGGGAGAGGGAGAGGGAAAGGGGAAAAGGGGGCCACGCCCCCUCCCCUAGUGCUAUUCGGACUCCCCUUGUGGCGGCGCGCCACCUCCUGGGCUGCUGCCCUCUCUCUCCCCUAAGGCCCACUAAGGCCCAAUACUUCCCUGGGGGUUCCGGUAACCCCUCCGGCACUCUGGUUUUCUCCGAAAUCACCCACAACACUUUCGGUGUCCGAAUAUAGCCGUCCAAUAUAUCAAUCCUUAUGUCUCAACCAUUUCGAGACUCCUCGUCAUGUCCAUGAUCAUAUCCGGGACUCUGAACUACCUUCGGUACAUCAAAACACAUAAACUCAUAAUGUCGAUCGUCACUGAACGUUAAGCGUGCGGACCCUACGGGUUCGAGAACUAUGAAGACAUGACCGAGACACAUCUCCGGUCGAUAACCAAUAGGGGAACCUGGAUGCUCAUAUUGGUUCCUACAUAUUCUACGAAGAUCUUUAUUGCUCAAACCGGAUAAUGACAUACGUUGUUCCCUUUGUCAUUGGUAUGUUACUUGCCCGAGAUUCGAUCGUUGGUAUCUCAAUACCUAGUUCAAUCUUGUUACCGGAAGUCCCUUUACUCGUUCUGUAAUGCUACAUCCCGUAACUAACUCAUUAGCUACAUUGCUUGCAAGGCUUAUUGUGAUGUACAUUACCGAGAGGGCCCAGAGAUACCUCUCCGACAAUUGGAGUGACAAAUCCUAAUCUUGAUCCAUGUCAACUCAACAAACACCAUCGGAGACACCUGUAGAGCACCUUUAUAAUCACCUAGUUAUGUUGUGAUGUUUGGUAGCACACAAAGUGUUCCUCCGGUAUUCGGGAGUUGCAUGAUCUCAUAAUCAUAGGAACAUGUAUAGUUAUGGAGAAAGCAAUAGCAACAAACUAAACGAUCAUCAUGCUAAGCUAACGGAUGGGUCAAGUCAAUCACAUCAUUCUCUAAUGAUGUGAUCCCAUUAAUCAAAUGACAACUCAUGUCUAUGGUUAGGAAACAUAACCAUCAUUGAUUCAACGAGCUAGUUAAGUAGAGGCAAACUAGUGACACUCUGUUUGUCUAUGUAUUCACACAUGUACUAAGUUUCCGGUUAAUACAAUUCUAGCAUGAAUAAUAAACAUUUAUCAUGAUAUAAGGAAAUAUAAAUAACAACUUUAUUAUUGCCUCUAGGGCAUAUUUCCUUGACAUAUCGGGGCCGCAAUCAAUAGUAUCUAUCUAUUAUCUGGUUAAUCUCUAGUGUCUACUACGAGUUUCAUGUUGGGUGGGAAACAAACAGUAAAGAAGCCAUUAUCUGUAUUUUUACUGAAUCCAUUAGCUGCCCGCUAUCAAUGGUUUUGGGUAUAUCCACAGGUUUCUACCAUCACUCUAGAUGUUUGCAUGCACUCCUUUCAUAAUCUCACUAUGUUUUAUUCCUAUGCAUGUUAGUUAUUGUACACAAUGGAACUAAACAUGUAGAGCAAAAGAGAUGAGCCUUGCGUGGCAAUAAAAUUUCAUGUAGACAUCGCUCUGUGGUGGGCGCAAAGGCAGCCCCCCUCCACCCAUUUCGGAUUGUAAUCAAGAGGAAGAUAACUGUUCUAAGGGGGAUUCAGAAGGAGAAGACCACUCCUAUUUACCCCCUGAGGUCUUCGCUCUAACUUGGCAUGUUGAUGUUGGUAAUAUCAUGCAUAUGGUGCCUUGCAUUGCUUACUUUAUACAUCAAAUAUGUCAUCUGCUUAGUUUAGACAUGCUUUGUGUGAAUGCCAUCUGUUUAGUUUCUUUAUCGUAUAUGUGAAUUAUGCAACGCCAUCUUGUUUAGCCAGGCAUCAUAUAUGUGAAUUUUGCGGUGCCAUCCUGCUUAGCCAGUCAUCUUAUAUGUGAAUUAUAUCAGGCCAUCCUUUUUUUUCAUUACAUAUUACAUUUGUCAACAAUGUCAGUACAUUCAACUACUCUUCGUGUGCAUUAGCCAUUUGACACGGUGAUGGAAAAUUCUAGAGUGAAAACAAGGUCUUCGGAGCAUACUAUGCUAUCUGACGAAGCGCAUAUCUCGCUGGUUACGGAUAGCUCCUCAAAGGAGGAUUCAGAGAUAGAUGACCAGUCCUAUCCCCCCCCCUGAGGUGUAUGAUCUAACUUGGCAGGAUUAUGUUGCUCAUAUCGUGCGUAUGGGGUCUUGCAUUGAUAUGUCAUUUGAUUAGUUUAGACAUGCUUUGUGUGAAUGCCACCUGUUUAGUGUCUAAUUACCAUAUAUGUGAAUUAUGCAUUGCCAUAUUGUUGCAAGACAUUAUAUAUGUGAAUUAUGAAAUGCUAUCUUGUUGCAAGGCAUUAUAUAUGUGAAUUAUGCAAUGCCAUGCUGUUUAGCCAAUCAUCAUAUAUGUGAAUUAUAUCAUGUUAUCCUUUUUUGUAUUACGUGUUCCAUUUGUCGACAACAUUUGUAUAUUCAACUACUCUUCUUGUGCAUCAGCAAUUUGAAGCGGUGAUGGAAGUAUCUGGAGUGAAAACAAGGUAUUCAAAGCAGACAAUGCUACCUGCUGAAGCAGACAUCUUGCUAGUUACAGAUAGCUCCUUAGAGGAGGAUUCAGAGACUGAUGACCAGUCCUAUUUCCCCCCUGAGGUCUAUGCUCAAACUUGGCAGGGUUGUAUUACUCAUGUCAUGCAUGUUGUCUUGCAUUUCUUAGUUUUUACAUCAUAUAUGCGAUUGCCAUCUGCUUACUUGCUUACUAUAUAAAUCAUAUAUUUGAAUUAUAUCAUGCCAUCAUGUUUACAUAGACAGCAUCUAUCUGAAUUAUGGCAUGCCAACCCAUUUAAUAAAGCCAUCAUAUAGUUAUAUCAUCUCAUCCUAUUUAGUGUUUAAAGUCAUCAUAUUUUGAAUUAUGUCAUUCUAUCCUUGAAUUAUAUCAUUCUAUCGUGUUUCCAUAGGCGGCAUGUAUGUUAAUUAUUGCAUGCCAACCUAUUUAAUAAACACAUUAUAUAGUUAUAUCAUGUCAUAUUCUUUACAUAGUCAUCAUAUUUUGAACUAUGUCUUUCCAUCUUUUUUAGUUAGCCAUCAUAUAUGUAAAAUUGUGUCAUGCUAUCCUAUUUAGUUAGCCAGCAUAUAUGUGAAACUGUGUCAUGCUAUCCUAUUUGGUUAGACAACAUAAAUGUGAAUUAUUUCAUGCCCUCUUUUAUUCCCUACUAUCCAUUGCACAUGUCUAUCAUACAAUGUCUGUACAUUCAAUUACUUUUCUUGUUUAUUAGCCAUUUGAAUUGGAGAGGGUGAUGGCAGUAUCUAAGGGAGUAACAACACGGUCUUCAGAAAAGAUGUUGCUACCAGUCGAUGCAGAUAGAACCACGGUUGUAUUUGCCCAAGAACCAGCCCCACCACACAUAACCCAGACUCUCGCAGAUUGUACCCCUACCUAGUUGGACAGAGAACCUGCUACACCCCUUCUAACCCCAACCCCAGCAGAUAGUAACCCAGUUCUAGUUGACACAGCACUAUCUCCACCACAGAGCACCCUAACACAAGCUGUUAGUAAGGGAUCUGCAGUGCCCAAAGCACGAGGACCACCACUCUGAAUCCCAACUCAACGCUUAAAGCAGAAGAAGAAUUGUUCUCAGGUCAGGUUCUGUAGCUAUGGUUCAUACUCCUUUGCUCUUCCAUCACUGUGUUUACUCAUACCAACUAUUUUCAAAUUUGAAGGAUGGAAUUGAAGCUCCAAUGGCGCAACAGGUAUGUUUCAAACUUGUUUCUUUAACUGGUUUGCUAUUGUAAUUUGCUCUAGUUGGUUUCAGUUUCAAUUGAAUAAACAGUUAUGUUCUCAUGUCAUGCACAUUACAAGUGUUGUUAUUGCUCUAUAGUUUCCCACACUUAUAUUCUGUCUAUUCUGCUUUGUCUUGAACAAAUAUUAUUUGAACUGUGUCUCUAUCUUGAUUUGGCAACAAAACUAGAAUGAUAUAGACCAUAAUGUGACCAUGGUACAUAGAUAUAUGUUUGUUUCAUGUUGUUAUCUUGUCCACUUUACUACUGAACUGAUUUACCAAAAUGAGUUUCAUAUACAACAUGGUAAACCUGUGAUGUGUCUGCUUAUUUCUCUUUUAUAAUGUGGAUGAAAUAUCGGAGAAGAGUAACCCGUUAUGCAAUGGUAAAGGAAGUAAUGCAGAUAAGGUUCAAGAUAGUGAGACAUCCCUGCUGGUCUCCAAGAAAGUUGAUAAAACCUAUAUUGAAGACACUGAGACAACCCCAAAGUCAUGUCUUGAUGUAGUGUUGGAGUUACUGGCCACUACUGCUGGCACCAGCUGUUCGAACUUGCUGCCUAAAUCAGUUCGGCUUCUUGAGUCUCAACUUAAAGUUGAAAGACAUCGAUCAGAUGUUCUGCGACAGGAAGCCGAAGGACUAAGGAAGUCCAUGCAGAAUUCAGAUGCAUACUUUCUGGUGCAAUAGCAAGUGCUGGAGGAUUUAAGCGCCACACAAGAGAAAGUUAAUAAGCUUGCUAAGCAUCUUGCCAGCAUUAUGGGUACCCAGGAUAUUGUUUCUUGAGCUCUUCUGAAGUGGUUUCAGUUCUGGACUUGUUUUGCUGCGGCAUUUAUUUGCACCGGUCGCCAACUUUGACAACGAGUGUAUGUGAUAUGCUACUUUGUUGCCUAUAUUUGCACUACUAUCGAACUUUGAUGCCCAGUGGAUGUAAUAUGUGUCAUAGCCAUGAUAGCAUAGCGUAAGUUGCUUGCUUAUUUAUUUCCUUGUUGUCUUGUUUAUUUGUUUGCUUGUAGUCAGUGCAGUACUUUUUCCGCGGUUUGCUAGUGGCCGCAAUAACUUAUUUUUAAAACUAGGCCACAUUAACCAUGGGCUACAUAUUUACUGUAGUGACCCUGGGCCUCCUAUGGGCCGUAGAAACAAUGGGCCUUCUAAGGGCCGUAGAAACAAUGGGCCUUCUACGGGCCGUAGCAUCAAGGGGCCUUCUACGGGCCGUAUGAUAGAUUGGCCAAACAAGGGCCAAUAACAGACCGCAUUAUGGGCCGUACACGGACUAGAGUUGGAAUCGUCCGUUCAUGGGCCGACCAUAAUGGGUCGUCGUUAAUCGAUCGUAUUUGAUGAUGCUAUGAAAACAUCCCAAUGGAUUAACGGGCUGCAAACGGGCAAACUGUAACCACAGGCUGAAUUUGGCCCACAAGCAGAAAAGGAUAGUAACGGGUCGUAAGUAACCGAAUGUUGGAAAUGAGCCCAGGAAUAAAUGGGCCCUGAAAAGGACGAAAGAUAACACGGGUUGGAAAUGGCCCAAUGGAAUAAUGGGCCGUUAAUGGGUAUAAAGCGGUACACUAUUCAUUACGGGCCAGUUUCACCACGGGCCGUUAAUGGCCAAGAGUUAAAAAGGGCAUCAUAUGGGCCGAAAGACAUCAUGGGCCUUACAUGGGCCAGAAGUUACAACGGGUUGGAAUCAUAUUGGACGGCCUAGAUUAAGCUACUAGGCUUAAUUCCGAUAGGCCGUAACGGGCCGUGAGUUAGCGGCUCGUAAAUGGGCUAUAUACGAACACGCCGUUAACAGGCUUUCCGUGGGCUGGCUCGCUACCUUUUGACCAAGUCAAACAGGCCGGCCUUUUCACCGGAAUGGUCCUCUGUUUGGCCAUGCCAUGUGUCGACGUAUCAUAGGCGACUCCUGUCCAAUGAGUGGAUGACAUCUGUCCCAACGGUGAGCCAACACGUGUUUCCUUCGGCCAAUGAGAAUUUUACACGUGGAAAAUCCCCAUUAGUACAGGCUAUUAACGGGUUAUCGGAUCCAAAAAUGGUCCUGAUAGCUUAACAAUGACCCGUUAUGGUGGAUGCCACAUGUCGGUUACCCUUGAUGAAAACACUUCCAUGACGCGCCAUUUAUCGUCAUGGAAGUGGACACUUCUGUGAUGAUAAUUUUGGUAAUGCAAUGGAACACUUUAAUAACCCACAAGUAUAGGGGAUCAAUUGUAGCCUAUUUUGAUAAGUAAGAGUGUAGAACCCAACGAGGAGCUAAAGGUAGAACAAAUAUUCCCUCAAGUUCUAUCGACCACCGAUACAUCUCUACGCACGCUUAACGUUCGCUUUACCUAGAACAAGUAUGAAACUAGAAGUACUUUGUAGGUGUUGUUGGAUAGGUUUACAAGAUAAUAAAGAGCAUGUAAAUAAAUUCUAGGGGUUGUUUAGAUAAAGAAACAACUAAGUUAGUUUCAGUAGAGAGCUUUUUGUCACGAGAAAGUUAUUUUUCCCUAGACAAUCGAUAACUAGACCGGUAAUCAUUAUUGCAAUUUUAUUUGAGGGAGAGGCAUAAGCUAACAUACUUUCUAUUCAUGGAUCAUAUCCACUUAUGAUUGGAACUCUAGCAAGCAUCCGCAACUACUAAAGAUCAUUAAGGUAAAACCCAACCAUAGCAUUAUAAGGCAUCAAGUCCUCUUUACUCCCAUACACAAACAACCUACUUACUCGGGUCUAUGCUUCUGUCACUCACGCCACCCACCAUAAGCAAAUCAUGAACAUAUUUCAAACCCUACAGCGGGGAUCCCUCACGCUUGCGCGACACGGAGAGCACCAUAGGACAACACCAAUAAUAAAACAUGCAGCUCAAACCAAUCACGAUCAUCAAUUAACCCAUAGGACAAAACGGAUCUACUCAAACAUCAUUGGGAAAUAAUAUAUAGCGUUGAGCACCAUGUUUAAGUAGAGAUUGCAAUGGGUAAAAGAGGGGUUACACCGCUACAUAGAGGGGGGAAGAGUUGGUGAUGAUGGCAGUGAAGUUGUUGGUGUAGAUCGUUGUCGCGAUGAUGGCCCCGGCGGCGUUCCCGCGCCACCGGGAGAGAGGGGGAGAGCCCCACUUCUUCUUCUUCCUUUACCUUCCCCCUAGAUGGGUUANNNNNNNNNNNNNNNNNNNNNNNNNNNNNNNNNNNNNNNNNNNNNNNNNNNNNNNNNNNNNNNNNNNNNNNNNNNNNNNNNNNNNNNNNNNNNNNNNNNNNNNNNNNNNNNNNNNNNNNNNNNNNNNNNNNNNNNNNNNNNNNNNNNNNNNNNNNNNNNNNNNNNNNNNNNNNNNNNNNNNNNNNNNNNNNNNNNNNNNNNNNNNNNNNNNNNNNNNNNNNNNNNNNNNNNNNNNNNNNNNAUCUCUCUAUGUUUUCUUCUGUGUCUCCAUUCCCCGAUUCUGCCCUUUCACCGUUUCUUAAAUUCCCGGAGAUCCGUAACUCCGAUUGGGCUGAAAUUUUGACAUGAUUUUUACCCGGAUAUUGGCUUUCUUGUGGUGAAAGAAGGGUGGCAACCGCCUUAUGGAGUGGCCACGAGGGCCCAGGGUGCGCCCCUCACCCUCAUGGGCCCCUCGGGCAUCGUCUCGCAUUGACUCCACUUCCCAAAAUUCACAUAUAUUCCAAAAAAAUCUCUGUAAGUUUUUAUCCCUUUUGGACUCCGUUUGAUAUGGAUUUUCUGUGGGACAAAAAACAUGCAACAAACAGGAACUGGCACUGGGCACUGGAUCAAUAUGUUAGUCCCAAAAAUAGUAUAAAAAUUUGCCAAAAGUAUGUAAAAGUUGUAGAAUAUUGGCAUGGAACAAUCAAAAAUUAUAGAUACGAUGGAGACGUAUUGGCAUCCCCAGGCUUAAUUCCUGCUCGUCCUCGAGUAGGUAAAUGAUAAAAAGGAUAAUUUUUUAUGUGGAAUGCUACCUACCAUAAUCUUGAUCAUGUAAUCUAAUCAUGGCAUGAAUAUUAAGACACGAGUGAUUCAAAGCAAUAGUCUAUCAUUUGACAUUAAGAUAAUAAUACUUCAAGCAUACUAAUAAAGCAAUCAUGUCUUUUCAAACUAACAUGGCCAAAGAAAGUUAUCCCUACAAAAUCAUAUGGUCUGGCUAUGCUCCAUCUUCAUCACACAAAAUAUUCAAAUCAUUGAUACGUCUCCAACAUAUCUAUAAUUUUUGAUUGAUCCAUGCUAUUAUAUUAUCUAUUUUGGAUGUUAAUGGGCUUAUUUUACACCUUUAUAUUAUUUUUAGGACUAACCUAUUAACAGGAGGCCCAGCCCAAAUUGUUGUUUUUGCCUAUUUUAGUGUUUCGUAGAAAAGGAAUAUCAAACGGAGUCCAAACGGAAUGAAACCUUUGUAAACGUUAUUUUUGGAACAAACUUUAUCCAGGAGACUUGGAGUGGACGUCAAGAAUCAAUCGAGGAGGCCACGAGGCAGGGGGCGCGCCCACCACCCCCCCCCCCCCCCCGGGCACGCCCUCCACCCUCGUGGGCCCCUUGUUGCUCCACCGACCUACUUGUUCCUCCCAUAUAUAUACAUAUACCCCGCAAACAUCCAGGAGCACCACGAAACCCUAUUUCCACCGCUGCAACCUUCUGUACCCAAGAGAUCCCAUCUUGGGGCCUUUUCCGGAGCUCCGCCGGAGGGGGCAACAAUCACGGAGGGCCUCUACAUCAACUCCAUGGCCCUUCCGAUGAUGUGUCUGAGUAGUUUACUUCAGACCUUUGGGUCCAUAGCUAGUAGCUAGAUGGCUUCUUUUCUCUCUUUGGGUCUCAAUACAAAGUUCUCCUCGAUUCUCUUGGAGAUCUAUUUGAUGUAAUCUUCUUUUGCGGUGUGUUUGUCGAGAUCCCAUGAAUUGUGGGUUUAUGAUCAAGUUUAUCUAUGAACAAUAUUUUAUGUAUGUUUUUUAUGUAUGAUCGGUUUAUCUUUGCAAGUCUCUUCAAAUUAUCAGUUUGGUUUGGCCUACUAGAUUGAUCUUUCUUGCAAUGGGAGAAGUGCUUAGCUUUGGGUUCAAUCUUGCGGUGCUCGAUCCCAGUGACAGAAAGGGAAACGACACGUAUUGUAUUGUUGCCAUCGAGGAUAAAAAGAUAGGGUUUACAUCAUAUUGCAUGAGUUUAUCCCUCUACAUUGUGUCAUCUUGCUUAAGGCGUUACUCUGUUCUUAUGAACUUAAUACUCUAGAUGCAUGCUGGAUAGCGGUCGAUGUGUGGAGUAAUAGUAGUAGAUGCAGAAUCGUUUCGGUCAACUUGUCACGGACGUGAUGCCUAUAUAUAUGAUCAUACCUAGAUAUUCUCAUAAUUAUUCACUUUUCUAUCAAUUGCUCGACAGUAAUUUGUUCACCCACUGUAAUACUUAUGCUCUUGAGAGAAGCCACUAGUGAAACCUAUGGCCCCCAGGUCUAUUCUCCAUCAUAUAAGUUUCCAAUCUAUUUUAUUUUGCAAUCUUUACUUUCAAUCUAUAUCAUAAAAAUACCAAAAAUACUUAUCUUAUUAUUAUCAUCUCUAUCAGAUCUCACUCUUGCAAGUGGCUGUGAAGGGAUUGACAACCCCUUUAUCGCGUUGAUUGUGAGGUUCUUAUUUGUUUGUGUAGGUACGAGGUCACUCGCGCGUGGUCUCCUACUGGAUUGAUACCUUGGUUCUCAAAAACUGAGGGAAAUACUUACGCUGCUUUACUGCACCACCCUUUCCUCUUCAAGGGAAAACCAAUGCAGUGCUCAAGAGGUAGCAAGAAGGAUUUCUGGCGUCGUUGCUGGGGAGAUCUAUGCCAAGUCAAGACAUACCAAGUACCCAUCACAACUCUUAUCCUUCACAUUACAUUAUUUGCCAUUUGCCUCUCGUUUUCCUCUCCCCCACUUCACCCUUGCCGUUUUAUUCGUCUCUUUCCCAUUUGUUUUCUUGUACCAUGGCCGAUUCAAAAAGGGCUAGGGGUUCUCUCCCGGGUUUUACCUUGGAUAGUCCUUUUGUCCUCUCUAAGCUCAUAAAUAAUGACGCUAUGGAGAGACCUACCGGAGUUAUCAAUGAGAGUUUGAAUAAUUUUGAUGAAGAUGAUCCUGGAAUUUUUUGUUAUUUACUUGAUGAAUCUUUGAAAGACGCUUGGGAUAGGCUAUUAAGAAUUCGAGCUAGCUAUGUGCCCCAAUAUCAAAUUGAGGUUUACCUGAAAAGCUUUUAUAUUGGUUUACCCUCUUCAUUCAAGCAAGUUCUAGAUUCUAUCUUUGAAGAAGGUUUUCUUGAGGGGGAUACCAUUGAUACUUAUGAAAGUAUGAAAACUAUAUUUGGGCACCCCAUGAGUGAUAAGGUUGAAUCUACCUCUCUUUUGUGCUUUUACCAAAAUGAAACUAUCAAAGAAACGAGGGCCAGCUUAGAUGCCAAUUUCCAUAACGUGCUUAAUCUUUCUUCCACUAUCAAUGCCCACGUGCUAACUCAAAAUAGAGAGAUAAAUGCUAUAGAAAAGAAAUUUUCUCUUUUCUUUCCUAAUACCAAAGAUGACAAUACCUAGAUCUAUCCUUUCUUUUAUGCCUAGCUAGGGGCGUUAAACGGUAGCGCUUGUUGGGAGGCAACCCAAUUUUAUUUUUAUUCCUUGCUUUUUGCUCCACUUUAGUAACAAAUAAUUUAUCUAGCCUCUGUUUAGGUUGUGUUUUUUGUGUUUAAUUAGUGUUUGUGCCAAGUAGAACCAUUGGGAAGACUUGGGGAAAGUCUUUUUGAUCUUGCUGUAAAAAAAACAGAAACUUUAGCGCUCACGAGAAUUGCUGCCAUUUUUUAUUGGAGAGUGAUAUUUAGUUAAUUAUUUUUGCAGAUGAUUAAUAGAUAAAUUCCUCACGUCCAGCAAUUUAUUUUAGAAUUUUUGGGGUUCCAGAAGUUUGCGUUAGUUACAAAUUACUUCAGACUGUUCUGUUUUUGACAGAUUCUGUUUUUCGUGUGUUUUUUGCUUAUUUUGAUGAAUCUAUGGCUAGUAAAAGAGUUUAUAAACCAUAGAGAAGUUGGAAUACAGUAGGUUUAACACCGAUAUUAAUAAAGAAUGAGUUCAUUAUAGUACCUUGAAGUGGUGUUUUGUUUUCUUUUGCUAACGGAGCUCACGAGAUUUUUCUGCUAAGUUUUGUUGUGUGAAGUUAUCAAGUUAUCAGUAAAGAUUUGAUGGAUUAUGGAACAAGGAGUGGCAAGAUCCUAAGUUUGGGGAUGCCCAUGGCACCCCAAGGUAAAGUACAAGGACACCAAAAAGUCUAAGCUUGGGGAUGCCCCGGAAGGCAUCCCCUCUUUCGUCUUCGUCUAUCGGUAACUUUACUUGGAGCUAUAUUUUUAUUCGCCACAUGAUAUGUGUUUUGCUUGGAGUGUCUUGUAUGAUUUGAGUCUUUGCUUUUUAGUUUACCACAAUCAUCCUUUCUAUACACACCUUUUGAGAGAGACACACAUGAAUUGGAAUUUAUUAGAAUACUCUAUGUGCUUCACUUAUAUCUUUUGAGCUAUAUAGUUUUUGCUCUAGUACUUCACUUAUAUCUUUUGGAGCAUGGUGGUGGUUUAAUUUUAUAGAAAUAAUUGAUCUCUCAUGCUUCACUUAUAUUAUUUUGAGAGUCCUUUAGAACAACAUGGCAAUUUGCUUUUAGGCAUAAUAAAAACUUUCAUAUAAGUGCAUUGAAUACUAAGAGAAGUUUGAUACUUGAUAAUUGUUUUGAGAUAUGGAGAUGGUGAUAUUAGAAUCAUGCUAGUUGAGUAGUUGUGAAUUUGAGAAAUACUUGUGUUGAAGUUUGUGAUUCCGGUAGCAUGCACGUAUGGUGAACCGUUAUGUGAUGAAGUCGGAGCAUGAUUUAUUUAUUGAUUGCCUUCCUUAUGAGUGGCGGUUGGGGACGAGCAAUGGUCUUUUCCUACCAAUCUAUCCCCCUAGGAGCAUGCGCGUAGUACUUUGUUUCGAUAACUAAUAGAUUUUUGCAAUAAGUAUGUGAGUUCUUUAUGACUAAUGUUGAGUCCAUGGAUUAUAUGCACCCGCACCCUUCCACAUUUGCUAACCUCUCUAGUACCGCGCAACUUUCGUCGAUACCAUAAACCCACCAUAUACCUUCCUCAAAACAGCCACCAUACCUACCUAUUAUGGCAUUUCCAUAGCCAUUUUGAGAUAUAUUGCCAUACAACUUUCCACCGUUCCAUUAUUAUGACAUGCUUCAUCAUUGUCAUAUUGCUUUGCAUGAUCAUGUAGUUGACAUCGUAUUUGUGGCAAAGCCACCGUUCAUAAUUCUUUCAUACAUGUCACUCUUGAUUCAUUGCAUAUCCUGGUACACCGCUGGAGGUAUUCACAUAGAGUCAUAUUCUGUUUUAAGUAUCGAGUUGUAAUUCUUGAGUUUUAAGAAAAUAAAAGUGUGAUGAUCAUCAUUAGAGCAUUUUCCCAUGUGAGGAAAGGAUGAUGGAGACUAUGAUUCCCCCACAAGUCGGGAUGAGACUCCGGAAGAAAAUUAAAAAAAAAGAAAAAAAGAGGCCAAAAAAAAGAAGGCCCAAAUAAAAAAAGAAAAAAAAUUAAUGAGAGAAAAAGAGAGAAGGGACAAUGUUACUAUCCUUUUUCCACACUUGUGCUUCAAAGUAGCACCAUGAUAUUCAUGAUAGAGAGUCUCCUAUGUUGUCACCUUCAUAAACUAGUGGGAAUUUUACAUUAUAGAACUUGGCUUGUAUAUUCCAAUGAUGGGCUUCCUCAAAUUGCCCUAGGUCUUCGUGAGCAAGCAAGUUGGAUGCACACCCACUUAGUUUCUUUUGUUGAGCUUUCAUACUCUUAUAGCUCUAGUGCAUCCGUUGCACGGCAAUCCCAACUCACUCACAUUGAUAUCUAUUGAUGGGCAUCUCCAUAGCCUAUUGAUAUGCCUAGUUGAUGUGAGACUAUCUUCUCCUUUUUUGUCUUCUCCACAACCACCAUUCUAUUCCACCAUAGUGCUAUAUCCAUGGCUCAUGCUCAUAUAUUGCGUGAAGAUUGAAAAAGUUUGAGAACAUCAAAAGUAUGAAACAAUUGCUUGGCUUGUCAUCGGGGUUAUGCAUGAUUUAAUAUUUUGUGUGAUGAAGAUAGAGCAUAGCCAGACUAUAUGAUUUUGUAGGGAUAACUUUCUUUGGCCAUGUUAUUUUGAGAAGACAUGAUUGCUUAGUUAGUAUGCUUGAAGUGUUAUUAUUUCUAUGUCAAUAUUAAACUUUUAUCUUGAAUCUUUCGGAUCUGAACAUUCAUGCCACAAUAAAGAAAAAAAUACAUUGAGAAAUAUGUUAGGAAGAAUUUCACAUCAAAAAUUCUGUUUUUAUCAUUUACCUACUCGAGGACGAGCAGGAAUUAAGCUUGGGGAUGCUGAUACGUGUCCAACGUAUCAAUAACUUUUGAUUGCUCCAUGCUAUUAUAUUACUAUUUUGGAUGUUAAUGGGCUUAUUUUUACACUUUUAUAUUAUUUUUGGGACUAACCUAUAAACCGGAGGCCCAGCCCAAAUUGCUGUUUUUUGCCUAUUUCAGUGUUUCGUAGAAAAGGAAUAUCAAACGGAGUCCAAAUGGAAUGAAACCUUUGGGAAUGUGAUUGUCAGGACCCCGAUUCCAAGUCACAUCGAUCUAGCCGGUAACACCUCAUAUCACUUUGCGGCCUCACGCACGGUAUUCCCACGGGUGUCGCCUUACCAUGGCCCAGGACCGUUUGCGCCUUUUGGCUCACGUAUAUGAUAGUGUCGCUAGCAUCCAUAUGACAGAGAACCCGGGCCGGCAUGACUAGUCGUGAACCCAAAGUGGCACUAACUUACGGGGACAGGCAUACAUGAAUCAACAUCGAGCAUGUCGGUCAGCAGCGUGCGAAUCCGGGCUGUGGCACUGGGCUAACAAGACUCCGGUGAACCAGGCUGUAGCAGGCUAGGCAGGACUCCAGAUGUCACCGCGUGACAUUUCCCCGAAGGGACAGACACAGGAACGAAGUGAAUCACAUGCCGACCAGUCAAGUUUUCCGGAGCAGUAGUGCUGGGCUAGCAGGACUCCGGUGAACCGGGCUGUAGCGGACUACUAUGGCUCAUGGAAGCACAAGACUACAUUUCCCCAUAAGAGAGGCUACCAAGGAUAAACAACUAGGUUGUCGGAUCCCACACAUACCAAGCAUUUCAGUCAUACACACAAUAUGCUCGAUAUGUGUAAAUACAACAUGGCAUCACAACAAAACUCUACGACUCAAAGUAUUUAUUCAAAAGGCUCCAGAGAGCCAUACAUAACAUGUUCAUACAGGUAGGGGUCACAUGACCCGACACUCAAGUCAUACAAGCAUACAAGCACAUGCGGAAGCUUAACAUGUCUGGGUACAGACAUCUACAAAUGAAAAAGGCUGAGAAGCCUGACUAUCUACAAGACACUGCCGAGGGCACAAGAUCGUAGUUGAGGUAUCAAGCUAAACGUCGAAGUCCACACGGAACUAAUAGUGAGACUGACGUCUCUCUGCAAAACAUAAAAUAGGCAAACGUGAGUACAAAUGUACCCAGCAAGACUUACAUCAGAACUAACUACAUAUGCAUCGGUAUCAACAAAGGGGUAGUGGAGUUUAACUGCAGCAAGCUAGCUUCGACUCAGUGGCUAUCUUAAACUACGACUGCAAGUAACUCUUUUGAGGUGGCGCACACGAGUCCACAUAUUCACCAUAUCAAUACACCACUAUGGAUCCGCUCCCGUCUCCCUACGAGAAUGCCAUCCAUAGCCCUCACGCUUAUCUUGCGCAUUUUAGAGUAUCCACUUUCACUUGUCUAUGAACUAUGCAAGGGGUCCAAGUUUCCAUAUCCGAGGAGUUCGGCUAUUCGAAUAGAUAAUGAUAACCCUGCAGGGGUGUACUUCUUCACACACGCUCUCACCACUUAUCACCAUAUACACGUCAUGUAUCUCGGCAACCUUCAAGCGGAAGCCUGGCGAGGGUGUCGGCCAUGACCUGACUAACCACACAAGUCUCUAGUCUAGGUUUAUCGCCUAUUCAGGUUCCAUCCGCAAGGAGAUCCGGCCGAAGUUUCGCUCACAGCCCCAAAUGAUGCGUGCAGGGUUCCCGAGACACCAAAUGGUUGCCCGGUACACCGUGCCAUGGUGUAUCUACCGCAUCAUAGCCCACCCCUAGGGUCAGCACUACGCACGGCCGCCAACACAUAUCCUAUAAACACCAGAAACUAGUUGCAACUCCUGGACAGAGGACUAGGGCAGUUAAUAAGUCGAGAGGGUCAAUUAAGGAUCCCAAUGAGUGGUAGUAGCUGUUCAUGGAUCAUCAACACAGAACUCAGUUCCUGAGGACGGUUUCAAUGAGACAACCCACCAAGUAUAACAUGGCCUCUCACCGCUACCUUUACCAAAUCGUGUUCACACACUUAGCUCACACACAGUAGGGCAUGUUCAUCGCCAUUCCAAUUCUUCCCCGAUGAAUCAGGCCUGACUCAACUCUAAGCAGUAGCAGGCAUGACAAACAAGCAUGAAUGAGUAGGCACAUCAGGGCUCAAACAACUCCUACUCAUGCUAGUGGGUUUCAUCUAUUUACUGUGGCAAUGACAUGUCAUGCAGAGGAAAGGGGUUCAACUACCGCAGCAUGUAACAGUUGAAUCAUUGUUGUCCUAAUGCAGUAAAAGAGAGCAGGAGCGAGAGAGCGGGAUUGUGUCAGAAUGAACAAGGGGGUUUUGCUUGCCUGGCACAUCUGAAGAUAGUAUAGUUCUUCAUCGGUGUCAACAAUCUCAGCGUCGAAACCACGUCUAUCGAGAGGGGACAAAUACCGGCAACAGAGAAAGCAACACAAUCAAUGCAAUGCACAAUAUGAUGCAUGAUCAUGACAUGGUAAAAUGAGUGUGUUGGGCUAAUGCAACUACAACCAGAUGAGUUUGAGCUAUUUUGAAUCAAAGAUUCAAAGUUCAAACUCAUUUGUGAUCUUAAAUAGUGCUUUAUCAUGUUUUGCACUAAACAGCAAGUUAAAUUCUUUAAACAUGCAUGAAACUAGUACAGAUGGAUAGAUUGGAUUUUUUGGAUCAUUUUUCAUAUAUAAAUCUUUUCAAUCCGAGUUAUAGAUUAUUUUCUUUGAUUUUUAGAAGUUCUGAACAUUUUCUGGAAUUUCGUGAUUAUUAAUAAAUCCAGAAAAUGUAUUACUGCAUCAGCAUCAGGUCAAGCUGACGUCAGCAGGUCAACAGGGGUUGGUCCGGGUCAAACCUAACCAGUGGGGUCCACUGGUCAGUGACUUAAUUAACUAAAAGGGUUAAAUAGGAUUAACUAAUCAAAUUAACAGGCACUGGGCCCAUUGUCAGUGUCAGAAGUGGGGUAAUUAGUCUUAAACUAAAUGAGUCAGGGGCGGGGCCCACAUGUAUUGACCCUAGGGAGCUCAAACCCCGGGUCGAACGGGUCAAACUCGCCGGUGUUGAGUCGCCGGCGAGGUCAGUGGCGGCGAGGGGCUUCGGAGAACCCCUCUGGUGCACCGUUCGGCACGCGGUUGGGCUCUGCGGGACGCUGGCGAAGUGGCGCAUUGAACGGCGAUGGGCUCCGAGCCUGGGGUGGCCGGAAACACCGACGGCGAGCAGUGCAGCGGCGGCCGGAGCUCGGGCCCGCUCGGGUUAGGUGCUACGGCGUGCAAACGCGCGAACUAAAGCUUGGGGGCUGCUCUACAUGAGGCUGCUAACGCGUUGCACACCGGCGCAUGACCAAAUGGUCACCAGAGUGUCGCCGGCGUCGAGCUUGUGCGGUGGAGCGUCUCGGCUCCGGUGGAGGAGGCGGCUCGAGCUCGAAAUCGGGCAUGGAGUUAGGGGGAAACGAAGCAGGGGCUCACAUGGAGUCGGUAGGGCGGCUCAGCAAGCUCGGGGAGGUCCGGACGGUGGCGGAAUCACGGCGGCGAUCGUCGGGACCCGAGGAUGAAGAUGACAUCGAUGGUGGCACUCUGAGGGCCUUCCAGUCACGUGGAUUGGCGGGGACGGCAUAGCGGAUGACGGCGGAGCUCGUGGGCCGGUCGAGGGAGCGAGGGGGAUGCGGUGGACACGGUGGCAGCAAACGGCGGCGAUGGCUGCGCUCAGUGUACUCGGGAGAGAGAAACAGAGGAGGGGAGGAGCACAGGGAGAGUGAAAGGGGUCAGGGGGUUGCGUGGCAUCGCGGAAGACGUCCAGGGCGACGAGGGGACAGCCAGGCAGGCAGCUGCCGGCGUGGCACGUCGCGGCGCCGUGGCUAGCUUCUCCUCUACCUUCUGGCGAGAGGAGGAAGACAACUGGCAGGGGGUGGCUGGGCUGGGACGGCUUCAACAGCAUGCCGCACAGGUGGGCUGGCCUCUCUGGUGGGCUGCUGCUACAGGUAAGAAGCCCAGGUGAGUUUUUCUACUCUGUUUUAAUUUUUGUUCUGUUUUCUUUUAUUUAUUUAAACUUGCCACUGUUUAAAAUUUAGAACAAUUAAAACAGUGCCAAAUAUCCUCCAAGUAUAACUUAUGUUGCUCAUUGGACAUUUCCAAAUGCACAUAAAUUAUCACAGAGCAUUUAAAGACAUAUCCAUAUAUAUUUGAAUAUAUUUUCAAAUUCAAAUAGAAUAUUGUUUUAAAUUCAGAGACCAAAUAAUUUCUUAAAAAUGUUCCAAAAUUUUGGUUUGGUAUAUAACCCUUGCCAAAAUUCUCAAAACUAUUUUUAGGGAAUUUUGGAUUCACUAAAUGCAAUUUAAAGGGUUCUUGCCCUUCUUUUAAAAGAUUUUGAGGCUUUCAAAUUCCCUCAAUUCAAGUUUCUUCAAUUUAAACAUGAUGCAUGCUCAUGGAUGCAACUAUUACACUCAGAUAUUCUAGGGCUGUGACAACUCACCCCCACUAAACAAGAAUCUCGUCCCGAGAUUCAAGUCGUGAGGUAAGAAGACAGAGGGGACACGGAACUGACACAGUCUUCACGAUCCAUCGCAUUUCUGAAGAUGUUGAUUCGUUGCACCAUCUUGAACUUGACAUCCUCGCUUUUGAGAUCUUCAUCCACGUGAUGACGACAGAAAGGAACUAUAAUAGGAUUGAUCUUCUCGAAGAUCGAGCUAUACAAGAUCAACUCGUGGAAUGAGAUGUUGAAACAUCUCGAGUUGAGACACAAAACACAUCGGGAGGGAUGGAAGAACAAACGACGGGGUUUGAUUUGGUGGGCAACAAUUCCACGCUUAGAAAGAUGGUGGAUGGUGUCAAGGUGGCGAGGAAAUAAUUGCCAUGAUCCCGUAACGGGGCACCUUGGGAAAGGUGACUCAUUGGAUUGUUCCCUUAAGUGGCAAAAAGAAUUACUUUUGAUCCAUAGAUCAUUGAAACUCUUCAUACCAGCUUAAGGCAAUUUACAAUUGAUCGUUUGAAAGAGCUCAAAGAAAUGGCAUACUCGAACUAGGAUGGAUGAUGUGGACUACCUUGUUGAAGACAACGCAAUGGAUGACUUUUGCUUAUCACCGGAAAUGUAUGGGACCCAUGGUAGGACCACUUUUGAAGAUGAUCCUAACCAGAGAUUACCGAGAAGGGUAGUCCAUGGUAUAAUGGCACAAUGGCGGUGCAAGCUAGGAACAAAAUGCUAUUUCUGGGAAUGAUUCUGGUAACUGGGAAAUAACUCAACAGUCGAGAGUGAUUCCACUUCUUGAAUGGUUAUGGAAUAAUCGAAGAAACUAAGAGCACAAGGAUCCCUAAGGAGCAACUUCUAGAAUAAGUCACAUGAAAUCCUCAUGAAGAAGAUGGUCAAAUAUUGCAAUCAAGAUACUAUAAUGACAGAUCUUCCGGCUAGGUGUUUCGGCUAGAACAUCAAUCUUGUCGGGACCUACAUCAUAGUUCUUGGAAAAGUUCCAACCAUCAUAUCUGCCAGAGAUUCAGAUCUGGUUGGUAAGGAAUAUUUCAGACAGCAUGUCCGGAAAAGAAAGUUUGCAACACAAACCGACGAGAUGAUGUUGCGAGAUUCUCGGGGAGUGAACUACGAUAGCAAGCUCCAAAACAUGAGCUGGUUCUGCUACAUACAUGUGAACACACUAUCCCAGACAAGCAUGACCACGUAGUAGUCUUAUAAUAAACACUACCGAGUUCAGGUGGGGAACCAUCAUCGAGGAUAUCGAAGUCCUUGUAUAAGUCUUGCUCUUAAGAAGGAACUUCUUUUCCUUGAACAAAUCAAUCAGUGGCUUGGUGUACUAGGAGAUACAUAUGGAAUGGAGGUAGCGAGCCUGUCAAACCAUAGCAUACUUCGUACAUGCAUGACUGACUUGGGAUGGUACCGGAGGGAUCAAAAACAAUCUUUCUCGAACUCACGGCGGCAACUUCCACCAAAUGCACAUGAAUCAGAGAAAGUCGCUUCUUUCAUCCAACAUAUGCUUCAUGAACGGGACAUGAAGAUAAUGCUUUUAGAAGUUUCCAACACUAGCGGGAUGUUCAACACGAAUCAUGGAGGAGAUAAAAAUGUUGCUGAUGGGCUCAACAACAAUUCAUCCAGGUUUCCAUAUAAGUGGAAUUCCACAAUUAUGUGAACAAGGUGAUAGCAUUGGUCAGACCCAAAAUAUAUAAUGGUGUAUGCUCGAAGAAACAACCACGAGUAAGACAACAUUACGAAUAUCGUUGGUUCUGAUUUGAUUUGAGGAUAGCCCAUACUCAAAUCAAAGAUUGGAUAAGAUGAUAGGUCCGUUAACUGAUCACAAGGGUCAGUCGAUGAAAAUGCCAUCUUUCUUCAACACACUUACAAGAUAUCCCUUACAAUGAACUAAGUCGUACAAGCUUUUAUCUUCCAACUCUCCAAGUUGUUGUUUAGCCUAACCAACUAGCUCAGGGGUAUCCAACACAGAUUCUUGGAGAAAAGGGUGGUUUAUAAGAAACCAACUUGAUCACGAACUCAACAUAGCGGUCAGGUGACAACCUAGUAAUACCUCCGAGAAAAUAUUCGGAAUAUUACGAACCACCGAUAUGUUAUUAAGCUCAAGAACAAUCUUGCCUUUCAAGGCAGGAUGACAUGAUCAAAAGAGCGAGGGUUUGGCAAAAUCCUAACUCAUCGAUCGAAAAGUGCACCAGGAAUAAGGACUAGGUUGCACGAUCAAUCUUAGAAUGAUGAUUCAGUUACCAUCACGCUAAGAAUGAGAAUAUUGUCCAUUUACUACCAAGCAACGAGUUGCUCGGAGUAUUGAUUUCACACAUCAUGAUUCACUUGUCGGCAUUUCGGUUACGACAACACGAUGACCGAGGAAUGAAUGAUGAUGGUGAGAAGUAUCACUGCAUCAAGAAUUCAUAAGAGAUGGUACAAUUCCUAUGAUAUUCUUGACAUAAAGAGGGCAACACUCCAAGGUAGAAUAGAACAAAAGAUGGAUUGGCAUUUUGAUCUGCGGGAUACAACUACUUUGACCCAUUCCUAGAUAUGGAUGAGGUACUAGAGUUUGUUUCUCCUAGACAUUCCGGAAUAGAAUGGCUUGACGGACCACAAGAAUAAUAGGCAUCAAUGAGCACAAAUGCACGACAUACUCUUGACUAUCAAUUGGUACACGAGGGUCGGAAUCCAACCGAAGAGGGACAACUCAAAGGAACAUAGCACUUUUUGAGUUGUGGAUGCAUAGAUUAGUAUGUUGAACAAAGCUCAACACAUUUCUUCCAGAUAAUCCAUGCAUAAAGGUAGGACUGGCAGAUUCACAAUGCAUAAUGGAGAACUCCUCAAGAGCACUCUUGUUGUGAUCUUUUGGUUCAAGAGAACUCUUGCCAUAUUGGUUCAUGGUAUUGGAAGAACGAUGUACCACGGACCUCGAGGACUAUCGCAAGGUUACUAAUAUCCUAAAGGAACUAGCAAACACUUUCAAGACGAGGUAAGUAGUGUGAAUCUCGGGUUCAAAAACCCAGGAAUAGAAUGCCUACUAACUAAGUGGCAUCACGAGAUGCUUUCGAGAAUGAUGGCCAGAAUCAUCACAUCGGAACACAAAACAUGGCUAGAUUACUAGGUGACUCCCUAAAACACCUAGGGUCAUAAUAAUAGCCCCAACAUAUAUACCGAGGCAAUAGAGUACCUCAACACACCGGUUAGUGUGCUUAUUCUGACCAAAAGGACAUCGGGAAUGGAAAGAAAGGAUUUGCAGAUGCAUCAGACUAUUUAGUAACCUGGGAUGACUCGGACAACAUAACGGCUAUAAUUGCUCAAAAGAUUUGAGACAACUUGCAAAAAAAUGGUGGCAUAGCCACUCAACAUCACAAACUCAAGGUUCUGAGGCCAGCUAUGAACAUAUGGAAGUAGUAGGAACUAAACUGAGGCUUGAACUCAACAAUCCUAGGCAACUACGGUUUAGUAACACGUCAUCCUGAGAGAUAGAAGAGAAGCCUAGUUCUUACCCCCGUAGAAAAGAUAAGAUGACUCACAUCAGAGGGUCAUGAGGAUAAGGAGUAAAAAGAGCCUUACGUUCCCAUCCACAAUCAAUUCCCUUAUAUAAAUAAAGCAUUUCUAGACACGACUUCGACCAGCUUGGCUUGGUAAUCCUACAGGAAGUCAGGCUCUGAUACCAAAGCUGUCAGGACCCCGAUUCCAAGUCACAUCGAUAUAGCCGGUAACACCUCAUAUCACUUUGCGGCCUCACGCAUGGUAUUCCCACGGGUGUCGCCUUACCAUGGCCCGAGACCAUUUGCGCCUUUUGGCUCACGUAUAUGAUAGUGUCGCUAGCAUCCAUAUGACAGAGAACCCGGGCCGACAUGACUAGUCAUGAACCCAAAGUGGCACUAACUUACGAGGACAGGCAUACAUGAAUCAACAUCGAGCAUGUCGGUCAGCAGCGUGCGAAUCCGGGAUGUGGCACUGGGCUAACAGGACUCCGGUGAACCGGUCUGUAGCAGGCUAGGCAGGACUCCGGAUGUCACCGCGUGACAUUUCCCCGAAGGGACAGACACAGGAACGAAGUGAAUCACAUGCCGGCCAGUCAAGUGUCUGGAGCAGUAGUGCUGGGCUAGCAGGACUUCGGUGAACCGGGCUGUAGUGGACUACUAUGGCUCAUGGAAGCACAAGACUACAUUUCCCCAUAAGAGAGGCUACCAAGGAUAAACAACUAGGUUGUCGGAUCCCACACAUACCAAGCAUUUCAGUCAUACACACAAUAUGCUCGAUAUGUGUAAAUACAACAUGGCAUCACAACAAAACUCUACGACUCAAAGUAUUUAUUCAAAAGGCUCCAGAGAGCCAUACAUAACAUGUUCAUACAGGUAGGGGUCACAUUACUCGACACUCAAGUCAUACAAGCAUACAAGCACAUGCGGAAGCUUAACAUGUCUGGGUACAGACAUCUACAAAUGAAAAAGGCUGAGAAGCCUGACUAUCUUCAAGACACUGCCGAGGUCACAUGAACGUAGCUGAGGUAUCAAGCUAAACGUCGAAGUACACACGAAACUAAUAGCGAGACUGACGUCUCUCUGCAAAACAUAAAAUAGGCAAACGUGAGUACAAAUGUACCCAGCAAGACUUACAUCAGAACUAACUACACAUGCAUCGGUAUCAAUAAAGGGGUAGUGGAUUUUAACUGUAGUAAGCCAGCUUCGACUCGGUGGCUAUCUUAAACUACGACUGCAAGUAACUCUUUUGAGGUGGCGCACACGAGUCCACAUAUUCACCAUAUCAAUACACCACUAUGGAUCCGCUCCCGUCUCCCUACGAGAACGCCAUCCUUAGCACUCACGCUUAUCUUGUGCAUUUUAGAGUAUCCACUUUCACUUGUCUAUGAACUAUGCAAGGGGUCCAAGUUUCCAUAUCCGAGGAAUCCGGCUAUUCAAAUAGAUAAUGAUAACCCUGCAGGGGUGUACUUCUUCACACACGCUCUCACCACUUAUCACCAUAUACACGUCAUGUAUCUCAGCAACCUUCAAGCGGAAGCCUGGCGAGGGUGUCGGCCAUGACCUGACUAACCACACAAGUCUCUAGUCCAGGUUUAUCGCCUAUUCGGGUUCCAUCCGCGAGGAGAUCCGGCCGAAGUUUUGCUCACAACCCCAAACAAUGUGUGCAGGGUUCCCGAGACACCAAACGGGCGCCCGGUACACCGUGCCACGGUGUAUCUACCGCAUUAUAGCCCACCCCUAGGGUCAGCGCUACGCACGGCCGCCAACACAUAUCCUAUAAACACCAGAAACUAGUUGCAACUCCUGGACAGAGGACUAGGGCAGUUAAUAAGUCGAGAGGGUCAAUUAAGGAUCCCAAUGAGUGGUAGUAGCUGUUCAUGGAUCACCAACACAGAACUCAGUUCCUGAGGACGGUUUCAAUGAGACAACCCACCAAGUAUAACAUGGCCUCUCACCGCUACCUUUACCAAAUCGUGUUCACACACUUAGCUCACACACAGUAGGGCAUGUUCAUCGCCAUUCCAAUUCAUCCCCGAUGAAUCAGACCUGACUCAACUCUAAGCAGUAGCAGGCAUGACAAACAAGCAUGAAUGAGUAGGCACAUCAGGGCUCAAACAACUCCUACUCAUGCUAUUGGGUUUCAUCUAUUUACUGUGGCAAUGACAGGUCAUGCAGAGGAAAGGGGUUCAACUACCGCAGCAUGUAACAGUUGAAUCGUUGUUGUCCUAAUGCAGUAAAAGAGAGCAGGAGUGAGAGAGCAGGAUUAUAUCAGAAUGAACAAGGGGGUUUUGCUUGCCUGGCACUUCUGAAGAUAGUAUAGUUCUUCAUUGGUGUCAACGAUCUCAUCGUCGAAACCACGUCUAUCGAGAGGGGACAAAUACCGGCACAAAGAAAGAAACACAAUCAAUGCAAUGUACAAUAUGAUGCAUGAUCAUGACAUGGUAAAAUGAGAGUGUUGGGCUAAUGCAACUACAACCAGAUGGGUUUGAGCUAUUUUGAAUCAAAGAUUCAAAGUUCAAACUCAUUUGUGAUCUUAAAUAGUGCUUUAUCAUGUUUUGCACUAAACAGCAAGUUAAAUUGUUUAAACAUGCAUGAAACUAGUACAUAUGGAUAGAUUGGAUUUUUCUGAUCAUUUUUCAUAUAUAAAUCUUUUCAAUCCGAGUUAUAGAUUAUUUUCUAUGAUUUUUAGAAGUUUUGAACAUUUUCUGGAAUUUCCUGAUUAUUAAUAAAUCCAGAAAAUGUAUUACUGCGUCAGCAUCAGGUCAUGCUGACAUCAGCAGGUCAACAGGGGCUGGUCCGGGUCAAACCUGACCAGUGGGGUCCACUGGUCAGUGACUCAAUUAACUAACAGGGUUAAAUAGGAUUAAAAUUAAGAGGCACUUGGCCCAUUAUCAGUGUCAGAAGUGGGGUAAUUAGUCCUAAACUAAACGAGUCAGGGCGGGGCCCACAUGUAUUGACCACAGGGAGGUCAAACCCCGGUCGAAUGGGACAAACUCGCUGGUGUUGAGUCGCCGGCGAGGUCAGCGGCGGCGAGGGGCUUCGGAGAACCCCUCUGGUGCACCGUUUGGCACGCGGUUGGGCUCUGCGGGACGCUGGCAAAGCGGCGCAUCGAACGGCGAUGGGCUCCGGGCCUGGGGUGGCCAGAAACACCGAUGGCGAGCAGUGCAGCGGAGGCUGGAGCUCAGGCCCGCUCGGGUUAGGUGCUAUGGCGCGCAAACGCGCGAACUAAAGCUCAGGGGCUGCUCUACGUGAGGCUGCUAACGCGUUGCACACUGGCGCAUGACCAAAUGGUCACCGGAGCGUCGCCGGGGUCGAGCUUGUGCGGCGGAGCGUCUCGGCUCUGGUGGAUGAGGCGGCUAGAGCUCGAAAUUGGGCAUGGAGUUAGGGGGAAACGAAGCAGGGGCUCACAUGGAGUCAGUAGGGCGGCUCAGCAAGCUCGGGGAGGUCCGGACGGCGGCGGAAUCACGGCGGCGAUCGUCGGGACCCGAGGAUGAAGAUGACAUUGAUGGUGGCACUUCGGGGGCCUUCCAGUCACGUGGAUCGGCGGGGACGGUGUAGCGGAUGACGGCGGAGCUCAUGGGCCGGUCGAGGGAGCGAGGGGGAUGCGGUGGACACGGUGGCAGCGAACGGCGGCGACGGCUGCGCUCGGUGUACUCGGGAGAGAGAAACAGAGGAGGGGAGGAGCACAGGGAGAGUGAGAGGGGUCAGGGGGUUGCGUGGCGUCGCGGAGGACGUCCAGGGCAACGAGGGGACAGCCAGGCAGGCAGCUGCCGGCGUGGCACGCCGCGACGCCGUGGCUAGCUUCUCUACCUUCUGGCGAGAGGAGGAAGACAACUGGCAGGGGGUGGCUGGGCUGGGCCGGCUUCAACAGCAGGCCGCACAGGUGGGCUGGUCUCUCUGGUGGGCUGCUGCUACAGGUAAGAAGCCCAGGUGAGUUUUUCUGCUCUGUUUUAAUUUUUGUUCUGUUUUCUUUUAUUUAUUUAAACUUGCCACUGUUUAAAAUUUAGAACAAUCAAAACAGUGCCAAAUAUCCUCCAAGUAUAACUUAUGUUGCUCAUUGGACAUUUCCAAAUGCACAUAAAUUAUCACAGAGCAUUUAAAGACAUGUCCAUAUAUAUAUAUAUGAAUAUAUUUUCAAAUUCAAAUAUUGUUUUAAAUUCAGAGACCAAAUAAUUUCUUUAAAAUGUUCCAAAAUUUUGGUUUGGCAUAUAACCCUUGCCAAAAUUCUCAAAACUAUUUUUAGGGAAUUUUGGAUUCACUGAAUGCAAUUUAAAGGGUUCUUGCCCUUCUUUUAAAAGAUUUUGAGGCUUUCAAAUUCCCUCAAUUCAAGUUUCUUUAAUUUAAACAUGAUGCAUGCUCACGGAUGCAACUAUUACACUCAGAUAUUCUAGGGCUGUGACAGUGAUUUUUUGAACAAAUGUGAUCCAGGAGACUUGGAGUGGACGUCAAGAAUCAAUCAAGGAGGCCACAAGGCAGGGGGCGCGCCCACCCCCUGGGCGCGCCUCCACCCUCGUGGGCCCCUCGUUGCUCCACCGACCUACUUCAUCCUCCUAUAUAUAUCCAUAUACCCCGCAAACAUCCAAGAGCACCACGAAACCCUAUUUCCACCGCCACAGCCUUCUGUACCCAAGAGAUCCCAUCUUGGGGCCUUUUCCGGAGCUCCGCCGGAGGGGCAUCGAUCAUGGAGGGCCUCUACAUAAACUCCAUGGCCCCUCCGAUGAUGUGUGAGUAUUUUACUUCAGACCUUCGGGUCCAUAGCUAGUAGCUAGAUGGCUUCUUCUCUCUCUUUGGAUCUCAAUACAAAGUUCUCCUCGAUUCUCUUGGAGAUCUAUUCGAUGUAAUCUUCUUUUGCGGUGUGUUUGUCGAGAUCCGAUGAAUUUUGGGUUUAUGAUAAAGUUUAUCUAUGAACAAUAUUUUAUGUAUGAUUUUUAUGUAUGAUUGGUUUAUAUUUGCAAGUCUCUUCAAAUUAUCAGUUUGGUUUGGCCUGCUAGAUUGAUCUUUCUUGCAAUGGGAGAAGUGCUUAGCUUUGGGUUCAGUCUUGCGGUGCUCGAUCCCAGUGACAGAAAGGGAAACGACACGUAUUGUAUUGUUGCCAUCGAGGAUAAAAAGAUGGGGUUUACAUCAUAUUGCAGAGUUUAUCCCUCUACAUCAUGUCAUCUAUCUUAAGGCGUUACUAUGUUCUUAUGAACUUAAUACUCUAGAUGCAUGCUGGAUAGCGGUCGAUGUGUGGAGUAAUAUUAGUAGAUGCAGAAUCGUUUUGGUCUACUUGUCACGGACGUGGUGCCUAUAUAUAUUACCAUACCUAGAUAUUCUCAUAAUUAUUCGCUUUUCUAUCAAUUGCUCGACAGUAAUUUGUUCACCCACUGUAAUACUUAUGCUCUUGAGAGAAGCCACUAGUGAAACCUAUGGCCCCGGGGUCUAUUCUCCAUCAUAUAAGUUUCCAAUAUAUUUUAUUUGCAAUCUUUACUUUCAAUCUAUAUCAUAAAAAUACCAAAAAUACUUAUCUUAUUAUUAUCAUCUCUAUCAGAUCUCACUCUUGCAAGUGGUCGUGAAGGGAUUGACAACCCCUUUAUCGCAUUGGUUGCAAGGUUCUUAUUUGUUUGUGUAGGUACGAGGUGACUCGCGCGUGGUCUCCUACUGGAUUGAUACCUUGGUUCUCAAAAACUGAGGGAAAUACUUAUGCUUCUUUACUGCACCACCCUUUCCUCUUCAAGGGAAAACCAACGCAGUGCUCAAGAGGUAACAAUCAUGCACAACCCAAUGACAAGCCAAGCAAUUGUUUCAUACUUUUGAUGUUCUCAAACCUUUUCAACUUUCACGCAUUACAUGAGCGUGAGCCAUGGAUAUAGCAAUAUAGGUGGAAUAGAAUAUGAUGAUGGAGGUUCUGUGGAGAAGACAAAAAAGGGAGAAAGUCUCACAUCAACGCGGCUAAUCAACGGGCUAUCGAGAUGCCCAUAAAUUGAUGUCAAUGCGAUGAGUAGGGAUUGCCAUGCAACAGAUGCACUAGAGCUAUAAGCGUAUGAAAGCUCAAACAGAAACUAAGUGGGUGUGCAUCCAACUUGCUUGCUCAUGAAGACCUAGGGCACUUGAGGAAGUCCAUCAUUGGAAUAUACAAGCCAAGUUCUAUAAUGAAAAUUCCCACUGGUAUAUGAAAGUGAUAACUCAAGAGACUCUCUAUAUGAAGAGCAUGGUGCUACUCUAAAGCACAAGUGUGGUAAAAGGAUAGUAACAUUGUCCCUUCUCUCUUUUCUAUAUUUUUUUUACUUUUUUUCUUUUUUUGUAGGCUUCUUUGGCCUCUCUCUCUCUCUUUUUUUGGGGGGGGGGGGGUUCUCUGGCCACUUUUAUUUUGGUAACCUCACAUGGGACAAUGUUCUAAUAAUGAUGAUCAUCACACUUUUAUUUACUUAAAACUCAAUAUUACAACUCGAUACUAGAACAAAGAUAUGACUCUAUAUGAAUGCAUCCGGCUAUGUAUCGGGAUGUGCAAUGAUAUAGCGUAGCAAUGAAAUCAAAAAAACGGACAAGCCAUGGAAACAUCAUGCUAGCUAUCUUACGAUCAUGCAAAGCAAUAUGACAAUAAAUGCUCAAGUAAUGUAUAUGAUGAUGAUGGAAGUUGCAUGGUAAUAUAUCUCGGAAUGGCUAUGGAAAUGCCAUGAUAGGUAGGUAUGGUGGCUGUUUUGAGGAAGAUAUAAGGAGGCUUAUGUCUGACAGAGUGUAUCAUAUCACGGGGUUUGGAUGCACCGGCAAAGUUUGCACCAACUCUCGAGGUGAGAAAGGGCAAUGCACGGUAUCGAAAAGGCAAGCAAUGAUGGAAGGGUGAGAGUGCAUAUAAUCCAUGGACUAAACAUUAGUCAUAAAGAACUCACAUACUUAUUGCAAAAAUCUAUUAGUCAUCGAAACAAAGUACUACAUGCAUGCUCCUAGGGGGAUAGAUUGGUAGGAAAAGACCAUCGCUCGUCCCCAACCUCCACCCAUAAGGAAGACAAUCAAUAAAUACCUCUUGCUCCUACUUCGUUACAUACCGGUUCACCAUACGUGCAUGCUACAGGAAUCACAAACUUCAACACAAUUAUUUCUACAAUCCACAACUACCCACUAGCAUGACUCUAAUAUCACCAUCUUUAUAUCGCAAAACUAUUGCAAGGGAUCAAACAUAUCAUAUUCAGUGAUCUACAAGUUUUAUGUAGGAUUUUAUGGCUAACCAUGUGAAUGACCAAUUCAUGUCAUCUCUCUAAUAGAUAUAAGUGAAGAAAGAGAGUUUAAUUGUUUCUACAAAAGAUAUGCCCAUGCUCUAACAAAUAUAAGUGAAGCACAAGAGCAUUCUACAAAUGGCGGUUUUCUAUGUGUAGGGAAACAGGCAAUCCAAACUUCAAAUGAUAUAAGUGAAGCACAUGAAGCAUUCUAUAAAGCCAUACUCAAAAUAUAUAAGUGAAGUGCAAAGAGCAUUCUAUAAAUCAACCAUGGACUAUCUCAUACCAGCUUGGUGCAUCAAAGAAAAGUGAAAACUAAAUGCAUAAGGCACUCCAAGAUUUGCACAUAUCACAUGAACGAAACAAAACCGAAAACAUACCGAUACUUGUUGAAGAAAGAUGGGAUGCCUUCCGGGGCAUCCCCAAGCUUAGACGCUUGAGUCUCCUUGAAUAUUUACUUGGGUUGCCUUGGGCAUCCCCAAGCUUGAGCUCUUGCCUCUCGUCCUUCUCCUCAUAUUAAGACCUCCUCGAUCCUUGAUCACUUCAUCCACACAGAACUCAACAGAAAGUUUUGUAAAAUCCGUUAGUAUAAUAAAGUAGAUCACUACUCUAAGUAACAUUGCAAACCAAUUCAUAAUUUGUUUUUGCAUUGUAGCUACUGUAAUUUAACUUUUCCAUGGCUUAAUCCACUAAUAGAAAUCAAUAGUUUCAUCAAAACAAGCAAAUAAUGCAUCAAAAACAGAAUCUGUCUUAAACAGGACAGUCUGUAGUAAUCUGAACAUUCACCAUACUUCUGGUACUCCAAAAAUUCUGAAUAAAUUAGUAAAUUUGUAUAUAAAGACAGUGCAAAAAAGUUUCAGAACCGUUUGACAUUCCAGUCAAAAAUGUAAAAUCGCGCACUACAACCAAAGUUUCUGUUUUGCACCGCACAAACCAACAAGCAAUGUAGACAUCCUAAAAGCAAAUCUUGGCCAUUAUUUUUAUAAUACAAUGAAAUUGUACAAGGGGAUAAUUAUUUUUGUUGAAAAGUUUCUGUAAUCAAGAUUCACAAAGUUUCCGCGAGCAUGGAAAAAGUUCAAGGAGCUCCCUCACUUCAACAAUGCUUGUCUCUCUCACUUUCACUUUCCUUUUUGAAAAGUUUUGGGUUCCCCUCUUUUGUUAAAACUCUAUAAAAGCACUCAACAGAAAUAAAUGACUCUCUAAAACUUCCGGGUUGUCUCCCUGGCAGCGCUUUCUUUAAAGCCAUUAAGCUAGGCAUAAGGUGCUCAAGUAAUGAAUCCACCCGGAUCCCAAGGUAUAUCAAAGCCAAUUUGAAUUAGCAAUGAUUUGGCAUUUAGUAGUGAGCACAAAGCAACAUAUAUCAGGCAAUGACGAAGUCUAACUCUCUUCCUAUGCAUCGGCAUGUCAUACAAGAACAAUUCAUGCACAUCAAGUAAAGGCCAAUGCAUAGCAAAAGAAGUUUCUUGCAAUUUUAUCGUGUUGGAAACAUAGAGAGGCGGAGAUGUAGUUCCUCUCUCAUAAUAAUUGCAAGUAGGAGCAGCAAGCACAUGCGUAUUAUAUUCAUCAAAGUUAUCAUGUGCAACGGUAAAAGGCCACCCAUCAAUAUAAUCCUUAAUAAGUGCAAACUUCUCCGAUAUAGUGUAGUUUGGAGAAUUCAAAAAGAUAAUAGGACUAUCAUGUGUGGGUGCAAUAGCAACAAUUUCAUGUUUAACAUAAGGAACAAUAGCAGGUUCAUCUCCAUAAGAAUAACUCAUAUUGGCAUCUUGGCCACUAGAAUAGCAAGCAUCAAGUUCAUCAAAAAGGGAUAUUUCAAAUGAAUCAAUGGGAUCAUAGCAAUUAUCAUGGCAUUCAUCCUUCGGUAAGAAUGAAGGGACAUUAAUAAUGUAUGAGUUGGAGAGUUACUCUCACUACAAGGUGGGUACGGGUAGCUAAUACGAUCUUCCUCCUUUUGUUCUUCGCUCUCAUCAUCAUCUUUUUCAUCUAAUGAGCUCACAGUUUCAUCAAUUUCUUCUUCCAUAGACUCCUGUAAAAUAUUAGUCUCUUCUCGGACAACGGAGACUUUCUCAAUAAAUUCAUCAAUAUCAUAAUUGCAUUUAUAAUUCUCAUAGCAAUAUUUACGGAUAGCUAAAUUUUCAGGUCUAUAAACUGAAUCAUCAAAAUCUUCAAACUCUUUAAACAAAGAUUCAAUUUCACAAGCACCCUUAAAAGCAACAAAUUCUUCUAUUCGUUCCAUAUCAUAGUAAUCAUAUAUACCAUUAGCAUAAGAAGCUAAGGUUUCAUUAUCAUUAAAUUUACAUGAAAAGGGAAGGUGUGGAGCUUUCAUCCUAGAGCAACAAGUAUAAUCAUAUAUCAAGCAUAGUUGCCGAGCAUACCAAUGCAACAUAUAAAUUUGAUUCCUUAAUAGUUUCCCUUUUUGAGUCAAGCGAUAAUCCCUAAAGUAUUCACGUUGAUCCAACGUGUCUCCCAUUAUAUAAUUGAAUCAGGUUUUCUCAGGGUUAUUAAAGUAGUGCAUAAUAUCUUUCACAUAAUGAGCAUCAAGGGUUUUACGAGGUUCCCCAUCUCCAUGAGUAGCAAGAAACCUAUUUUUUUGGUAUUUAGUGUUCCAUAUCCAUAACUAAAGACAGAGACACUUCAAAAAAAGACACUUCUGUGAUGAUACGUGUUUGUCAUAGUAGGUCACAUUUUCUGUCAUGCAUGUACAUCCAUGACAAAUUUAUGAUGGAACGAAGAUAGUCAUACAUGUGUUGUCGUAGAAGUGUUCCAUGACAUUACCAAAAUUAUCAUCACGGAAGUGUCCACUUCCAUGACGAUAAAUCGUGCGUCAUAGAAGUGCUGUCGUCAAGGGUGACCGACGCAUGGCAUCCACCGUAACGGGACGCCGUUAAGCUAUAGGGUCCGGUUUUGGAUCCGAUAACCCUCUAACAGCCAUGACCAAUGCCGAUUUUCCACGUGUAAAAUUCUCAUUGGCCGACGGAACCACGCGUCAGCUCCGCGUUGGCACAGGUGUCACUCAUCCAACGGUCGAGAUGGGCCUAUGAUAUGUUGACACGUGGACGGGCCCAAAAGUGUCCCAUAAAGUUUAAAUGGGUCGGCCCAACUAAAGGCCCAUAAGAUUUAGCAGACCAUAAUGGGUUGGCCCAGCUAAAGGCCCACAAGCUUUUGCAGACCAUAAUGGGCCGGCCCAGCUAAAGGCCCACAAGAUUUAGGAGACCGCAAUGGGCCAUCCCAGCUAAAGGCCCACAAGAUUUUGCAGACCAUAAUGGGCCGGCCCAGCUAAAGGCCCAACAUUCUCAAUUAAGUCCCGUACAGCUAGUGUCAAAUCGGCCCGUCAACGGCAUGUCCUAAACUUGUCAUAAUCGCGGCCCAUGGUCACUUCUGGCCCAUGAACAGUCCGCUAAGUAUAUCGGUUGAAUUACGGCCCGGUGUAUUUCCGUCCUGUUAAAGGUCCUGCUUCAUUUGGGCCCGUUUACAGGCCAUUGAAACUUUUGGCCCAUAAACGACCAUGAAGGAUUUGGGUCAUAUUCGGCGAUGUCUGACAUCCGGCCUGUUAGAGGCCCACUAUAGAUUUGGGCCACUUUCAGCCUGUUGUGAUUUUCGGCCUGUUAACGUCGGACGAAAUCCAUGGGCCAUAUGUGGCCCAACGUCACAUCAGGCCCAUUAACGGCCCAUAUAAAAAUGACGAUAAUCUAGCCCGACCGAACUUCCAGCCUGUUAAAGGCAUGUGUAUUAGGUCGGCGGAUUUACGGCCCGUCCGAAUUUCGGCCUGUGAAAGAUCCGCAUCGUAAAUGGGCCACUGUUUCGUCCUGCUAAGCCUAGUGGGUUAUUUGGCACAAUCAGGGCCCAAUCUCACUUUCGGUCUAUUAAAGGCCCAUGCUUUUUAUGACCUCGAGAUAUUUACACUUGUAAACGGCCUAUUGUUACUGACGGCCCAAAUUAUGUUUAGGCAUGUUAAAGGCCCACUAUUGGCACAGGCCUACCAGAAAAAUAUGAAAGCUUAUGCUGAUUUAGGCCCAGAUAUUUUUAGUGGGCUACAUGCAAAUUUCGGCCCAUAAUCGUUUUUAGCCCAAUUGGAAUGGGCCCGACGAAUGUUGGCAUGUUGGGCUCCUAUGAGGCUUUCCGCCGAAUACAUUACUAAGAUAAACCUACACUAUACAAAAAUAGCGUCGUAAUUACUGCAGCCUUUGGCAGCAUCAUAAAUGUUGUAUCACAACAAAAUAAAUUCCAACCAUACAACAAAAGGCCUCUUGGCAUAAAGUUUAUAGUCCUUGCAGAUAAAAGCACCAUCAGAUGUAUAUAAGCACAGAUCAUUUGACCUGAGUGCUGAUGUUUCAUGCUGUAGAAUAUGAUGGAGCAGCACGGUCUUCACCUUUUAUCCACCAUUGCUCUUGAACAAAGAAGUGAAUGUCUGAUAGUCUGGUUCCAAAACCAUUCAUAUCUUGACGACAUUUGUCAACCACUAUUCUUGUUUCCAAAACAACGUCCAUUAGGGAUUGGACUUGUGUCUGGAGCACAGAUAUAUCACUCUGUCUAGCAGGAAGAUUUUGUUCAGUAGACGAUUUGGACGAGGUUGCCUUGACAACCAAUCCAGAAUUACGCAGGAAGGUGCUUUUUGCACUGUUAGUGGAGAGAUACUGAUGCACUGCAGCAAGAGGUGACAUUGUGCCUAUGGUAGCCUCGUCACCUUCAGGUGGUUGUGGCUGUUCAACCAUUUGUUCCAUAGCUUCCUGAAAGUUUGAACUUGUAGAUUAGUGUACUAGAUAAGUUACUAAUGAGACAAAAACAAACAAAGUAGGUUACACAUUUAUACAUAACUUAUUUUGGUGAACUACUGUAAUACAUUAGCAUGUAUUGUAGUUCCAACUACAUAAUAAAAUCACUUUCGGAACAUAUGUCCAUGUACCAUGCCUACUGUAUUAUCUAUUUCCUCACAUUCAUUGACAUCUAAGGAUAAAGAGACAUGGUUUAAAGUAGGAUGAACAUAGUAUGACAUCAUUCAUAUCAUGGGCAAACAUAUAUAAAACAAACAGGCUAUUUUAUCAUUAUGUGCGCAUGUGAACAUAACAACUAGAUUACAGAUCAAGAUCAAAAGAAUAUCAUUCAUCUCUUUUAAACCAUGUAAGGUGAAAUGAUACGUUAAGAAAACUGUGUAUAAAAGUGAACAGAGUAACUUACAUUGGCUGCAAACCAAGUAGUUAAAUGAACAUAUCACAGUACCAAUCAGUUCAAAGGCAGGAGGAGUAAGGACUUACAACAUCGGCUUUAACUGGUGUGCUCAUGCCCUUCAUCUUGCUGGUGUGGCAAUCCUUGAAGAUUUGCACUGCAUUCGGUUCAGGUUCUUUUUGGUCCGCAUAGGCUUUCCUCUGUAUUUGGAACAAGUCAAUGUAGAUACGAUAAUAUGGCACAGAAAAAAUAAGGAAGUAGCAGCUAUUUACAAGAGCCUCGCAGUGUGCAAUAUAGCUACGAGAUCCUGUUGUCUGUUGGAAUUUCACUUUAGAACAGUUGGUCUUGUUCUCAAAGAGUUAGCCUAGAAGAAUAUACACUUGUAAGGCACAUACAUAAAUACAAGUUCAAUAUGUGGUCUGAUCAAAUACAUAUAGCCUACCUGAUACUUUGGAUCAGACCAGUGUUUAACGAGGUAUGUCCAGUCUUCAUCUGUAAUAUAUUCCACUAGAGAUGUUUGGGCGAUUUCAUUGUUAGCCCUGCCGUCAAAGUAAGAUUUUCUAAGGUAGUACCGAUACUGUCGCAAAGAAGACUGAAAAACAUGAGUGCAUGCUUGUUUAGUUGCAUCAUCUUUCGGAUCCAACUUGAACCUCAUCUGUUGAAAAAAGAAUGUGAGUCUUAUUAGGAGGAAGCUAGAAAGUAUGGGACAGAGCACGACAAUAUUACUAAGUGCGAUGAAUAACAUUACUUACGGAUAAAUGGUCAAGGAAGGUGUUAAACUGGGUAUUGUCUUUCUCAUUCCUGUACUGUAUCCACGUUGGGAGGAUACGUGCAUGACACCUAACGGUAAUGGCUACCUCUGAUACUAACUUGGCUGACUCUGUAGCAUCACGUGGCCUUUUUAAACCUACCUCAAAAUGGAUCUCCAUUCUUCCUCCUUUAAAUUUUGUUAAUCUAUCAAGCAUUAUCCCUGAUGUUUGUUUCCACUUGCGUUGUGGUGCUAGUUCAACAACGAAUGUGGAAAGUGUUAGUGUACAUCAAACUGUGGGAGUACAUAUAAAGGAGCAUGCAACUGCAACUUGACUAGGUCAGGUACCGUCUUGGUGUUGAUGCUCAUGAGGUUCAUCCGAUCUUGCCAAGUCCUGUUGUGUCAGCAGUGCUUCGGAAGUAGUGUUAGGUGUGAAGGCAGCUUGGGAACUGGCCAGUUCCGGAGCAAACGAACGAGUAACUCGUUGAGAUGCUGGUACAGUUGAAGCGGAUGUUGCAGCUGGUGGAGCAGGUGAUACUGGUUGUAGAUUUAGCCGGUGGACUUGGACCUUCUACUGCACUAUAAGUACCAGUAGAAUCUGGACAGCAGAUCCUUUUCCGUUUCUCCUGACGAGUAACACCACUCCCUACUAUAUUAUUUUCCUUGCUCUUUUUUGACUUUGCCAUGUCAAGCUAUACCCACAACACAAAAGAAUAAAAUCGCUCUUCAGAACUCAUUGAUGCAUAAUAUAGACAAGCAAUACUUUGAUGUAAGACAACCGUAUGAGGAUGGAAUAUGUAAGAAAAACAGGACGGCAUGACAUAUUCAUAGCUACGAUGUGUAAACUAAGCAGAAGGAUUUUUAAUAAAAUAGAAGUAAUGCAAGCUAGACACCAUAUGAAAGAUGCAACCAGUAUUACUCUGCCAAGUUAAAGUGUCUUGUCAUAAGUGGCAAUUCAAAAAAUUAGAAGCAGUACAAUGUAGAAAUCAAUGCAAGAUGCAACCGCUAUCAAACUGCCAUGUUAAAAGCCUCCAAUCAUGAGUGACAUACGGGAUACACAACAUUAGUACUUUGAUGUAAGAACAUGGUAUGAUAGAUAGAUGCAGUGUAUUCUAGACACAGAAUGCCAUGCCAUGUGCACAUGUAUAACAUAUAAACUCAGCAGGUGCAAUUUAAUCAAAAUAGAAGAAAUACAGACUUGACAACAUAUGCAACAUGAAACCAAUUAUCACACUAUCAACUUAGAGCAAGCACCUGCGAUGGUGGAGUAAGGGAGAUGAACUCAUCAUGUAGACUUGGGACUUCAACUUCAUUAGCAGUGGCAGUGGCAAAUCUAGAGAGUCUCUAUUUGCGUCGGUGCGGAGGACCACCAACAUCCCCUAACUUACUUUUUUCCUUCCUAUUUUUGAUAUUGCCUUUUGAAGUCAAAAACCACAAGAAGAUGAAUAAAAUUAGCUCUGCAUAACUGGUUGAUGCAUGAUACAGACGAACACUACUUUGAUCUAAGGCAAGCGCAGGAUAGGAGGAUGGAAUAUAUACAAAAAAGACAAUGUUUCAUAUUCAAACGUACGAUAGGAGGAUGAAAUAUGUAUGAAAAAACAGUAAGCGGAAGGCAUUUCAACAAAAUUAGAAGAAAUGAAAGCUAGGCACCAUAUGAACAUGCAACCAAUAUCACUCUAUCAGGUAAAAAUUGCCUCGCCGUAAGUGUCAUUUCAAGAAAUUAGAAGCAGUACAAGCUAGAAGACAAUGCAAGAUGCAACCUACAUCACAGUCCCAAGUUAAAUGUAUCUUAUGGGUAAGUGAUCAUUGCAGGUAUAAGUUGUAAGCUUCGCGGAUGCAAUUCAACAUAAUCAGAAGCAAUACAAACUAGACAUCAUACGGAAAACGCAACCACAUAUAACAUUUCCAAGUUAGAGCAAGCACAUGUGAUGGUGAAAUAGGGCAGAUGCACUACUGGAAUCAGAAUCUCUGCCGUCAGCCAUCUCUUUGUCGUCUGCUAGCUGACAACAAAGAAGGUCUUUGCCGUCUGCUAGAAGACAGCAUAGAAGCUUUGUCGUCUGCUAGAAGACGGCAAAGAGGGAGGGUGGCCCACUAGUGAGAACCAACUAACAGCCACUUUCUUUGCCAUCUACUGGCAAACGGCAAAGCUUGUUUAUCGUCUACUAGCGGAUGGCAAAAAAAGUGACCAACCUAACAUUCGUUAACUAGGCGCUUUGCCGUCUGCGACCUAACUAAAAAGCGGGCCAGCGCCCGCACCCGUGCCCCACCGCUCUCUCUGUCCGCUCUCUCUCUCUCCUGCCCGAGCCACCGCCGCCGCCCCUCACCCGCACCACACCCGUUCCCGAGCCACCGCCGCCCCACGCCACCCCCGCCGUCGGCCACCCGCCCCCACUACCCCCGUACCCGCACCCACAUCUCCUCUCUGCUCUCCCGCGCCCUCGGGUUAGCCACCGCCACCGCCCUUAAUCCGGCGAGCUCCGGCAACCAUGGUCGGCGUGCANNNNNNNNNNNNNNNNNNNNNNNNNNNNNNNNNNNNNNNNNNNNNNNNNNNNNNNNNNNNNNNNNNNNNNNNNNNNNNNNNNNNNNNNNNNNNNNNNNNNNNNNNNNNNNNNNNNNNNNNNNNNNNNNNNNNNNNNNNNNNNNNNNNNNNNNNNNNNNNNNNNNNNNNNNNNNNNNNNNNNNNNNNNNNNNNNNNNNNNNNNNNNNNNNNNNNNNNNNNNNNNNNNNNNNNNNNNNNNNNNNNNNNNNNNNNNNNNNNNNNNNNNNNNNNNNNNNNNNNNNNNNNNNNNNNNNNNNNNNNNNNNNNNNNNNNNNNNNNNCAACCCAUCCCUCCGCGACUAGGGUGUGGUGCGCGGCCUCGUCUCCGCCGCCGGCAUGCCUCUGGCGGUCCUCUACGCCUCGUCGCAUGGCUCCUCAUGCGGCUGCGCCUGCUGGACGCUGCUUCUCCACCACAAGGCAGCGGCAGAGGAGGGCCUUAUCCACCACCACGCAAUGGCAGCCAAGGUCCUCCUCCCCCAUCUCGCCUCUCUCCCUCUCUCAACCCCCUGUUUCUUCCGAUUUGGGAAGAAAAUUUCCUUUUUCCCUUGUGCAAUUUCUGAUCUGACCGGGUUUGUUUUUAGGGGCAUUAAUUUGGUGCUUUCCGUGUCCAGAGAAAAGUAGUAGAAGGGGAUGAGGAAGGAGGAGAAAGACCAGAAGAAGGGCAAGGGAGGUGGGGCGAUCUGAAUGUUCCUUGUUUAAUUUUUUUAUGUUGCAUGCUCUCUGAUUUCAGAGUAGAUUUCUUUACAGCUUGUUGAAUACCAAUGGUGUUCUCCUCUGUUUGAUUACUAUGGCUGGUUGCUUGUUUAACUUUUGUGUGAGAAAUAAUGGAGAUCAAGUGAGGUAAUCUUGUUUCUAAAUUUAGAUACAUGCAUGUAUGUGGGGCUCUAGUUCUAAACAUAGCAGACUACUACCCUCCUAUAUGUUGUGCGAACCAGAGAGCUUCUUAAUUGAUUAACAUUUUGGAUUGGUUUAAUUUUUCUAAAAAUGGCUGCUUCUGUUGUCACACAUACACAUGCUUCUGGACAGUGCUACUAGCUAUUAUCUUUGCUAUUUUUUUUAUUUGUUUCAACCAUGUACUGCUAGUUGUGGUUGUCAAACAAAAAGAAUUGGUUUAUGAUUCAUAAUGUACAGACAUUAGCUUGUCUUUUCAAGGAGUCGGUUUGUGAUACAUGCCCACCUAUUCAUUUUACUUUCAAAGAAAAGAAUUGGCUUGUGAUUUGUUAUGCUCAGGCCUCGGGCAUUAAUUUUCACUGUCACAUGCAUGGUUUCAGAUUACCUGUGAGGUCGUCCACCGCGACUGUCACUGUGAGGUUGGUUAUUUCCCUACAAACAUUGCUCUACUGUAGCCUAGUUCGUUUCUAUGCUGCUGGUUGUGAAACCAAACUAGGUGGGGGUGUGUGUGAUGAGGUUUGGUUUAGUGCUUGAUGCCACCGGACUGUAGGUUCUUGUGUAGGACUACUUGUUAUAUAACUCUGGUUCCUGAUGAGAUCAUGUAUAUACUAGGCUAGUUGCACUUUGGUUCUAUCUAUUUCAAAUCAUAUUUGGUCAU